GACUUGCCAAUCAGAAGGUUGGCGGUUUGAAUCCCCGUGACGGGGUGAGCUCCCGUUGCUUGGUCCCUGCUCCUGCCAACCUAGCAGUUUGAAAGCACGUCAAAGUGCAAGUAGAUAAAUAGGUAUGACUCCGGCGGGAAGGUAAACGGCGUUUCCAUGCGCUGCUCUGGUUCGCCAGAAGUGGCUUAGUCAUGCUGGCCACAUGACCCAGAAGCUGUCUGUGGACAAACACCGGCUCCUUCGGCCAAUAAAGUCAGGGGUCCCUUUACCUCGUGAGAGAUCCCCCUAUGAUAGCCUUCCUCAAACUGAUCCCUUGAACUGCAGCUUUCUUCAGCUGACACAGACAUGAUGUCUGGGGCUGGUGGAAGUAGUAGUGGAAAACAUCUUGUGGGCACCAGGUUGGCAGAGUCUCUCCUGUGGCUAAACCUAUGGCUCAAGGUCUUGUUUUGGUGUUGAUUAUUUCUCUCUGUUUUUUUUAGGCUGGGCAGAGAAUCUGAAGCUGAAGACUUGGCAACGAGAAUGCUAAAACUUUGUCCACGGGACAGGAUCUCAGCACAGAAAGCAUGUCUCCAUCCUUUUUUCAACUCUUUACCUUCUCAGCUGUACCAGCUUUCUGAUGGUAUGUCAUUCUAUAUUCUAACUGCCUCAACAAGGUGCCCUUCAGAUGCUGUUGAACUACAACCAGUGCUUUUCUCGCAAGAAAAAUAGGUGCCGGAAUUCACCAUAACGUUGUUAAAGUAAGUCACCGGGCGGCUCGGGGCAGCCUUCAACAGAUGCCAGUUUGACAACAGCCACCAUCACCACCCACGCAAGUGCGGAAAACUACAGCAAACUGUCUCCCUAGCUGGUUUGGGGGUUGCCCCUGGUUUUGGUACAGGUCAAAUAAAUGCGCCCUACCACGCUCAUUCUCCUAGAUUCAGGCAGAUGGCUAGGGCAGCUUAUAGGGCCCUUUGUAUGCAGCGGUAGAGGCCUGACUGGACAGCUUAAAGCUCGCCGCCACUACAUGGGAGAUGGACUGAGGAAAAGGAAAUAAGAAUUGGCCCUGCCCUGUGGCUUGACCAGUCAUGGCUAGGAGCUAGGUGGAGCCAUAGAUCUAAAAAAAAGUGUAGACUCCCACAUGCUGGCCAGCUUCCGUUUUGACUUGAAAUGUUCAUUUUGGGCUUCUCGGAAGUUCAUAAAGGCAAGAAGCGGGGUGGGGGGGGACCGCUGGCCUGCAAUGGUGCCUACCUUCACUCCAGAUGAAAAAAAAACACGGACUACAACUCCUAGCAUCCAUGACCACUGACAAUGUUGACUGAGGCUGAUGGAAGUUGGAGUUCAGCAACAUCGGGAGGGCACCAAGCUGGGGAAGGCACCAAAAAGUAUCCAGGGCUAAGAUAAAUCUCCCUGCGCAUAGGAUAAUAAUAAUAAUAAUAAUAAUAAUAAUAAUAAUAAUAAUAAUAAUUUAUUAUUUAUACCCCACCCAUCUGGCUGGGCUUCUCCAGGCACCCUGGGCGGUUUCCAACAAAAUAUUAAAAUACUGUAAUACAGUGGUACCUCGGGUUACAUACUCUUCAGGUUACAUACGCUUCAGGUUACAGACUUCGCUAACCCAUAAAUAGUGCUUCAGGUUAAGAACUUUGCUUCAGGAUGAGAACAGAAAUCGUGCUCCGGCGGCGCGGUGGCAGCUGGAGGCCCCAUUAGCUAAAGUGGUGCUUCAGGUUAAGAACAGUUUCAGGUUAAGAACGGACCUCCAGAACGAAUUAAGUACUUAACCCGAGGUACCACUGUACAUUGAACAUUAAAAGCUUCCCUAAACAGGGCUGCCUUCAGUUGUCUUCUAAAAGUAGUUGUUGUUCUCUUUGACAUCUGGUGGGAGGGUGUUCCACAGGGCAGGCGCCACUACCGAGAAGGCCCUCUGCCUGGUUCCCUGUAACUUGGCUUCCCGCAGCGAGGGAACCACCAGAAGGCCCUCGGCGCUUUCUGGGAAGCUUUUUUGUCAGGAAGAUGUCUACUGUCUAAGGCUUUUGCAGACAUUGACUUUGUGUUUAAAGCCAUCCUCCAUUCAGGGACACACCUAUAAGGUUACCAGAUUUUUUCCAACGAAUCCAGGGACACUUUUCAACUUCAGUGGAUUUUGUAUGGGGACUGAUUCGUAAAUCCGGGGACUGUCCCCAGGAAACGGGGACGUCUGGUAACCUUAACCUAGGGGUUGCUCAGGUUGGCCUCUGCCAAGGACGAAAGGCCCAGGGGGAGGGGCACAAAAAACACUCCUUUCCACUCCGGCUCAGAGUAGCUAGGAGCCCCCUUCCCGUGCAUGCGCUCCCUGGCACAUGCCUCUGCUGCUCUAGGUGAGACGCACAGGCUCCCCUGGGCACCUUGGUGGAGGACUCCAUUUGCUGGUGUUUAACCCACAGCACCACCCGCGUCCCCAUGACUAGCAUUGGGUACCACCUAUUAUCAUCAUUGCAAUCGUAGUGAAUUCACUUGAGAAUACGAGCUUGCUGGAUCGCAAACUGCAACGAUUUCUGCCUGAAAGACUCUGGUUGGCUUCGCAACACAUUGGGUUGCCAUGAUGACAUCAUGGGCUUGCCCCCAACCCACCAAGGCCCCACGGGCUGCAAUUGGGGUGAAAUAUCAGCCAUUGUAAGAAACACUCCAAUAUACCAACCCAGGGGACUGGGAAAUGCAUUCCUCAUAUGGAAAUGAUCCAUCUUGUCUCCAGGAGUGACAUGUUGUGUUCGCCAAUCUGUUGCCUCCCUCCUUCCCUCCCCACCUUUUUCCCUCCUGCGUUUCUGUCUCUUUGCUCUCCCCCCCCCACACACACACCUCUCCCCUCUACACACACACACACACACACAUUCUCUCUCUCUCCUUCUUUUCCUGUCUUUUGGCACGGGCACUUUCAUCUCCUCCCUCGGGGAUUUGAGAUGUCACUGCAGGAAGUGCUUGUCUGCCUCUCAGGCAGCGGCAGAGCCCUGUGGCUUUGACAAACCUCAUUUAAUUGGGAGGAAGCCAGGAGGGUUUGAAAGAACUGAAACAUCCACGAAACUCCUUUUAUCAGGCAUAAUUUAAACUCUGCAUGGAAAAAAAACCUAUAUGUAUAAAGAAAAGUCAACUCCCCUCCCCACCCUGCUGAGAGUCCUCCCCUCCUCCUUCUCCUCCUCGGCCUCCCCAUCCCCCGGCAAAGGCAGGCUCCUACGAGAUUCCAUCUUUUCAAUUUUCUAAAAGUGUCAAAGUAGAUUUGUGCUCUGCGGCUGGUUGGGUAUAGAGCGGCUGUGUGCUCUAUACACACACACACAGAGGGGGGGGCAGAGAGAGAGGAGGUGGGGGGAGUCCCAUCGCACAUGUGGACCUUGUUCUGUGCAUGCAACAACUUCGUUUAAUUCCGCCCAUGAAUCUCAUGGUCUUUGGCGGCGUCUACUCAGCCUGCGACAUGCCUCCAAAGUCAAAAUCAUUUAUUUCCCACCCGCCAACCCACCCACAACCCGGGCCCGAUAACAAGACGGGAAAAGCCUGUCAAGAGUUGUUUUCGUAUGCAAAGAAUAUUGCGUCCCCGUCUGUGAGGUCCAGCUUUAAUUCGCUCUGAGGUAGUUCUACUGCUGUCAGUUAUCACGUUAAUGGAGGCAGAGGAGUCCUAGGCUCCCUUGGUGGUCUUGAUCAUGGCCCUGAGAGGGACCCCUUCUGAGGUGGCCAAGACUGGAGUGAUGGUAGAGAAAAUAGAGGCGUGCCAGACAGAAGGGGACCUCAUCCAGAGUUCCAUGGUGACUGAAUUUCGUGAAGACUUCCAUCCAGACAAGCGAUUUGGCCAUCGCUUACAUGAAUUUGAGGGAUGGGGAGGCCCACCCCAAGAAGAGAAGUGGAGACGAGGUGGUCCGGGCCCACCUUUCCCCCCUGACCCCAGAGAAUUCAAUGAGGGAGAUAGCAGAGGUCCAAACCAUGGACCUCCUGGGCCUUGGGAGGGACGGAGACCUUCAGACGAGAGAUUUCCUCAUGAGCCUGAGGACUAUGGACCAAACAAAGAUGGCGAUCAAAACGAUAAAAGUGAAAUUCUAGGAGUCAAUGGUAGGAGUCAAAUUUGAGACUAUGGACUGGAAAUUCACAAUUUUUGCUUCUUGUCGCCUUUCGCUGGGGAGGGGGCCCCGGAGGGCCGCCGAAAAGAAUGAAUAGAGUUGGGGCGAUAACGCAACCCUGAUUAACACCUGAUCCCACUGUGAAUGGUUCACUUUGAGAGCCACUGUUAUCUGUGAUUGUUGCUGUCAUAUUAUCAUAGGAACAUGCAAGUCCACUCACCACAACAAGUUGAGUGAGGCUGCUGCGACAACCCACACCUGCUCCUGCCAACCUAGCAGUUCGAAAGCACGUCAAAGUGCAAGUAGAUAAAUAGGUACCGCUCCGGUGGGAAGGUAAACGGCGUUUCCGUGCGCUGCUCUGGUUUGCCAGGAGCGGCUUAGUCAUGCUGGCCACAUGACCCGGAAGCUGUACGCUGGCUCCCUUGGCCAAUAAAGCGAGAUGAGCGCCACAACCCCAGAGUCGGCCACGACUGGACCUAAUGGUCAGGGGUCCCUUUACCUUUACUAAUGCUAGUCAUAACCAAUAAAAUAAACGGCUGAAGUUACUGAAGCCGAUUGAUUUCCGUGGGUCUACUCAGAAUAUAGCUAAUAUUGGAUAUCACCCAACGACAGCAAUGUGAUUUCAAAAAAACAACAACAACAAAAACUCCUGACAAACAUCUGUCUGUACUUUCACAAUCAAGCAAGACAUUUGGGUUCCAGGGUCACUGCAGCUAAUUGAAUUGAAUUAUAUAAAAUUUAGCAUUCUGAGUGCAUACAAGAUUGUGUUCUGGCUGUAGCCUAGUCUAGGGGAUGCUGGUGAUUAGCUUUCGUAUGCUCAAGUACAAAUUUGAAGUGGCAGUGGGUAAAAGAAUCAGCUUGUUAUCUUCAUCUGAAAGGAUACAAAAGAGAGAUCCCCUCCCCCCCUGACAUUGUUAUGAAAUUGUUAUAGCAGGGACCACUCUUUCCUGUAAAUUGCCACAGGGAGUGACUAGGUGGGUGGGAGGGAGAUAAAUGAACAAUGCAAAGAUCGCUUUUUUAUUUGAAAAAAGAUUUUUGAUGAUGACAACAAGAACAGCAAGAUUUUAACGAUUAUUGAAAAGAAUGCGAAGGAUCAGAUGUUAACUGCGUCGGAUUGCGAACUGCCAGCAGAGGAGGCUGCUUUGCUUCGGUUCAGCAAAAAGGAGGCGGGAGGGAGGUUUGCAGGAAGGGUGGGGGGCUUCUUGUCCCCUUGUAACACGGGUGGGAAACCUUUUUCAAAUGGAAGGGACACAUUCUCCUCUGGCCAAACUUCUUGUUGGGCAGGGUCAAUAGCAGAAGCAGGUGGAGCUACAAAUGCAUACGUUCCAAGUGUCCCGAUUUUCCAGGGACAGUCCCGGAAUUACGAAAGCCAUCCCAGCUUCUGAUUUGAUCCCGAAAUGUCCCGAUUUCCCCUGCCAGUGCCGCUGCUACCGAGCUCAGGGAAGAGGGUGAGCAGCCGCUUGUCCCAAGCGAUUGUGGCUGCUGCUCUGCUGCUGCGAGGGAGAAUCUCGUGACCUCUCGCUGGCCAUUGCUUCGAGUAAAGGUAAAGGGACCCCUGACCAUCUUGCUUUAUUGGCCAAGGGAGCCUGCGUACAGCCAGCAUGUGGCCAGCAUGACUAAGCUGCUGAAACUGAAAUCACUUCGCUAAUUUUACAAAUGAAAUCUGGCAAAGCCCCAGGAAGUGAUUUCAUUGUCGCUGAACUUCUGAAAGCGCAAAUAAACUGGUGGGCCCCGGUCCUUGCUAAUCUAUUUUCAUAUAUAGAUAAGACAACUGAAAUCCCUAAAGAUUGGGGACUAGCUAUAAUUGUUCCCAUAUUUAAAAAGGGCAACCCCUCUGAUCCAUCUAAUUAUAGACCAAUUAGUCUCCUGAACGUGAUCUGUAAACUUUAUACAAAACAUCUAUGCCUAAAAUUAUGGGAAUGGUUAGAUCAUAAUAACUUGCUAGAAAUUGAACAAGCAGGGUUUACAUCCGGACGUUCCACCAUUGAUCACUGCUUAGUGUUAGAUUACUUUGUCUAUAAGUAUGCGAAAUAUUGGAAAAGUCAUUAUAUGCGGCCUUUGUGGACUUAAAGGCAGCAUUUGAUUCUGUAUCCAGGAGCAGGCUCUGGGCCAAAUUGGCCAAUAUGGGUAUUAACAGAAGGUUAUUACUUCUGAUGAUUAAGCUUCAUGAGAACAAUACCCUCCAGAUAAGACUCGCACAGGACGGCAGACUCUCUAGAGAAAUCUUAGUCCAAAGAGGAGUGAGACAAGGAUGCCUAUUAGCCCCAUUCCUAUUUAAUAUCUAUGUUAACUCCCUGGUUACAUGCUGCCGUGAAAUUGAAACCCACCCUCCUGUGUUCUCUAAUGGCAGAAAAGUACCAAUUUUAAUGUAUGCGGAUGACGCUGUUCUUCUCUCUCAAACCAAAGUGGGUCUGAAACGUGCCUUAGGAAAGUUUAGCGACCAAUGUAACACUGAACUGUUAACAAUUAACUUUGCCAAAACCAAAAUUGUACAUUUUAACCGCUCCUUUAGGAAGGAUAAUUGGAGCGUAAAGGGAAACGCCAUUGAACAGACUAAGACCUUCCAAUACUUAGGCAUUACUUUCUCUUAUAAUGCCAAAUUCUUAACACACUUGACCACAUCAGCUAUAUCAGCAGAAAGAAGUGCAAAUGCUAUCCUUAGAUUAUUCAGAAGGAAAGGAGCUGGCUUCCUCCCGAUGGCCCUAACAGUCUUUCAGGCAAAAUCUUUAGCCCAACUUCUAUAUGGCUCUCAAAUUAGCCCCUCUGCCAACCUUAAGACCUUUGAAACAGUACAAUCUAAAUUCUUAAGAUCAUUAUUUGCUACUCCUAAGUGUACACCUAAUGCAGUCUUAAGGCAAGAGGCAGGACUGCCCAGAGUGGAAUUAAAAGUCUGGGAACAAGCAAUAUCCCUCUGGCUGAAAAUCCAUUACAAUCCUAAGGGUCUAUUACCUUGCUUCCUGGCCGCAGUUCCCUAUCCUCCUUGGCUUAUGCAAAUAACUAACAAGAUCAAACAAAUUGGCCUAAACCCUGAAAAUAUUUUUAUUGGAACUCUGAACAAGGCAAAAGCUACUAUCACUCGGAGACUUUAUGAUAUCGAAUUACAACAAGAAGGCGCCCUACUCCCAGAGACGUAUAGAUGUUUAAAAGCUUGGCCUAAUUUUGCAGCUGUCCCUUACUUAACUAACAUCACUAACGAAACCUAUAGAUGGGCUUUCUCUAGAGCCCGCUUUGAGACAAUGCCCUCAGCAGUGCUGUACGGCAAAUUCACGCGAGUUCCAAUGCAUGCGCGUCUCUGCCCUUGUAUGUCUAAUAAGGUAGAAUCUGUCACACACAUUCUUCUAUCUUGCGAAUUCUAUAGUGAAGAACGAGUUCAACUUAUUUUACCACUUCUAUCAAAAUUUAUACCCCUUCAAUAUUAUUUGGAAUCCUCCCCUGAAAUUCUUCGAAAAUACCUCCUGGAAGAUUCCUCAAGCUCAGUAUCAUAUGAGGUGGCUAAAUUUUGCACUUUAGUAAUUAAGAAGCGUAAAUCUCUUCUGUUGAAUGGCACACUGUGAAGUUCUCUUGUGUAACCUUUUUUCUUUUCUGAAGUUGUUGCUGUUUUCUUGUUGUCUGAUCUUAUGGUGUUUAGUGUCACUGGCUUUGGCCGCAAUAAACUUGAAACUUGUUGUGAAACUAAGCCGCUUCUGGUAAACCAGAGCAGCACACGGAAACACCGUUUACCUUCCUGCCGGAGUGGUACCUAUUUAUCUACUUGCACUUUGACGUGCUUUUGAACUGCUAGGUUGGCAGGAGCAGGGACCAAGCAACAGGAGCUCACCCCGUUGUGGGGAUUUGAACCGCCGACUUUCUGAUCGGCGACCUACUGCUUCGAGUAGCUAUGGCCUAAACAUGGCGAGGGAUGCAUAUAUAUAUUCCUGUAGAAAAGUAAACUUCAUCUGACAAUAAGUCCAACAAAUUAAAAAUGAUUGGAAAAAGUUGACUUCAACAAAUAGCCCACAAUCGUAGAAUUCAGUCAAGAGGCUGCUACUAAUUGCAAUACAGUCGUAUCUCGGAAGUCAAACGCCUUGCAAGUCGAACGUUUUGGCUCCUGAACACCACAAACCCAGAAGUGAGUGUUCCAGUUUGCGAAUGUUCUUUGGAACCCGAACGCCCAAUGCAGGUUCCGCAGGUUCCGAUUGGCUGCAGUAGCUUCCUGCAAAGGCAGUUAAAGAAAACCACGGUUUGUAAACCAACAGGAAACAAUGGCUACAAAUUGAGGGGCGGGGGGUUUGGCAGGAAGCAAACUAUAGUUAAACUGCUGGGCAGGCUUCACACAUAAAACUAAGCCACAGUUUAAUAAACAAUAGUUUAAUACACCAUGGUUUAGCCACGUUAUUGGGUUGUUGUUUUGAUUUUGAUUAUAUAUAUAUUGUGGUUUUUAUGCUGAUCUUUUCUCUGAACUGCCCUGAGACCGCUGGGUAUAGGGCGGUACAUAAAUUCAAUAAAUAAUAAUAAAUAAUAAUACAUCGUGGUUUAGCAUUUCAUAAGUGUUAGCUCAGUACACCAUGGUUUAGCAUGAUGUGCAAGGUUGCUGCACUUUCCCAUACAUAUUAAUGGAAAUAUAUGAAUCCUGGGAAAGUUACGUAAUUCCAUUUGGUAACUCCAGUCUUGUAUUGCCAAACCAUGUUGGUGCUGGUGCAUAAUAGUUUAGUGAUAACUUCUUGAAUAGUUCUUCGAACCGUAAUUAAUUCCACUCCCUGUCAGAAUUUAAGCUGACCCCAAGUAGUCUGUUCACCAGAGUAGCUGACUUUGAUGUGAGAUUUCUUUAAGUAAAGACCAGGGAAAACAGUAAAUUGUGGCUGUGAGCUAGAGCUGUUGAUAUUGCAUACUUAAGAAUCCUCUUACUCUUUAGGGCGAUUGCAGCGUUAACUUGCAGAAAAGCUCUUUGAAUUUCAUUCGUGAGAUCCGCACUCCCAUCCCUGCCACCGCUUUAAUGAUUUUGGAGCUGUGGUUGGUAAAGGGUAAAGGGUAAAGGGAACCCUGACCAUUAGGUCCAGUCGUGGCCGACUCUGGGGUUGCAGAGCUCAUCUCGCUUUAUUGGCCGAGGGAGCCGGCGUACAGCUUCCAGGUCAUGUGGCCAGCAUGACUAAGCCGCUUCUGGCGAACCAGAGCAGCACACGGAAACGCCGUUUACCUUUCCGCUGGAGCGGUACCUAUUUAUCUACUUGCACAUUGACGUGCUUUCGAACUGCUAGGUUGGCAGGAGCAGGGACUGAGCAACGGGAGCUCACCCUGUCGCGGGGAUUCGAACCGCCGACCUUCUGAUCGGCAAGUUCUAGGCUCUGUGGUGUAACCCACAGCGCCACCCCCACCUAAUUUUCCACUUCCAAUGCAGAUUGGCCUUUCUGUGGCGAGCAUUCCAAAUGUAUUGUUUUUAACACCACUGUGUGGAUCCUGGUCAUCGACCACUGAUUGCUGUCAUCCCUGCUUCAUGUCAUUGGUAGUCAGGACAGGAGACUCACUAUGUCACGGGUGGGGAGCAGUAUUCCCUUGAGAGCCAGCGUGGUGUAGUGGUUAAGAGCGGUAGACUCGUAAUCUGGUGAACCGGGUUCGCUUCCCCGCUCCUCCACAUGCAGCUGCUGGGUGACCUUGGGCCAGUCACACUUCUCUGAAGUCUCUCAGCCCCACCCACCUCACAGAGUGUUUGUUGUGGGGAAGGAAGGGAAAGGAGAAUGUUAGCCGCUUUGAGACUCCUUCGCGUAGUGAUAAAGCAGGAUAUCAAAUCCAAACUCUUCUUCUCUUCUGCUAACAUCUGCGCAUGAUCAGUGGCUGCCUGAAACAUACAACUUCAGCUGAACUGGAUGGAAACUGGUUUGAGGGAAAGCACAUCAAACAGGAAUAUUUUUCAAGAAGCUGUAGCAGAAGAUCCCAACUGGUGGUCCGUGGACCCCAGGAGAUCUGCGUAACCCAUGUCACAUACCCAUCAACUGUCCAGGACAUCCCGGUUUUUUUUGGGGGGGGGCGGAGCACAGUGCCCCAAAAUGCACAAUAUUGUGGCACUGAAAAACACAUGUUUUGGGGUGCUGUGCUCUUGUGCAGGUCAUAUGAUUCAUGUGGGAGCGCAGACCGGAAGACGCAUGUCCUGGUUUUGUGUUGGGACAUGUUGGAGGGUAUGGUGGCACUAUUUGCAUAACAAAAACCUCACCACAUACAUGUCAACAUUUUCAAAAGUAGGGGUUCCAUGGCUUGGCUUUUGAAAAGCAGGGGGUCCGCAGUACAUAGCUAACUGGGGACCACUGAGCUACAGGAAUACAGUCAUACCUCGGGUUACAGAUGCUUCAGGUUGUUUUUGGGGGGGUUACGGACCACCGAAACCUGGAAGUACCGGAACGGGUUACUUCUGGGUUUCGGCGGUCGCGCAUGCGCAGAAGCGCUAAAUCCUGCAUUGUGCAUGUGCAAAAUCGUGCAUGCCAAAUUGCAACCCGCGCAUGCGCAGACGCGCCACUGUGGGUUGUGAACACUGCGGGUUGCGAACGUGCAUCCCACACGGAUCACAUUCGCAACCUGAGCGUCCACUGUACCUGUAGAUUGUGGUGAACAUAUUGUGUACAGUGGUACCUCGGGUUACAGACGCUUCAGGUUACAGACUCCGCUAACCCAGAAAUAGUACCUCAGGUUAAGAACUUUGCUUCAGGAUGAGAACAGAAAUCGCACGGCGGCAGCGGGAGGCCCCAUUAGCUAAAGUGGUACCUCAGGUUAAGAACAGUUUCAGGUUAAGAACGGAGCUCCGGAACGAAUUAAGUUCUUAACCCGAGGUACCACUGUACUUCGCUUUAAACACCACCAGUGAGAGUGUGCUGGAGCCAGAGUAAGUGGUAAUUUUUACACAACCUAAGAAUCCCAUUCCCAAGCUACUCAUACCAUUGAUAUAUAUUUUUGUAGUGGAAGUAGAAGCAUCUGGGGGGGAGGGGAUUUCCAGCAGAAAAAACAGUGUGAGGAGGAAGGGCACAGAAAUUCCACUCCCGCCCCCCAAACUGGUCCUCUUCCUCAAAUUACUGCCUCUAAAGUAGCUACGCUGUAGAAAAGGAAAAUUGAAAAAGACUCAAAGGACUACAUAGAUUGUGUUUGUUGUUCCAGCGGCAGAGGCAAUAUUUAAACCGGAGCGCUUGUAAUUUCUCCCCACCAUCCCACUAUACUUGUGCCCCCCUCCCCAAGACAGAAAUAAUUUAAAGAGUAACUGUGCUCUGCAAUGUGCCACCGCUGCAUUUUGCUGGCUGGAUUGCUUUGCAGCCAGGGAUGCUGUGGGAGCUAGGAAGAGCUGCCGCCCACAAUCUCAGAGGAGAGAGGAGCAAAAUAGAGAUGCAGGUUUCACAGGGAACAAAAGUUUAAAAGUUAAAGCUGGAAAUGGUGACAACAACAAGCCACCAUCCACCAAGUGAGGAACUCAAUUAGUCUGAAAGACAACUAUGGCGCUGUCUUUCCCCCCCCAAAAUGCUCUAAAUACGUACGGAUAUAAAAAUUUAAAACAAACUAUCUCUCUCUAUUGACUGCCUGGAUGACGGCCCUUUCCCUUCUCGUUUUUUCUUUAAACAUCCACUUUCAUAUUUAUUUAUUCUAAGCGCAAAGCAGCUGCGAUAAUUAGACUGUCAGAUUCGGUAAGUUAAUGAGGAGUCAGUGGAGUGGAAGCGUUUGCAUUUGUUAAGAUUGCUGAAGAAGGGAACCACCAUGCUUUUGCUUUUGCUCUGUCUUUUUGUCUCUCUCCUUCUCUCUCUCUCUCUCUCUCUCUCUCUCUCUCUCUCUCUCCCCUUCCCUCCCACCCUCCACUGGGUGGGAAGAAGAGAGCUUGGCAGCACAUAGGAAGAUUUGAAUCCUUUUGAUUAGCAGGCUGCAUUCCCACUACUGUUAUGCCAAAUUAUUUCUUUUCUGGGGCUCCUGGCAUUUAAAAAAAAGAGAAUUUCCAGAUAAGAAUCCUACGAGGGCAGGAAGCAUGGCUAGAGAAUCCUAGCUUCACUCCACACACCCUCCAGAUGGAAAAGGGAAACUUGUGGAAGUUUCUGGGCUUCUUUUUAUUAUGAUAUUAGGAAAAUACUAACGCACGUUUCUUCCUCUUUACAUUUUUUUAAAAAAAACAAAGUACAGUGGUACCUCGGGUUAAGUACUUAAUUCGUUCGGGAGGUCUGUUCUUAACCUGAAACUGUACUUAACCUGAAGCACCACUUUAGCUAAUGGGGCCUCCUGCUGCUGCCGUGCCGCCGGAGCACGAUUUCUGUUCUCAUCCUGAAGCAAAGUUCUUAAUCCAAGGUACUAUUUCUGGGUUAGCGGAGUCUGUAACCUGAAGCAUAUGUAACCCGAGGUACCACUGUAACUAUAAAGAGAAUUGGGUUGUUUUUUUCCUGGGAGGAUUAAAGGUAAAGGUAAAGGGACCCCUGACCAUUAGGUCCAGUCGUGACCGACUCUGGGGUUGCAGCGCUCAUCUCGCUUUACUGGCCGAGGGAGCCGGCGUACAGCUUCCGGGUCAUGUGGCCAGCAUGACUAAGCCGCUUCUGGCGAACCAGAGCAGCGCACGGAAACGCCAUUCACCUUCCCGCCAGAGCGGUACCUAUUUAUCUACUUGCACUUUGACGUGCUUUUGAACUGCUAGGUUGGCAGGAACUGGGAUCGAACAACGGGAGCUCACCCCGUCGCAGGGAUUCGAACUGCCAACCUUCUGAUUGGCAAGUCCUAGGCUCUGUGGUUUAACCCACAGCGCCAUCCUCCUCCCUGGGAGGAUUACUGGGACUGAAAUGUAGAAAUGCUGGACAACUUCACAUAUUGCCCGAAGUGCUGCACAGUAAAAGCACAAGUGUCCGGGAUAAGGAGGGCCGGCUCUAUCAUUGGGCAGAGUGAGGCACCCAUCUCAGGCAGCAGAUGCUGGGGGGAACUGGGACCGGUGGCAAGGUGUUGGAGGACAGGCAUUGCUUGACACACACACAGGAAGAACAUAGGAAGGCUACCUUGAACUGAGUCAGACCUAUAGCCCAUUGCAUUGGGCUCAAUAUUGUCUACAGUGACUUGGAGCAAGUCUCCAGGAUUUCAGACAAGGAUCUCUCCCAGCCCUUAAGCCAAAAGAAAGAGGCUGGGGAAUGGAAAACAGUCCAUAAUUGGGACAGGUUAGCCAUCCAGGCUGCAAUGUAUGGUCUGAGAGAGAGAUGGAGUGCCAAGCCAAGGCUGAUGGUCAGACAAAGUCUAGGUGUGACUAGUUGUUGUUUUUUAAUCCCCCAGCAUCCCAUCAAAAAAGCCAUCAAAAGAGGUGACCUGGAAGACUUGUCAGGGGGGGUGGGAACCCCAUCAGUUUAGUCUGAUAAGCAACUGGCUAACUGGAGCCAAGGAUAAUGGUUCAGGAACCAUUCCCUGCUGUGCAGCGAUAACAAGCAACUGACUCAUCCACUUUGUGUGCUUCCAGGCUCAUGUAGGAUCAGGGAACAUGUAUAAUCUGUGCCCACAAUCAGAUCUUGCACAUCUCACAGGGAGGAAGAUGUGCACACACACAACCUCAAGAUUACAAAAAAGUGGAUUCAUUAGUCACUGGGAUGUUGGCUCUUUGACACGUCUUGUAACGUGCAAAGCUACCCCAUUGCUUGCUUGUUAAAUAAUGGGGAUGUGUGACUUUUUGCCAGUAAAUCAACUGAUUGCCAGUUUACUACUAGAACUGCAGAGUGAACAUGUUUCUUUCCACGUUUGUAGUUUCCAGUGGUGGUUUCAUGUUAAAAUUACUUUGGGAAGGAGUCCAGGAAUAGUUUGCUGCUGGUCCCUAUGGUAUGUUUCAGUCUGUGAAUGAAUUUCUGGAGCAGAUUGCCUGACUCCCUUCAUUAACCUGGUGUUUCCCAGAUACUUUGGAGUAUAACUCCCACCAGUCCCAGCUACCACAGCAGAUAGGAGUUGUAGUCCAAAAUAUCUGGGGAGUUGCUGGCUUGCAAAGGCUUGGACAUAGCAUAGCUACUGGGUUUUUAAAAAAAGUUAUCAUAAAUGUUAUUAAAAUGAUAGAUUCCACUAGAAGAGGGGUUGAGAACCUACAGAUGUUGUGGGACUCAAGCUCCCAUCAUCUCUGACCAUUGGCUAUAUUGGCCGAAGCUGAUGGGAGUUGGAGUCCCAAUAUUUGGAGAGCAAUGGGUUAUCCAUCCCACUUGCACUGGUGUAAAGGCUCUCCACGAAAUCUGGGGAAGUUCACCCAGGAAUAAGCUUACUCCUGUGUCAAGCAGCAUCACAUAGGAGCAGUUUUCUUUCAAGACAAGCAAUGUGGGUCACCAUCAAGGACAGAUUUGACGCAGUGCAGGCUCCCCUGUAUUGCUCCCCUGUAACUGAUGCUUGGCUUCUUUGUUUCCUUCAUAGCACAGUCCAUCUUCACGGUUCCUGGAGUGAAGCUGAAACCAGAAAUGUGUGAUCUCUUUGCUCCAUACGAGAAGGGUCAUCUCAAAAUCAGCUCCAGCAAGUUUUGGUGAAAAGAACAAACGAAGUGUGGACUUCUUUUCUGGGGCGAGGAAGUCAACGGAUGCAGUUCAUCGUCACUAUUUGAGUCUGAGCUUGCCCUUAAAACUAAGAAGUGAUCAUAGAAAAUAGGAACAGACUGUAUUAUAGGCAUAAGUAAAAGGAGCAAAAUAUUUCCCCCCUUUAGGUUUCAGGAUUAAGUGCAACUAUCAAUGUGUCCUGGGACCAUUUGAUUAAGGGUGGGCUAUACGAACAGAUUCCUGCCAACCUAGCAGUUCGAAAGCACGUCAAAGUGCAAGUACAUAAAUAGGUACCACACCAGCGGGAAGGUAAACAGUGUUUCCAUGCGCUGCUCUGGUUCGCCAGAAGUGGCUUAGUCAUGUUGGCCACAUGAGCCGGAAGCUGUACGCCGGCUCCCUUGGCCAAUAAAGCGAGAUGAGCGCCGCAACCCCAGAGUCGUCCGCGACGACCUAAUGGUCAGGGGUCCCUUUACCUUUAUACGAACAGGUAAUAAUGUAAUAGAUUGGGGGGGACCCCUCCUAAAUCCUAGACAUUAAUAAAUGGUUUGUUGUUGUUUAGUCGUUUGCAGAUUGCAAAUUAAAAGGAAAUGUUGUUGUUGUUUAGUGUUUAGUCGUGUCCGACUCUUCGUGACCCCAUGGACCAGAGCAUGCCAGGCACUCCUGUCUUCCACUGCCUCCCACAGUUUGGUCAAACUCAUGCUGGUAGCUUCGAGAACACUGUCCAACCAUCUCAUCCUCUGUUGUCUCCUUCUCCUUGUGCCCUCCAUCUUUCCCACCAUCAGGGUCUUUUCCAGGGAGUCUUCCCUUCUCAUGAGGUGGCCAAAGUAUUGGAGCCUUAGCUUCAGGAUCUGUCCUUCCAGUGAGCACUCAGGUCUGAUUUCCUCAAUAAAUGGUAGGAUUUUGAUUAUUUGGAAUGUGAAGGGAGAAAUACAAGCUGCAGAGGAACUCCUGGGCCAGCCCAUGCAAAAUGACCUGGCCAAGCUAGGGCCAUUAAGAAACAAAACAGGGCCAUUGAGGACCGAGGCCAGCUGGCACCAACACCAAUCAAGGUCGGCGAGACUGGAUGUAUAUAUGAAGGCCUACAGAGCUGGGCCUCAGAUCCAGCCUGAAUCAUAAUCUGGUGCUCUUUCAUUGGUCAGAAGACCAAGAAAGAAGGUAGAUAAGGGACUGUGGUUGUAGUGACCCAAGAGAGCUAAUCUUGCUGGGGAAAGGGCUUUGGCCACACUGUCGCAACACUGGAGCAAGCCCACAGCUCCUAAAUCCAAGGUCUGCACUUUGUGUUAGCUAUGAGUUAUAAGAAGGACAUUUUCCCUUUGUUUUGAAGAGGCUCACCACUCUCAACUUUAUUUUUACUGAGUGCUACAGCAAAAGUUUUCACAGCACAAACAACACUGCACACAGCAAAAGCAACAGCGAAAGACAGUUUGAGCUGCAAGUUCAUUUGGGUCAAGCAAAAGCCAAGCUUUUUUUCCAUUUUUAAAAGAGAAAAGACAUUUUCUAUCACAAAAAUAAAUUGGAUUUGGCUGUGCUUUUGUAAUUAGCGAAUCUCUGAUGUUUACAUCAAUCUAUGGCUGACUUCAAAGGGAUGUGGGUGGCACUGUGGGUUAAACCACAGAGCCUAGGACUUGCCAAUCAGAAGGUCGGCGGUUCGAAUCCCCGCAACAGGGUGAGCUCCCGUUGCUCAGUCCCUGCUCCUGCCAACCUAGCAGUUGGAAGUGCAAGUAGAUAAAUAGGUUUAACCCACAGUGCCGCACCGGCGGGAAGGUAAACGGCGUAUCCGUGCGCUGCUCUGGUUCGCCAGAUGCGGCUUAGUCAUGCUGACCACACGACCCGGAAGCUGUACGCCGGCUCCCUCGACCAAUAAAGCAAGAUGAGCACCGCAACCCCAGAGUCGGCCACGACUGGACCUAAUGGUCAGGGGUCCCCUUUACCUUUACCUUACAGAAGGCUAGUUUCUAUGCUCUCACCCACCCCUCCCGAUCCUUCAUCCACGAAUCUGAUCAGGUAGCCUCCAGAAAUAGCAUGUUUCACUCAGAGUUUGUUAAUGAAUAUAUUAUUUAUUUAACAUAAUCAAAACCUCCAGCCUUUCCCGUUAAUAAACAACGUACAGUCAUACCUCAGGAUAAAUACGCUUCAGGAUAAGUAUUUUUGGGUUGCGCUCCGCGGCGACCCGGAAGUAACAGAGUGCGUUAUUUCCGGGUUUUGCCACUCGCGCAUGUGCAGACGGUCAAAAUGACGUCACGCACAUGCGCAGAAGCGGCGAAACGCGACCCGCGCACACGCAGACGCACAGUCGCGUCUUACGUUCUGUUCAGGAUGCGAACGGGGCAACCCCAGAGUCGGUCACGACUGGACCUAAUGGUCAGGGGUCCCUUUAUUUAUGGCUGACUUACACCAGCAUAGAUGCUAACAGAAUCUGGUUACGGGCCAUGUCUUCCUUCUCUGACGACACAUCUCAGCAGUAACAGAGGAAACAGAUGUCCUGAGUUGCAUAUUAUCUUUUGUUUAGAAAGCAGUGUCAGUAAGAUUGACUUGGCAACCGAGAUGUUAACAGUGUGGUCUGAUUUCUGGACCCUUAGGAUAAAUCUGACUGUCCCUUGAUAAAGAGAUUGCCAGACCAGGAGCUGGGUGGACAAACAGAACAGAUGGGAGCCGAUAAUUUCAAGAAUGUAUUGACUGAUCCAAGGCUUAGGGACAGACUUGUCAUUCCUGGGGUUGGUUUCCGAUCUUUCCCAACAAAGGGAUUCCUGGCGGAAGGAGAGGAUUAGAUUAAAGUCAAGUCUCUGGGGAAAGAUGGCUCAUUGGAUGAAGUCAACAAAAGGAAUUGUUUAAUAUUUGUUACACUGUCCUAGAGAGACCUUCCACCAUCGCUAAUGGGAUUAUCAUUAUACCAGUUCCACGCCAAUGGAGUAUUCAAAACGUGCCGAGUGGGUGGAUGACUUCGCUAAAUUCAACUGUUCCAUCACAAAUAUGUCUGCUUUUGAAAAAGAAAAGGAUGGCAAGUGAGCUUAUAUGGAUCCAGCCAAAGAUUUUUGGUGGUGGAAGUUUUCAGCGGAGGCCAGUGAUCUUCUAGUGAGUCAGAAGCACAUUUUUAAUCUCCUUGAUCUCUGCAUUCUUGACAGAAUGACAGAAUGUCAAUAGGAAAGGUGCUCUUAAGCGACUUCUGAUGUGUAGGCAUCUUUUGAGUCCUUUCAUAGACAGCGCAUUCUCACAGCAUUUCUCAUCAGAAUUCGUUUCCAGAGAGAACAAGAAAACUCAAGGCUUGCUCUUGUGUUUUCCUCCAGUCUGCCAAGGCAAACUUGCUUAUCUCCAAAUAAUCAGGCCCACAACUGAGGGAAAUAAAUAUAGAGACGAUAAAAGUCAUUAGCAAUUAUAUAACUAAGUCCAUGAAAGUUAAUUGCCCAUCUGCCCACACAGAUCUGUAUUAGUCAUUUGUGGCCUAAAAGAAACAAUUUAAAAAAAAAAAAAAAAAAGAUUGCCUAGAGGUGAAUCUUACUCACCACAGCUGGCUAGACAACUAAAAACCCUAGCCUGUUUGCAUGAGUACGCUCCUAAAUCAUGCCACAAUUAGUCAAAAGGAUUAUUCUGCAAAGUCUGAACUAGAUAGCCCCGUGCCUUACAAAUUAACCACAGAUAUCCAUACAUUAAAUCAUAAUGCACACAAGGAACCAUGAAUACCAAUAGAAAGUGGUAGUGAAAUUAGGGUCCGUGCUCCAGUUUUACCGGUAAUUUAGCUUUGUUGUUGUUGUUUAGUCGUUUAGUCGUGUCCGACUCUUCGUGACCCCAUGGACCAGAGCACGCCAGGCACUCCUGUCUUCCACUGCCUCCCGCAAUUUGGUCAAACUCAUUCUGGUAGCUUCGAGAACACUGUCCAACCAUCUCAUCCUCUGUCAUCCCCUUCUCCUUGUGCCCUCCAUCUUUCCCAACAUCAGGGUCUUUUCCAGGGAGUCGUCUCUUCUCAUGAGGUGGCCAAAGUAUUGGAGCCUCAGCUUCAGGAUCUGUCCUUCCAGUGAGCACUCAGGGCUGAUUUCCUUCAGAAUGGAUGGGUUUGAUCUUCUUGCAGUCCAUGGGACUUUCAAGAGUCUCCUCCAGCACCACAAUUCAAAAGCAUCAAUUCUUCAGCGAUCAGCCUUCUUUAUGGUCCAGCUCUCACUUCCAUACAUCACUACUGGGAAAACCAUAGCUUUUACUAUACGGACCUUUGUUGGCAAGGUGAUGUCUCUACUUUUUAAGAUGCUGUCUAGCUACCUUGUAUAUUAUUUUAUGCUAUUGUGGGCUGUGUGAGGUAAAGCCACCUGAUCGUUGACUUUAUCAUGCCAUUUUCUCGUUUCUCAUUUUCUCAUCAGGAUUAAUCCAAACCCCAGCCUUUCACAGUGGCAUUUUUUUGGUACAGGUCAUUCACAAAAACCUCACAACAGGAUCACAGCAAACCCAUCCUCUGACAACUUCGUGACACCUUCAAAUAAUUUGAGAAUAUACCAACAUGUGGAACUAUGUCAUGCAUGAAGAUGGAGGGAGUGGGGAGCGAAAUUGUGGAGAAAGGAGAGAGAAAGUAUGUGUUAAGAUGUACCAAGAUAGGGUUUUCUUCCGUUUUAAAAAAGGCCUUUAUCAGAGCAAAUGUUAACAUUUUGGUGAAAGGAGAGGGGCAUGUUUUUCCCCAGUCAAUUCAAGUACUGGCUUGCGGAGGCAAAAUACUGCAAUAUUCUUUGGGUUCCCUCACCCCUAGACCAUCGAACUGUGUGCUAAAGUAGCAUACUUUGUGAACGGUCCUUGAGUAACAAACAAAUUGACUAUCGUAUUAUUUACCCAAAAAAAAUCGUUAUUAUUUCUUUUUACAAGUAUGUGGUUUUUUAAAAAAAUAAAAUAAAAUAAAUGAAAUUCUUCUUCAUUUCCUCCUCCUCUUCCACAAAGUGAAUUUCAUGGCCAAUUUUUUAAAAAUAAACAACAACCAACCCAAAGGAGAACGAAGCCACAGAUCUCUUGUCUAAACGCUGACACAACUGUAGCCAGAACGGCAAACAAUGGGCAAUAUUCUCUCAGAAACCCAGCAAAAAAAUCCCUCACACAACCUGUGACUGCGUUUGGGGAAACGCAGAUUAAAAAAAAAAGCCCCGUCUUGGAUCAUGGGAAGGUGUCACCUCAGUAAUGAUACCAGGGACAGAGAUAAAAGUCCCCUGGCUCUGGUCAUGAGACACAGCUUCAUUACUCGCACAGCGGGUGGUCCUGUGGCUCUCAACGCUUGCAUUUAUUUUUAUUUUUUUAUUUUUUUAUUCUCUGAUAAUGAGAAAAUGUUUAAACUCCCAUCCCUGUGUUUAAACACUUCUUCCUGCUGACAGCAGCAGGGAGAGCCCUUGAUCAGCUGUCAGGCUGAAAAGUGCAAUUUUUUCGGGAAAGUAAACAGCAUGUUUGCCAGUGGGAAAUAAUUUUCUAUUUGUUUGCACACUGUUAGUGCUGGGAGUGAUGGAGCCAUGUCAAAGUAGUUGAUUGACUCAGAGAUAGGGAAUAGCAAAUGGGCCGGGGGGGGGGGGAGAAAAAUGCCCUUUAUUGUGUGCUUUUGGUAACAAGAGCCUGCGAUUUCGGAGAUUUCACCGCACACCAACAUUUUGAGGCUCAGUUUGGGCACCUCCCUCUGUGUGAGCCUCUGAAUCAGUGCGGUGCAGAAAGAAUAAUGGGGAGUUGCGGCGCAGUUCAAUAUAAAAAUCUGUCGUAUGAAGAACAUUUUACAAACCAGGUGUUCUUUUAUAUAUAAUACCCCAGAUGACACAUGAUUUACACCUGUCUAUGUAUUUCUCGGGGGCGCAGGUGGCACUGUGGUCUAAACCACAGAGCCUAGGGCUUGCGGAUCAGAAGGUCGGCGGUUCGAAUCCCCGCAACGGGGUGAGCUCCCGUGGCUUGGUCCCUGCUCCUGCCCACCUAGCAGUUCGAAAGCUCGUCAAAGUGCAAGUAGAUAAAUAGGUAACGCUCUGGCGGGAAGGUAAACAGCGUUUCCGUGCGCUGCUCUGGUUUCACCAGAAGCGGCUUAGUCAUGCUGGUCACAUGACCCGGAAAAACUGUCUGCGGACAAACGUCGGCUCCCUCGGCCAGUAAAGCGAGAUGAGUGCCGCAACCCCAGAGUCGUUCGCGACUGGACUUAACUGUCAGGAGUCCUUUACCUUUUUACCUUUAUGUAUUUCUCAUAUAAGCUACUCAGUUGCUAGAUUUUACAAAGUGCGGUAGACUGGGGAGGUCUGCUUACCUUAACGAUAUUUUCACAUGAGCAUGCAGUGAUCAAAUGGAUCACAUCUCAGAUACAGUCACCUAUUGCUGCUGUUUUAAUAUAUUUUAAAAUUUUGCUGUAUGACUUUAUUCCAGGCCGCUCUGAGUACAGUGGUACCUCAGGAUGCGAACGAGAUCUGUUCUGGAGCCCCGUUCGCAUCCUGAACAGAACGUAAGACGUGACUGUGCGUCUGCGUGUGCACGGGUUGCAUUUCGCCGCUUCUGCGCAUGUGCGUGACGUCAUUUUGACCGUCUGCACAUGCGCGAGCGACAAAACCCGGAAAUAACGUGCUCUGUUACUUCCGGGUCACCGCGGAGCGCAACCCAAAAAUACUUAUCCUGAAGCGUAUUUAUCCUGAGGUAUGACUGUACGUUGUUUAUUAACGGGAAAGGCUGGAGGUUUCAAUUAUGUUAAAUAAAUAAUAUAUUCAUUAACAAACUCUGAGUGAAACAUGCUAUUUCUGGAGGCUACCUGAUCAGAUUCGUGGAUGAAGGAUCGGGAGGGGUGGGUGAGAGCAUAGAAACUAGCCUUCUGUAAGGUAAAGGUAAAGGGGACCCCUGACCAUUAGGUCCAGUCGUGGCCGACUCUGGGGUUGCGGUGCUCAUCUCACUUUAUUGGCCGAGGGAGCCAGCGUACAGCUUCCGGGUCAUGUGGCCAGCAUGACUAAGCCGCUUCUGGUGAACCAGAGCAGCACACGGAAACGCCGUUUACCUUCCCGCCGGAGCGGUACCUAUUUAUCUACUUGCACUUUGACGUGCUUUCGAACUGCUAGUUUGGCAGGAGCAGGGACAGAGCAACGGGAGCUCACCCCGUCGCGGGGAUUUGAACCGCCGACCUUCUGAUCGGCAAGUCCUAGGCUCUGUGGUUUAACCCACAGCACCACCUGCGUCCCUAGAUAUUCAGAGGUAGUACAUCUCUAAAUAGGUAAAGGUAACUGAACGGUUAAGUCCAGUCGUGACCGACUCUGGGGUUGCGGUGCUCAUCUUUCUUUAUUGGCGUACGCCGUUUAGCUUCCCGCCGGUGCGGUACCUAUUUAUCUACUUGCUCCUUGACGUGCUUUCGAACUGCUAGGUUGGCAGGAGCAGGGACCGAGCAACGGGAGUUCCCCCGAUUGCCAGGAUUCGAACCAUGACCUUCUGAUCGGCAAGUCCUAGGCUCUGUGGUUUAACCCACAGCGCCAUGUACAAAUGUAAAGUUUAGUGUCCUUGCUCCACUUGCAUUCCCUCUGACCCUGCCCACAAUUAGCAUGUGGCCCUCAGAAAGCUUCUCAGAAAGAAAUGCGGCCCUUGAGCUGUGAAAGUCCCCCCCCCCUUGCUUGGUACUGUGACUUUGCCCUAACCUAACCGGCAUUGCGCCCAUACAGGUUUAAAUGCUUUCGUACUUUUUGGAGUACCGACAGCUUUCGAUAUACAGCUCUAUCUAAAUAUAUGAAGCCCUAGCGUCACUGACAAGAGGCAUUCUUUUGCGCUUACCUGGAAGAAGCUUGGCAGCAAAUUAAUCUGUUCGCAACUGUAAGAAGCAUGAAUAGGCCAACUGCAGGGAAGGUUGCUUAAGAAACUGAACGCCUGCCUCUUCCUCUCGGCCCCUGAGGGCAGCGGCUUAAGAGUGCGGCACACAAACGUUUGAAAGACGCAAGUGACUCAUGACACCAAAACUGAUCUCUGAUCAACCCAGGCAUUUGGCAGCUGGACAGAUUUUCAGUCUUAGAAAAGGUUUCCCAGCUAUCAUACCCUACCGGAGGAACACGCUCACAGCCUAAAAGUUCCUCUUUCGUUCCCUGCCAUUUGCACCUUUUCCUUCUCUGCUUUUCUCCUUCCAAAGGGAAUGCCAACAUGGCAGCUUUCUGUACAGUGGUACCUCAGGUUAAGUACUUAAUUCAUUCCGGAGGUCCGUACUUAACCUGAAACUGUUCUUAACCUGAGGUACCACUUUAGCUAAUGGGGCCUCCCGCUGCCGCCAGAGCACGAUUUCUGUUCUCAUCCUGAAGCAAAGUUCUUAACCUGAAGCACUAUUUCUGGGUUAGCGGAGUAUGUAACCUGAAGCAUAUGUAACCUGAAGCGUAUGUAACCCGAGGUACCACUGUACUACUUUUCAUAUACAGAAGCAUGGAGGGGAGUGUAUAGGCUUGGCUCCAAAUAUAAGUUAACUCAUGGGUAGGCAAACUAAGGCCCGGGGGCUGGAUCUGGCCCAAUCACCUUCUAAAUGCAGCCUGCGGACGGUUUGGGAAUCAGCGUGUUUUUUCAUGAGUAGAAUGUGUCCUUUUAUUUAAAAUGCACCUCUGGGUUAUUUGUAGGGUCUGCCUGGUGUUUUUACAUGAGUAGAAUGUGUGCUUUUCUUUAAAAUGCAUCUCUGGGUUAUUUGUGGGGGCAUAGGAAUUCGUUCACCCCCCCCCCAAAAAAAAAAUAUAGUCCAGCCCUCCACAAGGUCUGAGGGACAGUGGACCGGCCCUCUGCUGAAAAAAAUUGCUGACCCCUGUUAAAGGAGGUUCGCUGGAGGAAUAUUCCAAUAUCCAUAUUGGGGCAAUACCUUUAUCAGACCAACGCAAAUGUCACAAAGCUUUUGAGCUCUCCAGAACUCAUCAGUAGGCUACAUGGUCAACAACACAAAGGGAAAAAACAAAGUGGCUCUUUAUUAAGCCAUGCACACCCCAUCCCAUCCUUGUCACCUGAACCCAUGUUCAUGGUUAAGCUCUCUACAUACCAACCAUGUGCUGUAGCCAAGACCAAACUUUGGCUGCAACUUGUGGUUAGUUAAGAGCUUAAUCACAAUCCUAGAUUAGACAACAUGGCAUAGCACAGGAGGAAAAAGGACCAGGGAGUUCCUCUUCCAGAGGGUCCCAGUAAGCCAUAAUUUGGCUUUGCUGACCAUGUCAUGCACAAAAAGUCAACACACACACACAUACACAUGGGUGGCGUUGUGGUCUAAACCACCAAGCCUCUUGGGCUUGCCGAUUGCAAGGUCAGCGGUUCAAAUCCCCACAAUGGGGUGAGCUCCUGUUGCUCAGUCCCAGCUUCUGCCAACCUACCAGUUCAAAAGCAUACCAGUGCAAGUAGAUAAAUAGGUACCGCUCUGGCGGGAAGGUAAACAGCGUUCCCAUGUGCUCUGGUUUCCGUCACGGUGUCCCGUUGCGCCAGAAGCGGUUUAGUCAUGCUGGCCACAUGACCCGGAAAACUGGUCCGCGGACAAACGCUGGCUCCCUCUGCCUGAAAAGUGAGAUGAGUGCCACACCCCAUAGAGAAUUCGACUGGAUUUAACCGUCCAGAGGUCCUUUACUUUUACACGCACACAAUAUCUAAUACGCCCCAGAGAUCUUGCAACACAGGCGCUCUAAACGCUUGCAAUCCAAAUUCACAUUUUCGUAUUGAUUAGUUCUUUCCUUUUGCUUACUUGACACAGGCCUGCAAUGCUUCAGGGAGUGGCUUCCUCAGAACCAAUUUAUUAUGGAGUGUUUUAGUAAUGUUCUCUAUUAAUAUCCUCUGCAGGUGAUUCAGAAUUGCUUUCCUUUUCUUAACAUAGUGGUACCUCGGGUUAAGAACUUAAUUCGUUCUGGAGGUCCGUUCUUAACCUGAAACUGUUCUUAACCUGAAGCACCAUUUUAGCUAAUAGGGCCUCCCGCUGCCGCUGCGCCACCGGAGCACGAUUUCUGUUCUCAUUCUGAAGCAAAGUUCUUGACCCGAGGUACUAUUUAUUACUGGGUUAGCGGAAUCUGUAACCUGAAACGUCUGUAACCUGAAGCAUAUGUAACCCAAGAUACCACUGUAUAUGUGACUCUUACAUCGUUGUGAGAAACUGUUGGUUAGCCUUCUUGUCCGAUGUGGCUCAGUAUUUGCACACAAUUUAAUCAGCAAGGGAAAGAGCAAAACGAGGAUUCUGGAAUUAACUGGGGUGGUGGUGGGUGUCGUCGCCCCCCUACUCUGUUUUUCCUUAUAGCAGUAUGCUUUCCUAGAAGCUGGAUGUAACAGAAACUGUACACCAUGCAACAGCAUUUAAUGAUUUAUUAUUGUAGAAGAAAAACAUUUUUUUUAAUAACUGCCCCCCCCAAAAAUAUCUAGCUCGGAAGGAGGGUUGAAAUUAAGGCCAACCUAUUUGCAUUGUGAAUAAAAGCUACCCACUCUCUAAGAAAAUGCAGAAAUUAUCAGUGCCCUCUAAUGAACUCUGGGGGAUCUGGGCCUUUGAUAUGGAUCUUGCUGCUGAAGAGGAAGGGCGGGGGGGUUUCUAGCCAGACUGAAGCCCAGCAUGGUGUGGAGGGUGGUGGGCAACCCAAUCUCCCUCAGAGUGAGAGAAAAGAAAUGGGAUUAUUGUUUUUUUCCUUCUUGUCUCUCCUGUGAGAAGGCCCAGCUGGGACCCAAAAAUGGAAGCAAGAAGAGUUACCGAAGAUUGAAGAAUGGAGGGUGAAGUUAAUGGAGUAUGCAGAAUUAGAUAAACUAACAGGAAGGAUUCGAAACCGGCGAGACCAGAAAUUCACGGAAGACUGGAGUAAAUUUACGGACUAUUUGAAAAGUAAUUGUGAAGAACAGACGACGUUUGUAGGGUUGCAAGAAGUUUUGUGAGGAGUAUUAUUGGAAGUAUUGCAAAAAUGGACAAGGGGGAGGAUGAUUUGUUAAGAGAUGUAAAGGCAAAAUAAAGUUAAGAAAUGCAUAAGAAGUGGUUAAAACGGUGGAUCAUCAGAGAUGCUGAUGGAAGUCUAAAAAGAUUGUAUAAGUGAUAAGUUUUGUGGUACAUUUUAUAAUUUAUAUGUUAAAAUUAAUAAAAAAUAUUAUAUAAAAAAAGAGAAGGCCCAGCUGGGGAGUUAAAUCCAGCCUUGUUUAAUCAGUACCAUAGCCAUCUUCACAAAAACCAGAAGCAAACCCACAUCUUUCUCAAACUGAGAAUGAGUCAUCCUGAGGUUAGAACAUCAGUGACAGGAGCAGCCAGACCUGUCUUCACAUUACAUUUGUGGCUACUUAAAGGGUGCGCAUGUUUGCAACCCGAUUCUCACAACCCUUCUUCCCUUGUGAAGCUUCAGUCAAUUCACACUUCAAUGGUCAUGUGAAGAAUAUAAAACCUACAUUGGCUAGAGCACGCAUUUGAUUUAUUUUCCAUACUCUGUGGCGCAUGGAGAACCUUUGGCCAUGACACAAAAAGCAUGUGAGAGGCUCAGAGACGCUCCUUGUUUUGCUUUGGUCUGUUCCAGAAGACACAGCGCGCUCAAAUGGAUAAAUCCUACUCCUUCUUUCCUUGAGGGAGGCUGGAUCAGAGCCACUUUGGUGUAGGGAUCUGUAGGAAUCACAUGUUCAUCUUGGGUCACAUCUGGUUCACGUUCAGACGACCUUUUUAUUUUUAGCAUUCAUUCCAAUUGGUUUGCAUAGAACUUAUACAGUGGUACCUCUGGAUGCAAACGGGAUCCUUUCCGGAGCCCUGUUCGCAUCCUGAAGUGAACGUAACACGUGACUGAGCGUCUGCGCAUGCGCAGGUCGCGUUUCGCCGCUUCCGCGCAUGUGUGUGACGUCAUUUUGGGCAUCUGCACAGGCAGCGAAACCUGGAAGUAACGCGCUCCGUUAUUUCUGGGUCGCCGUGGAGCGCAACCCGAAAAUAUUCAUCCCGAAGCUACUUCAACCCGAGGUAUAACUGUACAGUGGUACCUCAGGUUACAGACGCUUCAGGUUACAUACGCUUCAGGUUACAGACUCUGCUAACCCAGAAAUAGUGCUUCAGGUUAAGAACUUUGCUUCAGGAUGAGAACAGAAAUCGUGCUCCAGCGGCGCGGCAGCAGCAGGAGGCCCCAUUAGCUAAAGUGGUGUUUCGGGUUAAGAACAGUUUCAGGUUAAGUACGGGCCUCCGGAACGAAUUAAGUACUUAACCCGAGGUACCACUGUACCUCUGUUGAAAUUUACAAUUGGAUACAAUGAAUAGUAUACCUUAUUUAUCUAAGAACACAGCCAGUUAUGUGUUUAUUGAGGAUGCUUUACGUGACCAUAGGUUUGUAUGCGGGAAGGUAAACGGUGUUUCCGUGCGCUGCUCUGGUUCUCCAGAAGCGGCUUAGUCAUGCUGGCCACAUGACUGUACGCCGGCUCCCUCGGCCAAUAAAGCGAGAUGAGCGCCGCAACCCCAGAGUCGGCCACGACUGGACCUAAUGGUCAGGGGUCCCUUUACCUUUACCUUUAAUGCAAAUAAAUACAAUAUCAUGAUCUCACACAUUUUACAGCAAAAAUAAUAUCAAACAAUAAAUAUUUUCUACAUACCAUAUGUGAUAUUACAAGACAGUGGAUCUUAUGGCAUAGUAGUAGCUGUGGUAAGCAGCAAGUGUUAUAAAGUAGGGUUAUAUUGACAAGCACAAUAUUGAUUGGGUUACGUCUUGUGUGUGUAUUGAGAAUUCAAAAAGGACAACAUGCCCUUUUUGCCAAAACUGAUUCGUCUCCCCAAGCAGCUUGCAGGCAGUGCAGUGGGGUUGCCCAGAAUCCCUGCAAUGGCUAUAAAACGUAUGUGAGAGACUAUUAGCCUUGGGAACCUAAAUGACCACCAGCAGGGAUCAUUUAUUCCCAAUCAACAGAAGGAAAUGAAGGCCCCAGCUGUGCGGAAAGUGAGUUUUGCUUCCAAAUAUCAAGUAAAUGGUAUGUAUAGGUUCAAAAUAAUCAACAAUCCCACCACCACCAUCAUCAGAGCAUUAAGUUGAAUUUUACAUAUAUAAUAUAUAUAUUAUAAUAUGUAAUACAUAUAUGAUAGUAACAUUAAUGCAUAAGAUCCUUGUGGCUUCUGUUUGUUUGGGUUCACAGAGCUAUCAUAUUUUCAACCAUCCUUAAAACCACACAGGUGAGAAAUAAUAAUAAUAAUAAUAAUAAUAAUAAUAAUAAUAAUAUUAAUAAUAAUUUAUUUAUACCCCGCCCAUCUGGCUGAGUUUCCCCAGCCACUCUGGGCGGCUUCCAACAAAAUGCUAAAAUACAAUAACCUAUUAAACAUUAAAAGCUUCCCUAAACAGGGCUGCCUUUAGAUGUCUUCUAAAAGUCUGGUAGUUGUUGUUCUCUUUGACAUCUUGUGGGAGGGCGUUCCACAGGGCGGGUGCCACUACCGAGAAGGCCCUCUGCCUGGUUCCCUGUAACUUGGCUUCUCGCAGCGAGGGAACCACCAGAAGGCCCUCGGUGCUGGGGGUUGAGACGCUCCUUCAGGUAUACAGGAACCUUACAUCCAUUCCCCUCCCUUCCACGUGGCCCCGGGCACUGGCAACCCACGCUACACCACUAACUAAAACAGAUAUCGGAGGGAUUAAAUUGAAAGUGCUCGUGCGUAUAUGAAAGCACACAAAGGUGCACAUGGAAACAGUCAGCCAUGUAUACACAGUCAUGCCCUAGUGUGGACGCAGCCCAGGAUUACACGGUCAGCAUAUGUCCAGUGAAUUCUUAUUUCAAUUGCACAGAAGCCCUUGUUUCUUAGUUAGGGGAAUGACUUCUUUGCUCUUUCGGAAGGGAAACAGAAAAUGCGGUGCAACGGCAGACAAAGCUAAGGUAGAAGAGACAAGAGGUGAGGAGCCUGCCUUCUUAUUUUUGUAGCAUGGAGGGAAAAUGAGGAAUCCAGCUGUGAGUCUCCUCCAAUAUGCAGUCUGACAGUAUGGCAUGUGAGGUUUGAUCCUGCUCCAGGCAUGCUUCACAGGGAAUACUCUGUUCAAAGUAAUUAUCCUCUCGAACAGCCUAAGUAUUAAUUUAUGUUUGGUGAGGGAGGGGUGAAGGGAGAAUACUACCCUCGAUGGUAGGAGUUGAUUACAAAGUUAAUUUCACACAAUUUGCAUGCCUUGCCCACAAAGUUCUGGAGGGGCCUGAAGCUGGGGUCCUUUAGCGAUUAAUAAUAAAUAAUAAAUUUUUUUUAUUUAUACCCCGCCCUUCCCGGUUCAGAAAACCGGGCUCAGGGCAGCUAACAACAAAUUUAAAACACUUAAUUGAUGCAACAAAAAACAGCAUAAAAUACAGAAUAAAACGUGAAUAACAAUAAAUUCAAAAAUCAAUUUAGGGAGGAAAUCCAUCCAAUAAACAUUAGAUGACCACCAGGGCCAGCUGGCUAAAUUAGUCCUAUUUGGGCCAGCGAGGAGACCAGGGGAGAAUUAGCUGUGGGAUCCCAGAGUGGGUAAUCUUCAUGAACAGGGGAGGGGGAGGGAAGGAAGGGGAAUAAAAGAUCAGGCUAAGUUCAGAUUGAAAGCCAGGCGGAAUAGCUCUGUCUUACAGGCCCUGCGGAAGGAAGUUAAAUCCUGCAGGACCCUGCUCUCAUGGGGCAGACCAUUCCACCAGGUUGGAGCCAUCACUGAGAAGGCCCUGGCCCUGGUGGAGGAUAAUCUCAUAAACUAUGAUUAUUCAUGGCCCUUAAGGUCCUCUGCGGGGCAUACCAGGAGAGGCGGUCCCGUUAAUACAAGGGCUUUAAAGGUCAAAAGGCUUUAGGUAACGGUAAAGGGACCCCUGAUCAUCAGGUCCAGUCUUGGCCGACUCUGAGGUUGCGGCGCUCAUCUCGCUUUAUUGGCCGAGGGAGCUGGCGUACAGCUUCCGGGUCAUGUGGCCAGCAUGACUAAGCCGCUUCUGGCGAACCAGAGCAGCGCACAGAAACGCCGUUUACCUUCCCGCCGGAUUGGUACCUAUUUAUCUACUUGCACUUUGACGUGCUUUCGAACUGCUAGUUUGGCAGGAGCAGGGACCGAGCAACGGGAGCUCACCCCGCCGCGGGGUUUCGAACCGCCGACCUUCUGAUCGGCAAGUCCUAGGCUCUGUGGUUUAACCCACAGUGCCACCCACGUCCCAGCACCUUAAACGUAAGGAGACAGACAAACCAGGGAAGGGCUGCAAAACAGCCCAAGAGAGGAAAGCAGCUUUUAAAGGGAACACCAAGGCUAGUUCACCUUGUUGUCUUAAAGUUUCUGCUCUCAAUUAAUUUAGUUCGGAGAGGGAAUUUGCUGCAGAAGGUUGCCAGGACUAAGGGCAGCUGCGCUAUUCAGAAGAAAUACAUGUAUUCAAUUAAAAAUGAACUGAUAAGUUUCUCGUGUUACUUCUUCUGGUUGUAUUGGUAGACUUCUGACGUGCAUGCGUGCGUGCGGCUGAAACGAAAUACUAACGUUACUUUCAAUUACUUUCCAGAACAGUAGUGUAUUGGUCCAUAUUACUACUUUAAAACCAUCCAAUCCCUUAUAUCUCUGCCGGAUCACGGAGAUCUUUGUGGGUGUUGCUCUCUCCUAGCUCAAAUUUGACAGGCUCUCCUCUUUGUUGACCUUCAGGUGCCUGGCAAAGACCUUUCUCUUUCAGCAGGCAUUUUAAGAAAGCUUUCUAUUUUUAUAAUUAAUUUUUAUUUCCCAUAAUUUCUAUUAAAUCACUUCAUUAAUUAAGCAGGGUACAAAUACCGCAAACAAACAAAUGUCCUCCGAAUACAUUUUUGAGCGUAACCCAUACUUUUCCGUGUACAAGACUAGGAUAUUUUGUUUAAAAAUCAUGCUAAAAAAUGAGGGUAGGCUUAUACAUGGGUAGUGCAUAGGUUGGACAUUUGAUUGGUUGCUGCCGCAACUGUCAGCAGCUAUUGUGCGUGUUAUUGGUUGCUGUGUCAAUGGGUGGUAUUGAUUGGCUGUCGCUGCGGCAAUUGGGCGGGCAAUUGGCAGCUUCUGCCAGCGAGGGGACAGACGAGAGGCGAAUUUAGAGGCGCAUGCGGGUGAGCGAUUUUCGAAAACAACGCUGGGCUCUGCAAAAGAAGCUCAACAACUCUAUGCCAUCUCCCCCCAUUUUCUUAAAUUUGAGUCCCCCCCGAAAUAGGGGGCAUCUUAUACACAGAAAAAUAUGGUAAAUUCAAACCCACUGUGACUUAUUUCUGAGUAGACCUGUCUGGUAUUGGAAAUUCUAAUCUGAUGUAUCUCUUAAGUUGUGGGUGAACAUAUCAGAUGACACAGCGAUUCUUCAAACAGCUCUUGUUUAUUCACAGGCCAGAACAGAACUGAACUAAAGGGUUCAGCCAGCCUGCUAUAUAUAGAGCUCCACUAGAACGCAACUGUAACCACUUUCUGUAACUAUCCAAUCACUGAACGUCAUUUUCAAUCCCUUAUUUGCAUAUGUGGACCUGAGUGAAAACUAUCUCCAUAUCCCCCUGCUGGUCCAGGGUGAUACCUUCAAUCCAUAACAGUAUCCAUGAUGGAAACCGAGGCAAGGCAGUCUUUAUUCCAGAUUAGUCAAUCCCAAACACUUGUCUCUGACGCUGCUCAUCGCCAACUCUUUUCAACAGAAAAAUAAAAUAUUACCUACUCCUGAACUCUGAAAUAGUGCAUCUUUCACUGGAGGAUACAAAAGCCUUCCAAAAAAAGAAAAAGAAAGCACAGUGGUGAAGAUAAUCCAAAAUUCUGUUAAAAAAAUAAAAUAUACAAUAAAACAGCGAACAGAUCAGCCCUUCUGGAGUAAAAGGUAACUAUGCAUAAAAGAAAACAGAUAAACUAGAACUCACCAAGAGGCUUUGAGUCUGAAACUUCAAAGGAGGACGUCAAGUUAAUUCCCUUCAAACCUUUAAAAACAACCAACCUGAACAAAUAUACAAUUUUCAAUAAUUACUAAUUGAAAUCGCAUGACCAUAUAUCCCAGCAAAUCCCAGGCCAUGAAAUUACGGUACCCUUUUCAGAAUUUACCAUGUUGUUUUUCGUCAAUAUAGCCAUUAGUGUAACCUUGCCAAAGUUUACGAAAGGUUACCAAACAAUUAGGACGAAUAACCCUAAAACAUAGCAAGGAAUAUCCCUGGGAAAGUCCCAGGUACUCUCAAAGUUUUAGAUUCAGAUGAUAUGAGUAAUGCGUAUAUUUCCCUGUUUAGGGAAGCUUUUAAUCUUUGAUGGACUACUGUAAAUAAAUAAAUAAAUAAAUAAAUAAAUAAAUAAAUAAAUGAUCCUUCGAGAUUAUAAGCAGAUCUUCUGGCGAAGCAAUCCUGUGUUGUUGGCUAUUAUUUCCAAUUCGACUCAAAUAGGUUUCUCUAAGAGAUGCGAUGCUGAACGUAUCACAUGCAAUCCCACCUGCAAAAAAAUGGAAUUUGAAAAGUGUGCAGCACUGUUUUUGUGGGUACCACAGCACCAAGGGAGGGGAGGUUUUAUAUGAAAAACAAACAAACUGGGGGAAGGGAGUAGCCAAGCCGGUUGCUGUUGCCGUCGUCGUCUCAGCAUCCCCAUCACCUCUUGCAGCAACACACAACAAGAAGUCUUGUUUACACCUUUCAGCCUAACAAAUUUAGUAUGGCAUUUGUGGACUCAUGCUCACAUCAUCAGGCGAAAACAGGAAAUCAGUCACUGUGGUUAAAAUACUUCCGAGAAGCCUAUGGCACGCACACCCAUCCUCAUCCCUUAUUGUAACUUGGCUUAAGUGCGUAACCAAAAUAAAUGCACCUUUACCCCUUGAAUGUGCUUCCCAUCUUUCUCUUGCCGUUAUGCUUGCCAUUAGUGCUAGGGACAUGGGUGGUGCUGUGGGUUAAACCACAGAGCCUUGGGUUUGCCGGUCAGAAGGUCGGCGGUUCGAAUCCCUGCGACGGGGUGAGCUCCCGUUGCUCAGUCCCUGCUCCUGCCAACCUAGCAGUUCGAAAGCACAUCAAAGUGCAAGUAGAUAAAUAGGUACCACUCCGGCGGGAAGGUAUACGCCGGAGUGUACGCCAGCUCCCUCAGCCAAUUAAGCGAGAUGAGCGCUGCAACCCCAGAGUUGUCCGCGACUGGACCUAAUGGUCAGGGGUCCCUUUACCUUUACAUGCCUAUGACAUGCUUUGCUAUACAUCCAUUCAGCCUUGACUUUCAAGAUGACUCACCAACCUGAACUUAGAUAGCUGAACAAAAGUGCUCCGAAAAUAAAUGUCACUGAGGGGUCAGGCCUCUCUGAACUAGACCAUAAUUUAAUUGCUGCCAUAGUGAAAGCGAAGCAUGCAGGAGUUGAGUGAUAUAACCCGAUACACUGAUGUCAAAGCCAGGCAUCUGAACACCUAGUAGUUUAAUUUUACUAGGGAUAUAAAUAGGGUUGAUAUUUCCUGCUGGCCCUGUAACAAUAAUUUAUUCCUCUGUCUCAGAUUCUGUUUUAUAGCGUAUCAGCCGGGAGAACAGAAUUCUACUUGGCCAUGUAAUGUGACUCAAAGAGUCUUAAUUCUGGCUAUUAAUAAUAAUAAUAAUUUUUUCUUCUUCUUUGGUGAUCACUCGUAGCCGAGUAAGAUUGUCUUCCAUGAACACGGUUUUAACAGUGAGUCCGUAAGUGACUGUGGAGGCCAAUUCUGGAUCCACACAUCCUUCCACAGUGGGGACAUUGGUUUCUGGGAGGGAGUUGAUCAUAAUGAGGGUUUGCCAAACGUGCCUUCCUCUUUGUGCGUUUCUUCCUUUCGUCCGGAAUUUGAGUGUCUUCCACAUCCAUGUCAUCUUUGGUAAAGGCUGUGCCCACGCAUUUGGCUACAUUGCCCCAAAACAUAUAAAACAUACCGGUAAUAAAACGUAGAACAUCAAGAACUUCCUGAUACAAGGUAGCAGGGCUGCCUUCAGAUGUCUUCUAAAAGUUCCCCAUCCAAUUCUAUAUAUGGGAUGGGAUGAGAUGGGGGAAUAAUCUUCUUGGGCCAAACUUGGUCCUCUGCCAUUGAGCUACUCACCACAAUGAUGUGAGGUGUGUUAGGCUGAGAAGAAUUUGGUCCAAGGGCACCCAGUGAGCUUCAUUGCUCCCUUGGUAGGAAUUGGAACAUGGUUCUUACUCCAAGUGAAACACUCCAACCACGAUCCUUGUGUUCCCAUUAAAAUAAAUUACAGUUGACUGGUGUAUGAGGGUUUCUCUAGGAGCGCAGAUCAUGGCAGGUUUUUUUUUGGCUAAGAGCACAUUUUGAGUUUUGAGGCAGUGCUGUGGGCUCCAGUCACAAAAUGGCCACCACUGGGUGUGGCCCAAGGCAAAAUGGCCACUCUGCUGGUGUAGAACAAAACAAAAUAAAUGCCAGGCGGUGUGUGAUGUGGCAAGAAAUGGCUGCCACAACUGAACGAGCAGAAAAAGCAACAGGUUUGGACAUGUCCCCUCCAUCAGUGUGUGUGUGUGUGUGUGUGUGUGUGUGUGUGUGUGUAGAUAUUUUCUCAUUGAGAGAAGCUCUCUGGUGUUAAGAAUAGAGUGGGAGUCCAAACUUGGCAUCCAAUGAAAUGUUUGGCAGAGAGGGUAUCCAAUCUAGGACCGACCCUCUAAGUGUCCCUAUUUUCCAGGGAUGUUCCUGAAUUUAGAGAAGCCAUCCCGGUUUCUGAUUUGAUCCCAGAAUAUCCCACUUCUCCUUGUUGUUGUUUAGUUGUUUAGUCGUGUCCGAUUCUUCGUGACCCCAUGGACCAGAGCACACCAGGCACUCCUGUCUUCCACUGCCUCCCGCAGUUUGGUCAAACUCAUGCUGGUAGCUUCGAGAACACUGUCCAACCAUCUCGUCCUCUGUCGUCCCCUUCUACUUGUGCCCUCCAUCUUUCCCAGCAUCAGGGUCUUUUCCAGGGAGUCCUUCACUUCUCAUGAGGUGGCCAACGUAUUGGAGCCUCAGCUUCAGGAACUGUCCUUCCAGUGAGCACUCAGGGCUGAUUUCCUUCAGAAUGGAUAGGUCUGAUCUUCUUGCCAUCCAUGGGACUCUCAAGAGUCUCUUCCAGCACCAUAAUUCAAAAGCAUCAAUUCUUCGGCAAUCAGCCUUCUUUAUGGUCCAGCUCUCACUUCCAUACAUCACUACUGGGAAAACCAUAGCUUUAACUAUACGGACCUUUGUCAGCAAGGUGAUGUCUCUGCUUUUUAAGAUGCUGUCUAGGUUUGUCAUUGCUUUUCUCCCAAGAAGCAGGCAUCUUUUCAUUUCAUGGCUGCUGUCACCAUCUGCAGUGAUCAUGGAACCCAAGAAAGUAAAAUCUCUCACUGCCUCCAUUUCUUCCCCUUCUGUCCCUAUUUUCUUUGGAGAAAUGUUGGAGGACAUGGAGUUAUGCAACCUCCAAGCCAAGGAGAUAAGUAUGGUGUUAUCCCACCCCGAGUCAUCUGAAGGCAAACCUGUAUAGGGAAAGUUUUUUUAAAAUUGUUUAAUGUUUUAUUAUGUUUUUAUAUAUGUUGGAAGCUGCCCGGUAUAUACUGGGGCAACCCAGUAAGAUGUGUGGGGUAUAAAUAGCAAAAUUAUCAUUAUGGAAUGGGACAUCCCUAUUUUCAUCAGAGAAAUGUUGGAGGGAUAGGCAGAACCAAAGCAAACAGGAACUGAGCAGGAAGAGUGAAGAGUCUCUCACAUGCCAUAGAUUUUUGAGGGGCUAUUGCAGACACCCUGGGCACAUUUAAGCUUUUGUUGGAUUGGAGGCCGUUCACAAACAGCCCAACUUCAGCCCUGUCUCAGGAUAACCACAGCUGCCUCUGCACUCCAUCGCAAUGUGAAGUGGCAUGAUUUCAAACACAUGAAGAGGCGGGACGCUUUGCGGCGGCUGUUUUACAGAAAGCGAAACCCCGUAGGCCUCCGGAUUCGGUGCCAGAGAUCAGCUUCCAUGUAGAAUCUGACACGUUUUGGAUCCCAGAAGGCAACCGGCGCCUGUCUCGCCUUUUGCGCAAUGACAGUGAGCUCCUGAUGGUUCAGACAGCCACAGAAAAGGAAGUUCUGCACAAGUGACCUUGAGCACUGGCGGCGCAGCAGGGAGCUGGUGUACUGAUGUAAAAAAAUAUGGCAGGAAGCACCCUUUGCAUCCCCUGCCCGGUUGAGAGAGAGGGCAGCUUGUCGCCAGGAAUUCAGCGCGCAAUAACCAAGAGGGUCUCGAAGGGGUUAACUGGAUUCUGCCUAUCUUUUCUGUUGAACUCAUUGAUUCAGGGGUGUUUCCACCCCCUCUCUCUGUUCCUAUUCCUUUCUUUUACUUUCUUCUUCUUUCUCUUGCAGCUGAUUAAAAACUCUUUUGAGUUUGAAGGGGCUUUUUUGUAUCAAAACAACUCAUCUGCCAGCUGGGUGCCAAGCAGUGAAUAUUCAUGGUAUUUAAAUGCGACAGCAUAGUAGGGUGGGUUGGGGGGGGGAAGGAUGGACUAGUUAUAGUUCUUUUUAGAUGGAGAUUAGCUGCCACUUUGCUCCUUAUGUUCUUAAUCAGGACCGUUGUUGAAAUAUUAAGGCUUCUGUUACUACGACUAAUGCCCCCUAAAUGAAGAACAGGCUCCUCUGAAUAACAUCAAAUGGUCACUUUUAAUUUCAAUACAGCAUUUCUUUCCACUUUGGGUGGAUGGGGAGAAAGAGCUGGCCUGACACCAUCCUGUUUGGUUUCAGAACCAGAAGGCAGUGAAGAACUUUGGCUGCUUAGUUAAAAAACACGUGCUUCUCGUCCUUUUCUUCAUCUGAGUUCAUCAUAAGGUAAAGGUAAAGGGACCCCUGACCAUUAGGUCCAGUCGUGGCCGACUCUGGGGUUACAGCGCUCGUCUCGUUUUAUUGGCCGAGGGAGCCGGCGUACAGCUUCCAGGUCAUGUGGCCAACAUGACUAAGCCGCUUCUGGCGAACCAGAGCAGCGCACGGAAACGCCGUUUACCUUCCCGCCAGAGCGGUACCUAUUUAUCUACUUGCACUUUGACGUGCUUUUGAACUGCUAGGUCGGCAGGAGCUGGGACCAAGCAACGGGAGCUCACCCCGUCGCGGGGAUUCGAACCGCCGACUUUCUGAUCGGCAAGUCCUAGGCUCAGUGGUUUAACCCACAGCGCCACCCGCGUCCCUAUGAGUUCAUCAUAUCCAACCUUUAAAUAAUGCUUUUUACCUGCAGUGGAAGCAAGCGCAUGCUUGCUCCAAAAAAGAAGCUCAAUUGUGCUGGAUGGGUUUCACUCCCUCAUAAACUACAUUUAGGAUUGCAGCUGGUUCAUAAGCUACCAGAGUUCACUCGAAUGAAAUUCAAAGCACAUCAGCCUGGGAGUCAUUUUGGACUCACAGCUGUCCAUGGAGGCGCAAGUCAAUUCUGUGUCCAGGGCAACUGUCUACCAGCUCCAUCUGGUACGCAGGCUGAGACCCUCCCUCCCUGCAGACUGUCUUGCCAGAGUGGUGCAUGCUCUGGUUAUCUCCCGCUUGGACUACUGCAAUGUGCUCUAUGUGGGGCUACCUUUGAAGGUGACCCGGAAACUACAACUAAUCCAGAAUGCAGCAGCUAUACUGGUGACUGGGAGUGGCCACCGAGACCACAUAACACCGGUCCUGAAAGACCUACAUUGGCUCCCAUUACAUUUCUGGGCACAAUUCAAAGUGUUGGUGCUGACCUUUAAAGCCCUAAAUGGCCUUGGCCCAGUAUACCUGAAGGAGCGUCUCCACCCCCAUCGUUCUGCCCGAUCACUGAGGUCCAGCUCUGAGGGCCUUCUGGCGGUUCCCUCAGUGAGAAGUGAGGUUACAGGGCCUUCUCGGUAGUGGCGCCCGCCAUGUGGAACGCCCUCCAAUCGAAUGUCAAAGAAAUAAACAACUAUCUGACUUUUAGAAGACAUCUGAAGGCAGCCCUGUUUAGGGAAGUUUUUAAUGUUCGAUGUUUUAUUGUAUUUUUAAUAUUUUCUUGGAAGCCGCCCAGAGUAAUAAUAAUUAUUAUCAGCAUCCGCAUCAUCACCACCAGCACCAUGAGAAUUAAUGAAAUUAAAAGCACAUAAUGAAAUGAUGCACCAUUGACUCCAGUAGUUCAUAUUGUUUUAUUAUGUUGGGUGCAUCAAUGCCGGAUUUAGGGCUGUGUAGAAGAAUUGAUGCUUUUGAAUUAUGGUGCUGGAGGAGACUCUUGAGAGUCCCAUGGACUGCAAGAAGAUCAAACCUAUCCAUUCUGAAGGAAAUGAGCCCUGAGUGCUCACUGGAAGGACAGAUCCUGAAGCUGAGGCUCCAAUACUUUGGCCACCUCAUGAGAAGAGAAGACUCCCUGGAAAAGACCCUGAUGCUGGGAAAGAUGGAGGGCACAAGGAGAAGGGGACGACAGAGGACGAGAUGGUUGGACAGUGUUCUCGAAGCCACCAGCAUGAGUUUGAUCAAACUGUGGGAGGCAGUGGAAGACAGGAGAGCCUGGCGUGCUCUGGUCCAUGGGGUCAUGAAGAGUCGGACACGACUCAACGACUAAACAACAACAACAAGGCAGUUCCCCCGCACAGGGCGCCGAACCGAGGGGAGCAGAAAACUAUGACAUAGCACACUUGAGAGCAUGCGCAGGAUGGAAGGCAAGAGGGUGCCAAAUUUUGUCGUCGUUCAGAGUGCCCUAUUACCAAAGGCUGCCCCAAGUGCAUUGUUCUGCAUGAGGAUUUAGGAACUAUGUCCAUAAGCUGUACAUGGGGGGAGGGCAGGAAUCGAUCCUCCUUCCAUUAAUUAAUGGCUAUCAAGCAUAUGGGGUAUGGCGUUACACAAUCAAAUUAAUUAGCAUUGUAAGAGUUAUAGAAAAGGGACGCAGGUGGCGCUGUGGGUUACACCACAGAGCCUAGAACUUGCCGAUCAGAAGGUCGGCGGUUCGAAUCCCCGUGACGGGGUGAGCUCCCGUUGCUCGGUCCCUGCUCCUGCCAACCUAGCAGUUCGAAAGCACGUCAAAGUCAAGUAGAUAAAUAGGUACCACUCUAGCAGGAAGGUAUACGGCGUUUCCAUGCGCUGCUCUGGUUCGCCAGAAGCGGCUUAGUCAUGCUGGCCACAUGACCCGGAAGCUGUACGCCGGCUCCCUUGGCCAAUAAAGCGAGAUGAGCACCGCAAUCCCAGAGUCGGUCACGACUGGACCUAAUGGUCAGGGGUCCCUUUACCCUUUACCUUUAAGAGUUAUAGAAGGCUGGUGUUUGGACAAUAAUUUCAGUGGGAGGAAUUGAACUGUUAUCAUGGCUCUCGCUUGCCUCGAUGAAUGGAGAGGUGUUUGUGUGCAGAAACCUCUGUUGAUGGGAUGUAGCCAACACUCAUUGUUCUGCACACUUUUUGGCUAAGGCCACAACCUCUUCUGUUCUUGAAUUGCCUCCUACUGGCAAUGUAUAACUUCAUUAUUAUUAUUAGUUUUUAAUAGUUAAUGCUAUAUUGUUUUUAACACUUGAUUGGAAGCCGCCCAGAGCGGCUAGGAAACUCAGCCAGGUGGGCGGGGUAUAAAUAAUAAAUUAUUAUUAUUAUUAUUCAUGGGGCAUCCAACUUUAUUAAGAUGCAAACAUAAUUUUAAACCCAUCAACUGCCAUUUCAGGUGUGGGCAUCCUUUCGUGAUGGAGAACAAGUCCCAUUUCCCCAUGCCUUUGGCCAUGCUUGCAUUUAUAGACACCUGGCAUAGUCUAUAAUCCUGACAUUUGGGUUUUGUUGCAGAAAGUAGUAUUCAGACCUGCCCUGAGACCGCUAGGUGAAAACAUUUUAAUUGCUUACCGUAUUUUCUGCCCCAUAGGGCGCACCUAGUUUUUUUGUGGGGGAAAUAUUAUUAUUUCCCCCCCAGGCACGGGGCUGGGGCGGGGGAAGCCCGAGCUUCCCCCGACCCCAGCCCCCAGAACAGGCUGCUAUCCGCAAGCCUCAAAAAUCUGCAAGCCUAGGGAGCCCGCGGGAAGUCGCGCCGGUCUCCCCAGGCUUGCGGGUAUCUGCCCGAAGGCUUCGGGAUGCAGGCAUCUCUCUUCGGAAUGCAGGCAACUCCACAAACCAGGUCAGGGAACAGCGGGAUGGCGGCGCUCCACCUCCCCGCUGUCCCCCAAGCUUGUGGGGCUGCCCGAUAUCUGCACGAAAUCCAGGGCACACUGUGCAGCGCGCCCCAGGCUUCAGGAUGCAGGCUGCUAUCUGCUAGCCUUGGGAGCCCGACGGGAACUCCCGCGGAGCUCCCAAGGCUUGCGGAGAGCUUCCUGAAGCCUGCAUUUGCCCCAUAGGACGCACACACAUUUCCCCUUCAUUUUUGGAGGGGAAAAAGUGCGUCCUAUAGGGCGAAAAAUACGGUAGUCUCUGUAGUGUCACGUUGUAUUCUAAUUUUUAUAAUACAGUCGUACCUUGGAAGUCAAACAGAAUUCGUUCUGAAAGUCCGUUUGACUUCCAAAACGUUCGAAAACCAAAUUGUGGCUUCUGAUUGGCUGCAGAAAGCUCCUGCAGCCAAUCAGAAGCCGCAGAAGCCCCAUUGGACGUUUGGGUUCCAAGAGAAUGUUCGCAAACCGGAACAAUCACUUCCAGGUUUCCGGCAUUUGGGAGCCAAAACAUCCAGGAUCCAGGGUGUUUGGGAUCCAAGGUAAAAGGUAAAGGUAAAGGGACCCCUGACCAUUAGGUCCAGUUGUGGCCGACUCUGGGGUUGUGGCGCUCAUCUCGCUUUAUUGGCCAAGGGAGCCGGCAUACAGCUUCCGGGUCACGUGGCCAGCAUGACUAAGCUGCUUCUGGCGAACCAGAGCAGCGCACAGAAACGCCAUUUACCUUCCCGCCAGAGCGGUACCUAUUUAUCUACUUGCACUUUGACGUGCUUUUGAACUGCUAGGUUGGCAGGAGCAGGGACCGAGCAACGGGAGCUCACCCCGUCAUGGGGAUUCGGACCGCCGGCACUCUGAGAGCAUUGCUGAAAGACAGCCAACAAAUAUUUUAAAUAAAUUCGCUGCCCACCCAUGGAACUCUAAGCUUUCUCUCUCCCUCUUGAGAACAGCAUUUGGAAAUAACGCAACAAACAAGAUGCCACAUUUAACAGCUGCAUUGCUGAAAGUUUCCUUUACUCUGGAAUAGCAGGGCUUUCUUUUAAGGGAUAUUGGGAAAUGGGCUGGGGCAAAUGAUAAGCUUGCAUUUUCACAAAGGACGCUGGUUCUGUUUCUUCUCCCACCGCCAUCAAAGGAAAAGAACAAACGACGGCUGCAUUCUAUAUUCUGCUGCAACUUGUUGCUUUUUAAAAAACCUGGCACGCAGGAAUCAAGUGGAGAAGCAUUUUUGCUCCGUAAAUGAAUCUCAGGUCAUUCUUGACCUUUGAUAAAUAUUGCUGUCGUAUCAUUUUAGAGAAUUAGAAGAAUGUGGAUAGGGGGGAAUCAGUCUGUACACUCUAUGGAAGGAGAAAGCCAAACCAGUAGGCGCGUCAUUCCAGGCAGAUAUUUGCAACGGUGAGGUAUUUGUUUGCUUUCUGAAGACAAUGAUGAUUAGGGAAAAAGAAGAAUGACAACGUUUUUCAGCAGACACCCCCUGUCCCAAAUGCUCAUGAAACCUGACUUAGGAUCUGAUAUUGCAAGCAGUUGUUAGGAGCUAUGGUUUUCCCAGUAGUGAUGUAUGGAAGUGAGAGCUGGACCAUAAAGAAGGCUGAUCGCUGAAGAAUUGAUGCUUUUGAAUUAUAGUGCUGGAGGAGACUCUUGAGAGUCCCAUGGACUGCAAGAAGAUCAAACCGAUCCAUUCUGAAGGAAAUCAGCCCUGAGUCCUCACUGGAAGGACAGAUCCUGAAGCUGAGACUCCAAUACUUUGGCCACCUCAUGAGAAGAGAAGACUCCCUGGAAAAGACCCUGAUGUUGGGAAAGAUUGAAGGUACAAGGAGAAGGGGAUGGCAGAGGAUGAGAUGGUGGGACAGUGUUCUCGAAGCUACCGGCAUGAGUUGGACCAAACUGCGGGAGGCAGUGGAAGACAGGAGUGCCUGGCGUGCUCUGGUCCAUGGGGUCACGAAGAGUCGGACUAAACGACUAAACAACAACAACAAAAUGGUUGUGGUACUAAGCAAUACCACAAAAUGCUUGUUUACAAAUCUAAUGUACUACCAGCCUUACUGUAUGCUUGUGAUACAUGGACCACUCCAACGCCACCUCCAAGUCCCCAAAAGAUUCCAUCAACAGUGUCUCCAAAAAAUUUUAUUUUUUAUUUUAUAAAUAUUUUUAUUAAACAAUUUCAACAUAACAAAUUAUCAGUCCAAAUAAUCAAUUACAUUAUUCCCCCCCAUCCGUCCCUCGCCCCCCCCAAGACUUCCCUCAGCUCCCCUUUCUGGUUUCUUUAACACAUAUUGUUCUCUGCAUGUUAUAAAAUUGUACAUACUCUGGCUUUGUCUACCAUAUGUUCAACUAAUAAAUUUGUGGAUGUUUAUUCAAAACCUGCCAAGGAGUCCAGAUCAUUUCGUGGUCUUUUUAGGUAGUUUGUAAAAAGUUCCCAUUCUUCCUUGAAGUCACAGUUGUCCUUGUCAUGGCAGUUUGUAUGUCAAUUUAGCCAAUUCCGCAUAGUUCAUCAGUUUUUCUUGCCAUUGUUCUUUCAUUGGGAUUUCCUCAUUCUUCCAUCCUUGUGCUAGCAAGACUCUUGCCGCUGUUGUAGCAUACAUAAAUAAGUUCUUUAUUUUUCUUAGCAGGUCUUGUCCUACAAUCCCUAAUAAAAAUGCUUCUGGUUUGUUUGUUUUUUACAAAAGUCAUUUAAAACAUUUUUUUUCAAUUCAUUAUAUAUCAUUUCCCAAAAAUUUUUAACUUCUCUAUAUUCCCACCACAUAUGAUAAAAAGUAACUUCUUUUUCUUUACAUUUCCAACAUAUAUUUGACCCGGUUUUGUACAUUUUUGCUAUUUGUACUGGUGUGGCAUGCCAUCUGUACAUCAUUUUCAUAUAAUUUUCUUUCAAGAGUGAACAUUCUGUAAAUUUCAGAUCUACCUUCCACAGUUUUUCCCAGUCCUCAAAUUGUAUAUUAUGUCCUAUAUCUUGUGCCCAUUUGAUCAUGACUGAUUUGACCUCCUCGUCUUUUGUUUCCCCUUCUAGCAGAAUACUAUAUGCUUUCUUCAGCAGCUUCACUUCUUCUUCUAUAACUUUCUUCUGAAAUCUGGAAGUUGUGUAACUGAACCCUUUCUUGAUAUCUUCCUUAUACAUCUCAUGUAAUUGUCUAUAGUGUAACCAACUCUGAAAAUGAUCUUUAAUUUCCUCAUAAUCUUUUAAUUUCCAUUUCCCUUCUUGAUCCCUCAGCAAGUCUCUAGAUGUAGGCCACUUCCCCUUUUUGCCAAGCAGUUUUUUACACAUCACUGGGGAAUACAGUCGAACUAAUGCCAGUGUACUGGAAGAAGCAAAGAUCACCAGUGUCAAAGCAAUGAUUCUUCAACAUCAGCUUUGUUGGACUGGUUGUGUUGUGAGGAUGCCUGAUUAUCAUCUUCCAAAGCAACUACUCUAUUCCGAACUUAAAAAAUGGAAAGCGUAAUGCUGGUAGUCAACAAAAGAGGCUGAAAGACUCUCUCAGGGCAAAUCUUUUAAAACGUAGUAUAAAUACCGACAACUGGGAAACACUGGCCUGCGAGCGCUCCAAUUGGAGAACAGCCUUUACCAAAGAUGCUCCAACUUAGGAGUGCUAAGACGUGCUAAGAGGAAGGCACGCUUGGCAAACCCUCACCGUGAUAAACUCCCACCCAGAAACCUAUGUCCCCGCUGUGGAAGGACAUGUGGAUCCAGAAUUGGCCUCCACAGUCACUUGUGGACUCACUGUGAAAUCGAGUCAAGAGUGUAUUUCAUGCUCUUUAUUCAGCUCAUAGUUGUGAGGAGGAAUGGAAGUUCCCCCAGAAUGUCUGCUUUAUAUACAUUAUUUACACAAUGGGCCCCACGUGAUUGGCUAAUUCCGGGAUUCUCCUGUAGGCCAAUCAAGUUGCGGAUUCACUUCCACCUGGAGCUGGAUUGGGUGGCUCCUGUGGACCAAUCAGACUGCUGCAUUCUGGAUCCUAUUGUUCAAGGACCAAUCAAACUGUUGCAUUUUGGAUCCUAUUCAACUCAGUACAUAGCAGUCCCCAAGAGAUCCAGCAAAACAGAAAGGCGUGCCCGGUUCCCUGUCCAGUUCCUCAAUGAAGAUCACCUGCCAAGGUGACCCACGUCACCUGCGCUAUAUUUUCAAGAUCGCUACACGAGCCAAGAGUUGCGUUCCCAGCCCUGAAGCCAAAAGGCUUCCCCGAACCCACUCCUUUUCCUGUCUCCUGUGUCGACGACGUGCUGUCUCUACUGAGCAAUUUUGUUUCCAGCUCAUUCUUUCCAUGUUCUACCCAAGGGAUCAUUAAGUCUCAUUAGGCUUCUCUUCAUUAAACAAUGUGUAUUGGCGUAAUAUCUGGGGCUUCUCCCCUCCCCAUCUCUGUUGUUGACAUUUGGCCGUGUUGCUUGACCCCCUACUAAGCUUGGGGGGAGUGAAGCUGAAUGUUGGGGUUCCGGGUGCCUUUUCCUUGAGGUUACACCCCGAUUUUCGGGUGUGAAGUAAUGUGUGCACGCCUGUAUACAUACACGCAGACAUCAGCUCUGCCAUCUGGAUCCACGUUGGGAUUCUUCAAGGAGAUCUGUCUGAGGAAGACCUUCACCUCCCAACUUCAGAGAGAAUGUGCUACACACAGCAACAUGCCCUUAAACCAGCCCCAGCUUCAGGAAUCUGAAGUCUGGGACAGGAUUAAUUACCCAGAAUGAGGCUUGUCAGAAGCCGUGUUGGCAAGCAGAUAAGGGGAACUGUAAUAGAGCCAGCCAAUUAAGCAGCCAAUGGUGCUGAACUAAGUAUGACCUCAUCAUUAAUUGUGGGAGUUGUUUCUCAGCAGUUUUUCAUCAUGUUGAGGUUUGCGGUGAGUAGGAGGAAGGCAAAGGAGGGGGGAGAGAGAAAGACUUCGCUUAAUUUGCUUCUGCUCACAAAAUGUACCAAAAACAUUUGGGGAAAGAAUCGCACAAACGCACACGCAGGCACACACGCACAGAAGAAAACACACGCAGGCACGCACACACGAGAAGGAAAACAAAAUUAACAAAAAGCCACCCAAGGCACACAUGUUGAAUUUGGGAUAGAUGCAAAAAUGUAAGAUCUAGUAGCACAUCUCCUGCUAAUUUGCAGGAGAUCAGCACAGAUUCCUGGCUCCCAAUUGCUUUACAAUAAAGGUAAAGGGACCCCUGACCAUUAGGUCCAGUCGUGACCGACUCUGGGGUUGCAGCGCUCAUCUCGCUUUAUUGGUCAAGGGAGCCGGCGUACAGCUUCCGGCUCAUGUGGCCAGCAUGACUAAGCCACUUCUGGCGAACCAGAGCAGCGCACGGAAACGCCGCUUACGUUCCCGCCAGAGCGGUACCUAUUUAUCUACUUGCACCUUGAUGUGCUUUCAAACUGCUAGGUUGGCAGGAGCAGGGACCGAGCAACGGGAGCUCACCCCAUCGCGGGUAUUCAAACCACCGACCUUCUGAUCAGGAAGUCCUAGGCUCUGUGGUUUAACCCACAGCGCCACCCACAUCCCUCUGCUUUACAAUAAUCACAGCAAAAUCAUUCUCCCUUGUGGGGGGCAGGACUAUAUUUUGGAAAAAAUAAUGAACGAAUUCCUACGCCCCACAAAUCACCCAGAGAUGAAUUUUAAAUAAAAGCACACAUUCUGCUCAUGUAAAAACACCAGGCAGCCCCCACAAAUAGCCCAGAGAUGCAUUUUAAAGAAAAGGACACAUUCUACUUGUUAAGUUGUGGGUGAACAUAUCAGACGACACAGCGAUUCUUCUAACAGCUCUUGUUUAUUCACAGGCCAGAACAGAACUGAACUGAAGGGUUCAGCCAGCCUGCUAUAUAUAGAGCUCCACUAGAACGCAACAGUAACCACUUUCUGAAACUAUCCAAUCACUGAACGUCACUUUCAAUCCCUUAUUUGCAUAUGUGGACCUGAGUGAAAACUAUCUACGGUAUCCCCCUGCUGGCCCAGGGUGAGAACUUCAGUACAUAACAGUACUCAUGUAAAAACAUGCUGAUUCCCGGACCGUUUGCAAGCCAGAUUUAGAAGGCGAUUGGGCCGGCUCCGGCUCCCGGGCCUUAGUUUGCCUACCCGUGGCAUAAGCCAAUGGUCUGUGCUAACUGGAGGAGUUAGUCUCCCUCAGCAUUUCUGGUGGUUGCUGACUUCGUUGGACUGGCCAUGUUGUUUGGAUGCCUGAUUACCGUCUUCCAAAGCAACUACUGUAUUCCGAACUUAAAAAUGGAAAGCGUAAUGCUGGUGGUAAACAAAAGAGCUUUAAAGGCUCUCUCAAGGCAAAUCUUUAAAAAUGUAGUAUAAACACCAACAACUGGGAAACACUGGCCUGCGAGUGCUCCAAUUGGAGAACUGCCUUUACCAAAGGUAUCAUUGACUUUGAAGGCACUCAAACUCAGGACAAAAGGGAGAAACGUGCUAAGAGGAAGGCACGCUUGGCAACCCCUCAACGUUAUCAACUCCUGCCUGGAAACCUAUGUCCCCAGUGUGGAAGGACGUGCGGAUCCAGAAUUGGCCUCCACAGUCACUUAUGGACUCAUUCUUAAAACUGUGUUCAUGGAAGACCAUCUUAUUCAGCUACAAGUGAUCUCCAAAGAAGAGGAAAAAGAAGGUGUUCUCCAUAGCAGUGGUCCUCACAGUGGCUGACCAGAAGUUCUUCUGAAUACCAGUUGCUCAGAACCACAGGCUUCCCACACGCAUCUGGUCCUCCAAUGUGAGAACAGGAUGCUAGAAUAGACAUUGGCCUCAUCCAACAGACUGUUUUUCUCUGGCUUUUCACCCGCCAUUUUUGAAAGAACGUCUCUAAGGAACGAAACCCCACCUUUUAACAGUAUUUUUUAGCACUCUAAAAAAUUUUUUGAAUAAUGGAUGAUUGUCGGAGAGGUUGAAGGAAGUCUAAAAGAGAAAGUAUGUGAUAAAUUUAGAUUGGAUACUAUAAAUGUAUGUUGGAAAAUUUAAUAAUUUUUUUUUAAAAAAAAACAAUUAUCCAGUGAAAAUAGGGACAUCCUAAGAAAAAUGGGACGUGGGUGGCGCUAUGGGACGCGGGUGGCGCUGUGGGUUAAACCACAGAGCCUAGGACUUGGCGAUCAGAAGGUCGGCGGUUCGAAUCCCCAUGACGGGGUGAGCUCCCGUUGCUCGGUCCCUGCUCCUGCCAACCUAGCAGUUUGAAAGCAUGUCAAAGUGCAAGUAGAUAAAUAGGUACCACUCCGGCGGGAAGGUAAACGGUGUUUCCAUGCGCUGCUCUGGUUCACCAGAAGUGGCUUCCUCAUGCUGGCCACAUGACCCGGAAGCUGUACGCCGGCUCCCUCAGCCAAUAAAGCGAGAUGAGCACCGCAACCCCAGAGUCGGCCACGACUGGACCAAAUGGUCAGGGGUCCCUUUACCUUUAAGAAAAACGGGGACAUUCCGGGAUCAAAUCAGAAUCCAGGAUGCUUUCUGUAAAUCUGGGACCGUCCCUGGAAAACAGGGACACUUGGAGGGUCUGAAAUUACCCUGUUUCCCACCCACCCUUUCCUCUAGUUAUGCUUCUGGGGUGCAGAUACAGUGGUACCUCGGGUUACAUACACUUCAGGUUACAGACUCCGCUAACCCAGAAAUAGUACCUCUUGUUAAGAACUUUGCUUCAGGAUGAAAACAGAAAUCAUGCUCCGGCGGCGCGGCAGCAGGAAGAGGCCCCAUUAGCUAAAGUGGUGCUUCAGGCUAAGAACAGUUUCAGGUUAAGUACCGACCUCCAGAACGAAUUAAGUACUUAACCCGAGGUACCACUGUAUAUUUGAGCUUUUACACAGAUGUUUUUCAGCUGUUUGUUACAGCGCUGGAGACCCUUGCAAUAUGGCAGGAGGGCAGCUUCUGGCCUGGCCUCCUGGAUCUGCCUGAUUCCUUGCUAGCUCUACAUCAACGAAAGGGCUUGAUUUACUCCACAUUUGUGCUCUCUCUCUCUCCCCACCCCCCUCCCGCCAUGGGUCAGGAUAACAUAUUUUAAAGAUCCCCCUGGGAGCUCAUUCAAGCUCUCUGUUUACAUAGCAGAUUGGUGGCUUUAUGUUUGAAGUCAGGAUUUAAGCUGUUCCUUCUAAUUACAGAAAGACUUUGAAACCAGAGAGACCUCAGCUAUGGAAGAGAGAAGGGGGGGGGGCAGGAGAGGAUUGGUGAAACAAUGACUUUAGCCAAAGCUAAGCUUCCUUAGAAGAAUGGGUGCGGGCCUUAGUUGGGAGAGAAAGAUCAGCUCACAACCAAAUGAGACAUAUGCUCAUUUUCCCUUCUUAUGGUUUUUAAUUCUUACCACUUCUGAAACAUACCCCCUGUUCCAUAUCCCACGCAUCCCAUAAUUUUCGUGUAAUUGUUAAGUGGGAGUGCAAGCCAGACCCUCCAAGUGCCCCUAUUUUUCCAGAGACAGUCCCAAAUUUACAGAUUUGAUCUCCGAAUGUCCUGCUUUUCCUUAGGGCGUUUGUAUUUUCAUCGGAGAAAUGUUGGAGGAUAUGAAGUUAUGCAAACCCCCAUGCUGUCUGAAGGCAAUCCUGUAUAAAGGUAAAGGUAAAGGGACCCCUGACCAUUAGGUCCAGUCGUGGCCGACUCUGGGGUUGCGGCGCGGGGAUUCGAACCGCCAACCUUCUGAUAGGCAAGUCCUAGGCUCUGUGGUUUAACCCACAGCGCUACCCGCAUCCAAUCCUGUAUAGGGAAGGCUUUUUUAUGUUUAACAGUUUAUUAUGUUUUUAUAUAUAUUGGAAGUCACCCAGAGUGGCUUGGGCAACUCAGUCAGACGAGUGGAGCAUGAAUGAAUGAAUAAACAUACAUACAUACAAACAAACAAACAAACAAACCCAAAUAAUACCCUGUCCAUCUGGCUAGGUUUCCCCACACACUCUGGGCAGCUUACAGUACAUAUAAAAAUUAGCAGCAGCAGCAAUGGAAUAAGAAGUCCCUAUUUUAAGAAAUGUUGGAGGGUAUGGCACACUGAACGAAGGGUGGUGUUUUACAAAUUAAUGAAUUAUAACUCUUAUAUCCUCCUCUUCUUUGGGGUAAGGUAAAAGGUAAAGGACCCCUGGACGGUUAAGUCCAGUCAAUGGUGACUAUGGGGUUGCGGCGCUCAUCUCACUUUCAGGCUGAGGGAGCCACUGUUUGUCCACAGACAGCUUUCCGGAUCACAUGGCCAGGAUGACUAAACCGCUUCUGGCACAACGGAACACUGUGACGGAAACCAGAGCGCACAGAAACACCAUUUACCUUCCUGCCGCAGUGGUACCUAUUUAUCUACUUGCACUGGCGUGCUUUCGAACUGCUAGGUUGGCAGGAGCUGGGACAGAGCAACAGGAGCUCACCCCGUCGCGGGGAUUCGAACCGCCAACCUUCUGAUCAGCAAGCCCAAUAGGCUCAGUGGUUUAGACCACAGCGCCACCUGCGUAACUCAGAGUGGCUUACAUGCAGCUCCCAAGCACUCUCCAAUCCAGGUACCAAACAGGCUGAGACCUGGCUAGCUUUUAUAAUGUAGUAACAUCAUGUUCUCCAUGGCCAGAAAUGGGGCCCUCUAAAUGUUGAUGGGCUCCAACUCCCAUCAGCCCUUGGACAGUAUGGCCAACAGUCAAGGGUGAUGGGAUGUGCAGCCCAGCAGCAACAGGACGGCCGCAUGUUCCCCAUCCCUGUUGAAAACUUUGCAAAACUGAAUGCCGGCAAACGUCUGCAUUAGAAGCAACUAUUUCCUUGUACCCCUUCAUGGAUCGCUGCCUUGCCGAGGCGAAGGGGUUUGAAUAACUCAGACAAGCUAUGAGCUGUGCCGUGCAGGGCCACCCAAGAUGGACAGGUCAUAGUGGAGAGUUUUGACCAAACGUGAUCUACUUGGAGCAGGAACCGGCAAGCCACUCCAGUAUCCCUGCCAAGAAAACUCCAUGGACAAAGACAACAAGUAGUGAUGUAUGGAAGUGAGAGCUGGACCAUAAAGAAGGCUGAUCGCCAAAGAAUUGAUGCUUUUGAAUUAUGGUGCUGGAGGAGGCUCUUGAGAGUCCCAUGGACUGCAAGAAGAUCAAACGUAUCCAUUCUGAAGGAAAUCAGCCCUGAGCGCUCACUGGAAGGACAGAUCCUGAAGCUGAGGCUCCAAUACUUUGGCCACCUCAUGAGAAGAGAAGACUCCCUGGAAAAGACCCUGAUGUUGGGAAAGAUGGAGGGGACAAGGAGAAGAGGACAACAGAGGAUGAGAUGGUUGGACAGUGUUCUCGAAGCUACCAGCAUGAGUUUGACCAAACUGUGGGAGGCAGUAGAAGACAGGAGUGUCUGGCGUGCUCUGGUCCAUGGGGUCACAAAGAGUCAGACACGACUAAACAACUAAACAACAACAACAUUUCCUUUUAAUUUGCAACCCUUGGGAAGCUCGUUCCUCCCUUUGGGGUUGUGGCAUUCUCUUGAACAGGCUAGCAGCGGCCAUACUCCUGGAGGGACUGCACUUCAUUUUAAAUGUAAUUUAUUUCAUUUAUGCAGCUGAUGUCUCAUUCUCGCAAGCCAAGAAAGGGACACCACGAAUGUGUGUGUCGCUCCUCAGAGGAAACUCUACUUGCUAACACUUUAGUAAUCAGAUUAAGGGUCUCAAACCGCAGCUGUGUUUGCACUAUAUAAUUAUUCUACUUUAUAAUGUGGAGGAUUGUCUUCUUUCCAAUUAACAUGACCAGGCAUUUCCUUGCCUCCUGUUUUUCAAUUUGUUCCCUGAAUAAAUAGAGCCUCAUAUUUGCAACAGUGGAUUACUGCUUUUUGAACCACACUGAUCCAGGCAAACUCCGGCAACAAUUAUAAUCUCUUAUCUGGAAAUGACUUGAGGGAAGGGGGCCAUAAACCCCACUGAGAUGGAAUUCUUUCCAGUAUUAUCCACCAUUCUAAUGGAUAUAGAUACAAUCUAUAUUAAUUAAAAGCCGCAGGGCAGCCAAGAGUAAGAUUUGGCGUGGGGGGGGGGCUUACUCCUCAUAUUUUAUGACCCAAGAGGAUGUUCUUUUGCCUCCAGUUUCCUCCUCCAAGGCCUUCUUCAGUAAGCAGCCUGAAUGAGAUAUUUUCCCAGGAAAAGGAAGAUCAUGGUGGGCAAAAAAAGAAUUAAAAGGAAGGCAGUCUAGAGUUUGUUUUCUUUGGCUUGGCAGGUGUGUGCCAGAGAUUGGAUUAAGUCACACAGUGGAGAUCAUAUGGAGCUGCAUCUAAGAGGGCUCGUAGCUUUCUACAGGUUUGGGGAAAAAAUCAAUUGAGCAUCAUUUCCGGGUUUGGAAAAGCUGCUUGGGUUUGCCAGCAGGAGAAAGAUGCCAAAGUCAAAAAGCACCAGCUUUUGGCUGCAACACAGGAAUCAGGAGCGUGCUUAGAAACAUUUGGGUUGCAGCUAAACAGUUAAAGGGAAAAAGUACAAAGAUUCACAAAAUGUUUAGGGUUAUGCGUACUGUUAAGUUGUGGGUGAACGUAUCAGACGACACAGCGAUUCUUCAAACAGCUCUUGUUUAUUCACAGAACAGAACAGAACUGAGCUGAAGGCUUCAGCCAGCCUGCUUAUAUAGAGCUCCACUAGAACACAACAGUAACCAUUUUCUGUAACUAUCCAAUCACUGAACGUCACUUUCAACCCCUUAUUUGCAUAUGUGGACCUGAGUGAAAACUAUUUACAGUAUCUCCCUGCUGGCACAGGGUGAGAACUUCAGUACAUAACACUUAUCCCCAGAAAAAAAGCACUGACAAUCUCUAUUUUGAAGCAUCUGCAAUGUACACACUUCUCAAUUACAGGGGAGGAGAGACAGAUAGACAGUUAACCUUUAAUUGCAUAGGUCAGGGGUAGGCAACCUAAGGCCCGUGGGCCGGAUGUGGCCCAAUCGCCUUCUCAAUCCAGCCCACGUACGGUCCAGGAGUCAGCGUGUUUUUACAUGAGUAGAAUGUGUGCUUUUAUUUAAAAUGCAUCUCUGGGUUAUUUGUGGGGCAUAGGAAUUCGUUCAUAUUUUUUUUCUCCAAAAUAUAGUCCGGCCCACCACAUGGUCUGAGGGACAGUGGACCGGCCCACGGCUGAAAAAGGUUGCUGACCCCUGCUCCAAGCAGUCCCUGUCAGUGCUGCCCAGGUCUGCUGGGAAUUUAUUUAAUAAAAUUUAUAUAGCGCUUACCGUGAAAGCACACAUCUCAAAAGCAGUUUGUUGUCCAAAACAUCUGGAGGGCUCCAGGUUGCUAGGAAAUGCCUUAGGGCCCUAGAUAAUAACAAUAUUUUGAAGAAUAAUUUUAGUUUCCUUUGAGGAAGCACCUUUUGCUUCGGCUGUGUACACAUUACAGUGUACUUUGGUUCCAGUGUGUUCCCACCGCUGGUGGCCGAUGUUGAGUACACAUGACCUUCCCCCCCAAAAAAAUAUAUAGUCUGGCCCACCACAUGGUCUGAGGGACGGUGGACGGGCCCACGGCUGAAAAAGGUUGCUGCCCCCUGGGAUAGGUGCUUGAUCAACGUUUCUUUAUAAUACAAGAUUAGUGAACCUGAACCUUUAAUGAAAAUAAGCAACAUGGAAGAGCAAAAUGCCAGAUGAAUGCAGCCUUAGGCUACUUUUGAGUAUGAGACAAUAGCGUCAACUGGAGAUGGGUUAAUAGACUAAACUAGAGAUGGAUUCACAGACAGUCUCUCUGAAAAUAGGAAGUACCUUUUCCUUUCUGGGAUUCUGCAGUUUCAUGUCUAUCCUUCUUUGCAAGGCUUGGUGCUUCACAGUGAAGCCAUGAUAUAGGUGACCAUACCAGGCGUGGAUAGACUUUAGGCUCACAUGACUAUCAUAUUUAGGCGCAAAAUAUCCACUGUGAGAAGCUGUCUUUCUCUGUAUGUGGGUCUCCAACUCCCAAUGGUCAAGGAUGAUGGGAGGCACACCCUCCAACAUCUUGAAGGCAAAAACCAGGAAGCCAUCUUCUCAUGAGAGAAUGGUGGCCAUUUGGGGCACUGUGAUCACAUGCUGCAAUUCCUCCCCCCAUCAAAAAAGUGCUUUUUUCGGCCACGGCGCCCAAAAUGGGUGUUUUGCGGCGCCAUGCAAUAUCACGGCCCCGGAAAAGGCUCUUUUUCAGGAGGAAAUUGCGGAGCAGAAUCGCACGAGAUCGCCGCGUUCAAAAUGGCUGCCGCCUUUAGUCUAACAUCAAGUUGGGGGGGAUGCAUUCAUGCUCCCUCCCCAUGUGGUGGCGCUUGCAGGGCCCGUUAAAGGGCAAAAACUGGGAGUCCCUGACCCUAGAGCGGCGGCAUGGAGGUCAAACUCCCGGGACGAGGUUAGUGGAAGGGCAUGCUGUGUAAGUUUGUGCUUUACAGUCCCCUCUCACUGGACCUCAUCUGCCUGCAUAUCCUCAGCCAGACGGGCUGUUAUGUACUGAGGUGAACAGGAUUCAAAAUGCAGCAGUCUGAUUGGUUCUAGAAAAAUAGGAUUCAUAAUGCAGCAGUCUGAUUGGUCCUAAAACAAUACAGUUCAGAAUGCAGCAGUCUGAUUGGUCCUAGAACAAUAGGAUCCAGAAUGCAGCAGUCUGAUUGGUCCACAGGAGCCACCCAAUCGAGCUCCAGGUGGAAGGGAAUCCGCAACCUGAUUGGCCUACAGGAGAAUUCCGGAAUUAGCCAAUCACGUGGGGCCCAUUGCGUAAAUAAUGCAUAUAAAGCAGACAUUCUGGGGGAACUUCCAUUCCUCCUCACCACUAUGAGCUGAAUAAAGAGCAUGAAAUCCACUCUCGACGCCGAGUAUAUUUCAUGGGCUGAGAGGGUUACCUGCCAAGGCCUGUGCCAAGUUUCCCACUUCUGAAGCUCAAUAAAGUUGUGGCCAAUUUGAACCCAUACUCUGGUCUCUUGUCUCAUUCUUUGGGAAAAGGGUAGGCACCACAGACAGGGUUUAGCGCGUGUGCCCGCAAGAACCCGCAGACGCCUUUGGGAGGCAGAGACAUAGCUGCCAACCGUCCCUUAUUUGGCGGGAAAGUCCCUGAUCCCAGCGCCGUGUGCCGCUGCUGUCCCUUAUUGAUGAUGUCCCUUAAAUUUCCCGGGUUUCAAAGGAAGCAGCUCCUCUCCCUCCCUCCCUGCCGGCCAGGGAGGAGGGAGGCUCCAACUGUGUUGCUUGGCUGCGUUGCUCACCCAAUAAGGAGUCUAAGAACGACUGGGGGGUGGAGCUUGCAUGCCUUGUGCCAAUCAAAUCGGCCGCGUUGCCUGGGGACUCGCCUUUGCUCAGCGUUUCCCAGCGGAGCGGUGACGGUAGUUUUCCUUGCUGCAUCCCCCUUGCUGGAUUGCUGCGCUGUGGGAACCACCGCUUGAGGCUUCGUUUGGCUGCUGGCUGGGCUUUCUGCCUUUGGCUCGGAGGGACUCAGAAGUUGAACAUUACUGUCCUCCUUGGAAAAUCCCUUAUUUUGGCUGCUGGUCCCUUAUUUUCAAGGCUGCUGGUCCAUUAUUUUCAAAUCUGUAAGUUGACAGCUAUGGGCAGAGACAUGAGAAGGCAUCAGAGAAGGGAGGGAAGGAAAGAGAGACAGAGGCCAGUGUUGCCCACGGCACACCUGACCAUCCUUCAAGGCACCCCAGGGUGCCACGGCACACUGGUUGAAAAUCACUGGCGUAGGUGGUGUAGAAAGUAAUUGGGGAGAAAGGAAUGUAUUUUUGGCUGCUCUUGAAGCCACAGACUUUGCAUCUGGUCACAGUGUUAGGAAAGGAGGGAGGAAGUAGGCAUUCAAAUGAGGCCCUUUUAGAUGCUAUGCAGGUAUUGGAUUGCAGGAAGGGUGCCUGGAAGCAGCAGCAUGAAAAUGACUGAUUUGCCUUCUCUGGUCAACUCUCAGCAUUCGGCAGGAGGAAUUCAAAUGCAUACUGGAAAUUUAGCUUUGCAGCGUUAAUUUAGGCUCCUGUUCUGCCGACCCGGUGCCACAAAUCCACUUGAAAACAAAUGAACAUCAGACUUGCUGCAGUUAGGAAAAUGGCGUGGAGAUGCACUAGAAAGUGUGGGGUGAUUGAUUAAGGAGAAGAUCUUAUAAACAGCACAGAAGCAAAUCAGGAUGACCGUUCCGUCUCGUAUAACCUCCCCGCAAACAAAUCACAACCUAUAAAGACCAGACCUGGUCUAACCUCCAUGUAAUAAUAAUAAUAAUAAUAAUAAUAAAUUUUAUUUAUAUCCUGCCCUCCCCAGCUGAAGCUAGGCUCAGGGUGGCUAACAACAAUAAAAUAGUACAACAUUCUAAAAUCAUUUCCUUAUAAAAUUAAUUCAACUCAAAAAGUUCUGUGAAGAUUGCCAAAGGAGGGAGUCAGGCUGUGCCCUGACCAAAGGCCUGGUGGAACAGCUCUGUCUUGCAGGCCCUGCGGAAAGAUGUCAAGUCCCGCAGAGCCCUAGUCUCUUGUGACAGAGCGUUACACCAGAUCGGGGCCACAGCAGAAAAAGCCCUGGCUCUGGUUGAGGCCAGCCUAACCUCUCUGUGGCCUGGGACCUCCAAGAUGUUUUUGUUUGAAGACCGUAAGUUCCUCCGUGGGACAUACCAACAGAGGGUGGUCCCAUAGGUACGAGGGUCCUAGGCCGUAUAGGGCUUGAAAGGUUAGAACCAGCACCUUAAACGUGAUCCUGUACCCACCCGGAGCCAGCGCAGCUGGUAUAGCACGGGUGAAUGUGAUCUCAUAGCGAAGACCCCGUAAGGAGUCUCGCCACGGCAUUCUGCACCCGCUGGAGUUUCUGGGUCAGUCUCAAGGGCAGCCCCAUGUAGAGCGAGUUACAAUAAUCCAGUCUGGAGGUGACCAUCAUGUGGAUCACAGUGGCUAGGUCAGGGCGAGAGAGGUAAGGAGCCAACUGCUUAGCUUGGCGGAGACUUUGUGUAGCACGAAUGCUCAAUAAGCAGGGUGUCUGGAGCAGCCCUCUGAAAACAUAAGCAGCGGCUGUUUCCCAAGUCUGUCUCCAUCCUUAGGCGAAACACACAGGUUCCUUGCUGGGUGGAAAACAGGAACAGAAGCAUCACUUUGAAGAAUUAAAAAGGUAAACUGCAAUUUCACGGGCAAGGCAAUUAGCCAAGCAGGAGCAAAUCUCAGCAUAAGCCUGGCAUGUGUGGCUAAUCCAGAACAAGAUUCUUGUCCCAUGACAACUUCUUACCUGAUUUGUUUCCUUGCAGUUUUAACCCUGUCUGCCCCCCUGUUUUCAUUGGAGACAUGUUGCAGGGUAUGCAGUUAGUUAUGCGACCCCCCGAGCCAAGGAGAUAAGUAACUAUACAACUUUUAGAAGACACCUGAUGGCAGCCCUGUAUAGGGAAGUUUCCUCAUGUUUAAUGUUUGAUUAUGUUUUUAUAUAUGUUGGAAGCUGCCCAGAGUGGCUGGGGCAACCCAGUCAGAUCAGCUGGGUAUAAAUAAUAAAAUAAUAAAAUUAUUAUUAUUAUUAUUAUUAAGGUACAACUAGUGCUUUUUUCUGGGGGGAUGCAUACCCUUAAACAUUUUGUGAAUCUAAGUUUGGCCUCGUUGAGGGGCAGUAUUUCAAUAUGAGUAGGAAAAUGAGAGUACCCCCUAAACAUUUUUUAAGGAAAGAAAAAAAGCACUGGGUAGAGUCAUCAUAGCGAUCCAUAGUUAAAAGUAGAAGUUGGCAAAUGUGUUCUCUUUUUUGCUCUUCAAAAUAUGGCAACCCUACAAUCACUUACCCUAAACAACUGGCUUCCGCCAGCAUUCCCAGUAGAACAGCUUGCUCAAAUCCGGGUAACUUCCUUUCUGAGAAACAACAUCUGGCAGAAGCAUCUUCUUCCUCUCAUCCAGUUGUUGCAUGUGAUGCUAUCAGCAUUUUUAUUUAUUUUAAGAGAUGCGGCUAGUUGGGCUUGAGUACAAAAAGCGUCAAACUCCCCUUUGCAGAGGAGAUAUUAAUGUUUCCUACAUGACUAAGUAAGAGAGCCACUUUCAAGAGAUUCACUUCUAGUGAAAGGUGUGCGGUAAUAAGCCAGCCAUCUGUCUGCCAGGAAGCACCAUGACAAUUAAGAGAUCAUUUUCAAGAAAUCUUCCCUGAGCACAUAGCUCAAAGCUAACCAGUUGCUGGAGGCAUUUUUCUGGCCUAAUGAGAGAAGGAAAAGAUAAGGGGCCUGAACCCAAUGCUAAUCGUAGAGAAGUCCCAUUGAAAUUAAUGCACAUGAGAGACUUGGAUGGGGUUGCCGUAUUUCAAAAAGUGAAAAGUCGUUGGGCUUUUUUUAAUAGUUUGCCCGAAGUUGCUGCUUCUUUUUUGCAAAAUCUCAAAAAAAAAUAAAUGAUUUUUUGAGCUAUUUUUAAUGAAAACCACCAAAAACGACACUACCGACAUGGGUUGCCAUAUGUCCAGAUUUUCCUGGACGUUUCAAUUAUUUCUGCCCGGACACUGCUUCCGAUGGCUGAUUGCCGGCUAUGUCUGGAAAAUUCCGGACAUAUGGCAACCCUAGCUUGGAUUAAUUUAAUUGGAUCUGCUUGGAAUGCACGUUAGUUGGAUGCAACCAAUGGCAUAUAAACAACAAUAACAACCAUAAUGUGUGCAUUCUUUUUUGCAUGUUCGAAAACCUUUCCCAUUACGUUCACCAUCUUCAUUGUGAUACCUCCAGACCAUUUUUCGGGAUGGAUUCCAUCACAUACCACAAACGUAGGUAAAGGUAAAGGGACCCCUCACCAUUAGGUCCAGUUGUGGCUGACUCUGGGACUGCGGCGCUCGUCUCGCUUUACUGGCCAAGUAAAUUAUUAUUUACUUGGUAUAUUAUUAUUAUUAUUAUUAUUAUUAUUAUUAUUAUUAUUAUUUCAAUAAACCAGCAGGUAUAUACAAUUUAGCUACUCAGUAGCUCACUUCUCCAGCCUCCUGGUGGAUUUCAGGUACCUUUUAAAGGGUGCCAAAUGAUUUCACUAGUGAUUCACUAUCAUAUUCAUUACUGUGGGAUUCGUGCCACUGCUGUGUUCCUCGUCUGUGGCCUUAGGUGCCAAACUGUCUUGGGCUGGCCCUGCUUGCCUCAAGGCUGCUAUACCCCAAACAAAUUGUCCUGCCAUUAACUUCCAGACUGCUGGAACCUGCUCCCUUCUUUAAUUAUGAUGAUGCUGUGGGAGCUGAUAGCAGGAGCAGAGAGCCUGCCUGCACCACAAGACCCUGUGAGCCACAAAGGAGGAGACAUCUGCUCAGCAUCUCCUCCCUGCACCAUCAUCCCCCACUUUUCAGAGAGUUUUGCUGGCGUGGAGAGGAGCCGCCAAGUGCUGACUCCUCUUAUGACCCCGAGUAGUGUAGCCGAAGUUGUACUACUCACCUUACCUUACUGUAUGCUUGUAAAAUGUGGACCACUUAUAAACGCCAUCUCCAACUCCUCGAAAUAAUAAUAAUAAUAAUAAUAAUAAUAAUAAUAAUAAUAAUAAUUUAUUAUUUAUAACCCGUCCAUCUGGCUGGGUUUCCCCAGCCACUCUGGGCGGCUUCCAACAAAAUAUUAAAAUACAAUGGUCUGUUAAACAUUAAAAGCUUCCCUAAACAGGGCUGCCUUCAGAUGUCUUCUAAAAGUCUGGUAGUUGUUCUUCUCUUUGACAUCUGGUGGGAGGGUGUUCCACAGGGCGGGUGCCACUAGCGAGAAGGCGCUCUGCCUGGUUCCCUGUAACUUGGCUUCUUGCAGUGAGGAAACCACCAGAAGGCCCUCAGUGCUGGACCUCAGUGUCUGGGCAGAACGAUGGAGGUGGAGACGCUCCUUCAGGUAUACUGGACCAAGGCCAUUUAGGGCUUUAAAGAUCAGCACCAACACUUUGAAUUGUGCUCGGAAAAGUACUGGGAGUCAAUGUAGAUCUUUCAAGACCGGUGUUAUGUGGUCUCGCCGGCCGCUCCCAGUCACCACUCUAGCUGCCGCAUUCUGGAUUAGUUGUAGUUUCUGGGUCACCUUCAAAGGUAGCCCCACAUAGAGACCAUUGGAAUAGUCCUAGCAAGAGAUAACUAGAGCAUGCACCACUCUGGCGAGACACUCCAUGGGCAAGUAGGGUCUCAAACUGCAUACCAGAUGGAGCUGGUAAACAGCUGCCCUGGACACAGAAUUGACCUGUGCCUCUGUGUUCAGCUGUGAGUCCAAAAUGACUCCCAGGCUGUGCACCUGGUCCUUCAGGACCAGGAGUCCUCCACACCUGCCCGCCUCCUGUCCCCCCAAGUACUUAGAAUCAUAGAAUCAUAGAGUUGGAAGAGACCACAAGGGCCAUCGAGUCCAACCCCCUGCCAAGCAGGAAACACCAUCAGAGCACUCCUGACAUAUGGUUGUCAAGCCUCUGCUUAAAGACCUCCAAAGAAGGAGACUCCACCACACUCCUUGGCAGCAAAUUCCACUGUCGAACAGCUCUUACUGUCAGGAAGUUCUUCCUAAUGUUUAGGUGGAAUCUUCUUUCUAUAAUAAUUAUUAAUUAUUAUUCUUUCUAUAAUAAUAAUUAAUAAUAAUAAUAAUAAUAAUAAUAAUAAUAAUAACAACAAUUUAUUUGUACCCCGCCCAUCUGGCUGGGUUUCCCCAGCCACUCUGGUGGCUUCCACAGAGACCUAAAAUACACUAAAAUGUCACACAUUAAAAACUUCCCUGAACAGGGCUGCCUUAAGAUGUCUUCUGAAUGUCAGGUAGUUGUUUAUCACUUUGACAUCUGAUGGGAGGGUGUUCCACAGGGCGGACGCCACUACUAAGAUGGCGCUCUACCUGGUUCCCUGUAGCUUUGCUUCUCGCAAUGAGGGAACCGCCAGAAGGCCCUCGCCGCUGGACCUCAGCGUCCGGGCAGAACCAUGGGGGUGGAGACGUUCCUUCAGGUAUACUGGGCCGAGGCCGUUUAGGGCUUUAAAGGUCAACACCAACACUGAAUUGUGCUUGGAAACGUACUGGGAGCCAAUGUAGAUCUUUCAAGACCGGUGUUAUGUGGUCUCGGCAGCCGCCCCCAGUCACCAGUCUGGCUGCCGCAUUCUGGAUUAGUUGUAGUUUCCGGGUCAUCUUCAAAGGUAGCCCCACGUAGAGCGCAUUGCAGUAGUCCAAGCGGGAAAUAAUUAGAGCAUGCACCACUGUGGUGAGACAGUCCGUGGGCAGGUAGGGUCUCAGCCUGUGUACCAGGUGGAGUUGGUAGACAGCUGUCCUGGAUACAGAAUUAACCUGCACCUCCAUGGACAGCUGUGAGUCCAAAAUGACUCCCAGGCUGCGCACCUGGUCCUUCAGGGGCACAGUUACCCCAUUCAGGACCAGGGAGUCCUCCCUACCAGCCCGCCCCCUGUCCCCCAAAAACAGUACUUCUGUCUUGUCAGGAUUCAACCUCAAUCCAUUAGCCGCCAUCCAUCCUCCAACCGCCUCCAGGCACUCACACAGGACCUUCACUGUCUCCGAAAAUUUUUACACAUCACCUGGGAAGACAGGCGAACUAACACCAGUGUACUGGAAGAAGCAAAGAUCACCAGUGUCAAAGCAAUGAUUCUUCAACAUCAACUUCGUUGGACUGGUCAUGUUUUGCAGAUGCCUGAUUAUUGUCUUCCAAAGCAACUACUCUAUUCCAAACUUAAAAAUGGAAAGCGUAAUGCUGGUGGUAAACAAAAGAGGUUUAAAGACUCUCUCAAGGCAAAUCUAAAAAAAAAAAAAAAAGGAAUAUAAACAUCGACAACUGGGAAACACUGGCCUGCGAGCUCUCCAAUUAGAGAACUGCCUUUACCAAAGGUGUCAUGGGUUUUGAAGACACUCAAACUCAGGACAAAAGGGAGAAACACGCUAAGAGGAAGGCACACUUGGGAAACCCUCACCGUGAUCAACUCCUGCCCGGAAACCUAUGUCUCCAUUGUGGAAGGACGUGUGGAUCCAGAAUUGGCCUCCACAGUCACUUACGGAGUCACUGUUAAAACCGUGUUUAUGGAAGACAAUCUUACUCGGCUAUGAGGGAUCAGCAAAGUAGAAGCUAAAGCUGAAGUACUUUUAGAUGCUGGACUUUUGUCUUACAUGUCUUCCCGGCCACCAGCUUUCGGUUUUAGCAAUGUGUGCUACAGGGGUCUCCAAGCUCUCUGUAAGGUAAAAAGGUAAUGGGUCCCCUGACUGUUAAGUCCAGUCGCGGACGACUCUGGGGUUGCGGCGCUCAUCUCGCUCUACAGGCUGAGGGAGCUGGCGUUUGUCCGCAGACAGCUUCCGGGUCAUGUGGCCAGCAUGACUAAGCCGCUUCUGGUGAACCAGAGCAGCGCACAGAAACGCUGUUUGCCUUCCCGCCAGAGUGAUACCUAUUUAUCUACUUGCACUUUGACAUGCUUUGAACUGCUAGGUUGGCAGGAGCUGGGACCGAGCAACAGGAGCUCACCCCAUGUAAACAUCCCCUUAAAGAUCCACAAUGCAGGAGACUGUUCUUCUUGCUCCCUUUCUGUUUACAUUGGCUCAUGGCAUGAAUUGUCCAUUCAUGUCGUGAAUUGGCAGGACACGCAAGGAAGGGGAAGAGGUGCCGGCCCAACUGGUACACAACUGGUACACAACACAAAAAGGCAAGAAGGGGAAGGGCCAUAAUGUGAUAAGUCGGCGCUAGUGUCUUGCAGGGGGGGCCCUCCUCAUUUUAUUGAGUCUCGCCCUGAGCUCUUUCCUCAAAUUCUUGCCCUGACAGUGCCAAGGAUGCCUCAGGGCUUCCAACAACUGCAUGAAAAGAGGCUCCCUUUUCAUGAAAAUGAUGUACUGGUGGUAUUUAACACCUAUAAAACUAGCAAAGAUGUAUAGAACUGCUUCAAAUGUAUGUUGGAAAUGUAAGGAGACUGAAGGCACCUUCUUCCACAUGUGGUGGACAUGCAAGAUAACAAAAGCAUUCUGGGAAAGGAUAUAUAAUUAGUUGGAAAAAAUGUUUAAAAUAACAUUGGGGGGGGGACCAGAGGCUUUUUUACUAGGAAUUUUAUGUGCGGAGAUGCUAAAAGAGCAGAAACGAUUAUUUCUGUAUGCAACGACAGGAGCGCGGAUACUACUGGCCCAGAGAUGGAAAGAAGAUAAAGUCCCGACCAGCGAUGAAUGGCUGAUGAAGAUGAUGGACUACGUCGAAAUGGCGAAAUUGACCAGGAAAAUCAGAAACCAGGAAGAGAAGACCUUUGAGAAGGGAUGGGAAAAAUUCACAAUGUACUUAAGAGAACACUGUAAACAACUCAAAACUUUAGUAAUGUUUGUAAUGUACUAAAAACUAAGAAAAAUAGAGAAAAUAAGGGAAACAGUGGGAAAAGAUUGAAAAUCACUACCAUGGAAGGGUGAAGGGGAGUUAAAGGAUCCAGGAAAUCCUAAAUGGUGGUGAUGAUGUUUAUUGUUUGAAUUUAAAUUUAAAUAAAAAAGAUUUAUUUUUAAAAAAGAAAAGAGGCUCCUUUGAUAGAGGUCAGCAGGAACUCCCUAGAAGUCAAAAGCUGCAUACACAAGGUAUGUGUGAAACACAUUUAAAGCACAUUACUUUCUCCAAAGAAUCUGGGAAUGACAGGUUGUUAAGGUGCCGGGAACUAUAGCUCUGUGAGGGGUAAACUACAGUUUCCAGGAUUCAGGGUGGGGUGGGCGAAGAAACAUAGCCAGAGACACAGCAGGAGUGGGUGGCAAUUUGACACCUAACAUGACGAAGGGAGGAAUAGCAAAUGUUCUGGCUCGGAUGCCACAAAAUCCAAAGGGUGCAUGCUAAGCCCUUUGAUGGCAAAUAAUUAUUAUUUUCCUAAGGGGUUUCGUGGAAACCCUCUGCCAAACUUGUCAGGCAAGUAGUGCAAGGCACUGAUUAACCAAUUAUUUUAGUGCCAAGGGCAGUGCCAACCUCAGCAGUUUGAACAGUUUCUCCUCUUCGACUUGGGCUCAAUGGAGGUAGCUUGAUGCCUUUUCCCAGACAAUUCUUCACAGAGUCAACAAAAGCCGAGACAGUGCUAUGUGUCAUGUAAGCAUGAUGGGAAUUAAAAAUAAAAAUAAAAUUGUAUAUAUUCAGCCCUUCCUCCAAAGCACUCUUAACAAAUAGAUGGUGCUCCCAUUUUAUCUUCACAGCAAACCAGUGGAGAAUGUUAGGCUGAGAAAUUCUGGCUGGCACAGAGCGAACCAGAGAGAACUUCAUGAUGGAGGCGGAAUUUGAACCCGGGUCUUCUCAAUCUGUGGUUGGUACCCACACCAUACAUUUAAAGCGUAUUUGAAGCACAUGACUUCCUCCACCAAAGUAUCCUGGUAACUGUAGUUUUUGGUUUUGAAACAUAUUUUUAUUGAAGAUUUCUUGGUUUACAAAAGUACAGUGCUACCUCGGGUUAAGAACCUAAUUCGUUCCGGAGGGCUGUUCUUAACCGGAAACUGUUCUUAACCUGAGACACCACUUUAGCUAAUGGGGCCUCCUGCUGCCACCGCACCGCCACCGCACGAUUUCUGUUCUCAUCCUGAAGCCGCUGUUUACCUUCCCGCCAGAGUGGUACCUAUUUAUCUACUCGCGCUUUGAUGUGCUUUCAAACUGCUAGGUUGGCAGCAGCAGGGACCAAGCAACGGGAGCUCACCCCGUCACGGGGAUUCGAACCGCUGACCUUCUGAUCGGCAAGCCCUAGGCUCUGUGGUUUAGACCUCAGUGCCACCCGUGUCCCAAUACAUCUCUAAAAGGUAAAGGUAAAGGGACCCCUGAUCAUUAGGUCCAGUCGCGGACAACUCUGGGGUUGCGGCGCUCAUCUCGCUUUAUUGGCCGAGGGAGCCGGUGUACAGCUUCCGGGUCAUGUGGCCAGCAUGACUAAGCCACUUCUGGUGAACUAGAGCAGCACACGGAAACACCAUUUACACUCCCGCCAGAGUGGUACCUAUUUAUCUGCUUCUGGCGAACCGGAGCAGCGCAUGGAAACACCGUUUACCUUCCCGCUGGAGUGGUACCUAUUUAUCUACUUGCACUUUGACGUGCUUUUGAACUGCUAGGUUGGCAGGAGCAGGGACUGAGCAACGGGAGCUCACCCCGUCGCGGGGAUUCGACCCACCGACCUUCUGAUCGGCAAGCCCUAGGCUCUGUGGUUUAGACCACAGUGCCACCCGCGUCCCAAUACAUCUCUAGGGGCCCCCCAAAUAGCUCUCUAGCAUCACUUUUGGAAGACCCCUAGAUGCCUCCCUAGAUGCCAAGACGGUGUAACUGGCAGAGAUAAAAGGGGGGGGUGUCUUUGAAGGAGGUGGCUAAUUCACUGAGCCGAACUCCACCACCCCCGCCUCCCCUCCCAAUUUGGCAUCACCCACCGUCUUUUUAAUUCCCGGUUCUGCUUGCUGCCUCAUCCCUUUGAUAUCCAGACAAUUGCAGCUAUUCAGACAACUCCUCAGCCACCUGUCAGCGGCCAUUCUUAUGCACGUGGGCAGAAAACGAAUCACAAUGCAGAGAGCAGCUACUCCGCUGAGAAACAGAGUUCUCUCCCCACCUUCCCCCUCCCAUAAUGUUUUUAUUAAUUUCGAAAACUUAAAUUUACUUAAAAUUCAACAUACCUUUUUUGUUUAAAAAAAUUGACUUCCCACCCUUACCUGCGUUGUGUUUCUGUCCCCACCCUGUACCAACUGCUUUAUAUAACAUAUUAAUACAUAUAUCCUCUCUUUCACUUACGGUUGCAUCCACUCUGCUGCUCAUAAUUCGAAUCCUGCAGUGUUUUCAUUUUACUAUAGCAGUUCUUCAGAAAAGGAAAUUUCUGGCUAUGGAUUUACUUUUCUCACACCUGCUCCUCUGGCAACGUAGGACUGUGUCCAUUCUUUAAAAAGGAAGAGAUUUCCCAAAGGCAUAUUAGUUAAAGGUAAAGGGACCCCUGACCAUUAGGUCCAGUCGUGACCGACUCUGGGGUUGCGGCGCUCAUCUCGCUUUAUUGGCCGAGGGAGCCGGUGUACAGCUUCCGGGUCACGUGGCCAGCAUGACUAAGCCGCUUCUGGCGAACCAGAGCAGCGCAGGGAAACGCCAUUUACCUUCUCGCUGGAGCGGUACCUAUUUAUCUACUUGCACUUUGAUGUGCUUUCGAACUGCUAGUUUGGCAGGAGCAGGGACUGAGCAACGGGAGCUCACCCCGUUGCGGGGAUUCGAACCACCGACCUUCUGAUCGGCAAGUCCUAGGCUCUGUGGUUUAACCCACAGUGCCACCCGCGUCCCUACUGUGGUAUAUAAGGCAAUGCAAAAAUGCAGCUUGAAACACAGUGGUAGGGAAGGAGGCACAGGCAGGCAGAUGACCUCACUGAGGUUCAUGGCAGAUUUAAAAAGAUGGUAUAAACAUCUUAGGGAUGUGAGUGGCGCUGUGGUCUAAACCAAUGAGCCUUGGGCUUGCCGAUCGGAAGGUCGGCAGUUCGAAUCCCCGCGACGGGGUGAGCUCCCGUUGCUCGGUCCCUGCUCCUGCCAACCUAGCAGUUCGAAAGCAGGUCAAAGUGCAAGUAGAUAAAUAGGUACCUUUAGAAACAUCUUGUCAUUUAAGAGAGGAAGGAGGAGAUGAGGAGCAGAGCAAUGGAUUUUGGGCACAUAAGCUAAGAACUUCACAAAUCCCGCAGAAAUCAAUGGGAUGUUCAAGUGUUAAACUUUGGCUAGAUUGAGCCCUUUAACGUUCCUUCAUGAACAGCACUCAGAUGCAAUGGUGAGCUGCAUUUCAACCACCCUUGCAAUAGUACAGAUUGGGACUCAUUCAGCGCUUGGUUUAAUGCAAUGCACACCCUUCAAAGUAAAAAGGUAAAGGACCCCUGGACAGUUAAGUCCAGUCAAAGGCAACUAUGGGAUUGUGAUGCUCAUCUCGCUUUCAGGCCGAGGGAGCCGGCGUUUGUCCACAGACAGCUUUCCAGGUCAUGUGGCCAGCAUGACUAAACCACUUCUGGCGCAACGGGACACCGUGACAGAAACCAGAGAGCAUGGAAACGCCAUUUACCUUCCCGCCGCAGCAGUACCUAUUUAUCUACUUGCACUGGUGUGUUUUCGAACUGCUAGGUUGGCAGGAGCUGGGACAGAACAACAGGAGCUCACCUUGUCACAGGGAUUUGAACCGCCGAUCGGCAAGCCCAAGAGGCUCAGUGGCAUAGCUGUCAACCGUCCCUUAUUUGGCGGGAAAGUCCCUUAUUCCAGCGCCAUGUCCGGCUGCUGUCCCUUAUUGAUGAUGUCCCUUAAAUUUCCUGGGUUUCAAAGGAAGCAGCUCCUCUCCCUCCCUCCCUGCUGGCCAGGGAGGAGGGAGGCUCCAACUGUGUUGCUUGGCUGCGUUGCUCACCCAAUAAGGAGUCUAAGAAUGACUGGAGGAUGGCGCUUGCAUGCCUUGUGCCGAUCAAAUCAGCCGCAUUGCCUGGGGACUUGCCUUUGCUCAGUGCUUCCCAGCGGAGAGGUGACGGUGGUUUUCCUUGCUGCAUCCCCUUUGCCGGGUUGCUGCGCUGUGGGAACUACCACUUGAGGCUUCCUUUGGCUGCUGGCUGGGCUUUCUGCCUUUGGCUCGGAGGGGCUCAGAAGUCGAACAUGCCUGUGCUCUGAAAAUCCCUUAUUUUGGCUGCUGAUCCCUUAUUUCCGAGGCUGCUGGUUCCUAAUUUUCAAAUCUGUAAGUUGACAGCUAUGCUCAGUGGUUUAGACCACAGAGCCACCCUUCCGGCAUGUGCCACAUGUAAGGAUGGGGCCACACAAAAACAUUUUGCAAAUAUAUUUCAAGGGUUGCUCCCUCCGCAUUGCCAUGUUGCGGGUCUGAAAACCGAUGAUCAAAAAAGGUAGAGCCCCCCUGGCUUGCUCCUGAUGUUAUAUGUGACAUCAGGUAUGGGACUAGCAAGGAUGUGACUACAUUGAAAUCAUUGAAAGCUUAAAGUUGGCUCCAGCUUGUUCCUCUGCAAGUGGGGCUUGCAGCCAGUGCCCAUCAGCUUAUCAACACUGAAAGCAAGCCCUGUCCGUUUGCAGGUUCACUUCUUGGCAGGCAAAAGAGCCUUCACUCUAAAACCUGGAAUCUCGUUUAUUUGCAAAUUGUUCCUUUUGGGCUUGUUGUGGCCUAGGACUUCUUAUGCAACUCCAGAGGAACAAGAGAAGAUCAGAUGCAGCAAUGGAAUGCUUGCAAGUUGACGCAUCGCCACAACGAAGCCAAGCAGACGGAUGUGGAAGAGACCACGCACAUGCCAGCCAAAACCAGAUGCGUUGCCAACCAGAGAGGAAGCCUCUUCACUUAUUCCCCUCUCAGGAACAGCUGUGGCUGAUACAGUAGAUGCAUUCACUGUGAGUGCUGCUGGGCAUCUGAGCAAAAGCGCUACUCGCCUCACUGUGACAUGGAGCACAAGGCUUGCAUAUGAUUGCAGCCCACAUUAAAAUCCUAUGCAGAUUUACCUGGGAGUAAGCCCCACUGAACUCAGUGAUAGUGUGGGAUGUGAUACAUAAGUAGCAGUCAAGUACAACAUUCCUUGCUUUCCUAGAGUGGACAUGCAGGGAAUGUUUGGUCCAGCCGGUCAAAAACUUCCUGUUUCCUCCUGGCUGGGACAUACUUCCUUUGCAUGUGACUAGAGGUGGGCGUGACCUUACCUGUCCAGAUAACAAAAGAACAGGGGACGCAGCCCACCCCCCUUUUGACUUUCUCUGUCAUUGGAGCAGCUUUUUAGCUAGACAUGCUCUGUUGGCUUCCAAACAACAGAGGACACUGGGAUUAUCCCCAUAUAGCUCCACAUGUACUGGUAUAUACUUUGUAUAUACUAAGUCUGCCUUCAGGGAUCCAACUGUGAACUGAAUGUAAGUAAACUACUUUUAGUAAACUACUUUUUUACUUGUGGCAUGUUUAUUCUUUUAAGAGGGAUAUAAGGGAAUUUAGGUAAAGGUAAAGGGACCCCUGACCAUUAGGUCCAGUCGUGACCGACUCUGGGGUUGCGGCGCUCAUCUCGCUUUAUUGGCCGAGGGAGCCGGCGUUUGUCCGCAGAGAGCUUCCAGGUCAUGUGGCCAGCAUGACCAAGCUGCUUAUGGCGAACCAGAGCAGCACACGGAAACGCCGUUUACCUUCCCGCCGGAGCGGUACCUAUUUAUCUACUUGCACUUUGAUGUGCUUUCGAACUGCUAGGUUGGCAGGAGCAGGGAUUGAGCAACAGGAGCUCACCCCGUCAUGGGGAUUUGAACCGCCGACCUUCUAAUCGGCAAGUCCUAGGCUCUGUGGUUUAACCCACAGCGCCACCAGGAACCUAAUAGUGAGAGGCUUACACAAGCCUGCAACCAUCUACCCGUUGUGCGUUUAAAAGGGGGAAUGUGAAACUCUGCUAAGUAAAGGAACCUGCUAGCGCAAGUUAGGAAGGAUAUUAAAAAACAAUAUAUCCUCUCCUGCCUCCCUGAACAUUCCCACAGAAAGUAGGCAUGCAAGGGAUUGCAUCAUUCCUCAGUUGCCUCUUUCUCAUUUGACGGUAAAAGCUUUGUUCUGCAGCUUUCUGCAGUUUGAUUUCUCCUGUACAGAACAUUCAGGGUUUGUGAGCACAGUACCCCUGGAAAUGUGGAUCGAUGCAGACACAUGCGUAAUUUUUGCAAUGUGCCUCUCUAGUGGUUCAGCUAAGCUCAGGCACCUCUUAUCUUUGCAGUAGAAACAACAGAGGUGUGUCUCUCUCUAUCCCGCUUCUUUUUGCUUGACGUGAUGAACAUCUUCCUCUCGCCUAGUUUCAAAAAGGUGGCGCAUCUCUUCUCGCCGACCUGAAUUGGGAAGAAGAAGAAGAAGAAGAAGAAGAAGAAGAGGAGGAGGAGGAGGAGGAGGAGGAGGAGGAGUUUGGAUUUGAUAUCCCGCUUUAUCACUACCUGAAGGAGUCUCAAAGUGGCUAACAAUCUCCUUUCCCUUCCUCCCCCACAACAAACACUCUGUGAGGUGAGUGAGGCUGAGAGACUUCAGAGAAGUUUGACUGGCCCAAGGCCACCCAACAGCUGCAUGUGGAGGAGCGGGGAAGCGAACCCGGUUCAGCAGAUUACGAGUCUACCGCUCUUGACCACUACACCACGCUGGCUCUCACGAGGGAAGCAAUGCUCUCAUGAGCCACUUUCGGUAAGUAUUUUGCAGGAGGGUUUCAAAGGCAUAGUGGAAAUUUAGGUGUGCACACUUAAAGUGGACUAAAGCGCUCCGUUGUCCUGACAGAGCAAAUACACUUACAAAAAAAUCCCAAUGGUCUUUUGCUGUUAGGAAAGUGAGGAGGGAAAUGUGCAGGAUUGAAAUGGUGAACAAAAAUAUGUAUAACCACUGAGGAAGCAAACUGGGAUGAAUUUGGGACAAGUGCUCAUUGUCAUAUAACCUUACCUCAAACAAAUCGGGACGAAGGCUCAAUAAAGACCUGCCGUAAUCUAACCCCUAUGUAAGCUUUGAGCUCAUAGAAUAUUUGACUAUGACCUGGGAGACCAGGGUUCAAAUCUCACACGCAGACACAAAACUCACUGGGAGAUCUUGGGCCAGUCUCUCAGCCUAGCCUACCUCACAGGGUUGCUUUGGGGAUUAAAUGGGGUGGGGGAGAACCAUGAAGACCGCCUUGAGCUGUUUAGAGGUGUGGUGGGAUGGAACUAUAAAGAAACGAACAAAUAAACAGGUCAUCUGUAGGAGCCCACAGUCAAAUAUUCUCCUAGCCUCAGAGCUAAGAGAAUAAGCAGAAAUAAGACUCUCAGCCACUGCCUGCUGAGCUUGAAAUUCAUGCCGUAAACUCAUGAUCUGGAACCAAUAGAUGGCUCUUGCAGUACCAAAUAACACACAUUUGCAGCAAAAAGAAGGCAAUUUUGGGCCAUUGCACUCGUUUGGUGUUUGUAGAAGAGAGAGAGACUUGCUGCAAGAUUUUGGUUAUUCUGCAAUUGAUGUAAUAUGCAGCCUCAAGUGAAAGUUAUUAUGUGCCAGUAUCCGCCAGUUAUGCAACGCUACAUUCCUAUUACAUUUCCUGCCUUGCUUUCUAAUAAAAGCUGGUGCAUUUGUGUGUGUGCCCAGGGCGGCAGCAUUAUAGACAUCUUCCAACGCUAAGGUAGAAAGCUGGUAAUUCUGUAAGUCUGAUUGUAGUUCCACGAAGCUAGCAAGAGAUGACUACGUUAGGCUAACCUUGUUUAUGAUGCUAGAAGCAGAAUUCUGAAGCGUCAAUAUAAGAUGCAGCACAAAUAAAUAAAUAAAUUUAGUGGCAGGUUGAUGCUUGCCUUAUGAUGCCACAAUACUUAAAAAAAUAAAAUAAGAGGAGGAGGAAAAAGUCAAGGAACCUACUCCUAAUGCGUUCUGCAACCCAACAUCCCCCUGGAUGCUAUUCAAACAAACAUUGUUCCUUCCUACAAUGGCUGUCUAUGGGCGAUUUUCCUGGUAAAUCAACAAUGCAUUCCAUCCUUGCGUUGUUUGCAUUUCAAUGGAGCAGCGACACACAGACAGGCAGAGGCACAGGAUCAGGCAAUUUGAGAAGCACUGUAAAAAUGUAAAUAGGGCAUAAUGUAGCUAUUUAUACACAAGCAAAUAUGUCUCAUUGCUCGAAAUCUGACGGCUGCUAUCUGCUAUCUAAGGCAACCGACGUUUAUUUCGUCCUCAAAAAUCCUUCGCAGAUUAUUUUUGUCUCCAGCAUCAACAAUUCUUUGUUUGGUUUGCUUGUGAUAAUUUUUAUUAAAGUUUCCCUUUGGUUAAAAAUAUGGAAUGCUUCUGCGAGUUCUCCUUGCACAGGGGCCAUGCUAAUCUCUGUAUCGUUCCAAUUUUAGAAUAUGUGCUGUUUAUAAAUAUCCAUAAGAAUUAUACAUCCGGCAUCACAUAUCUAAGAAGUGUUGCAGGAAUUUAUGUAUAGGUUGGGGGAGUUGCCCCUCCAGCAGAUAUCAUGCACAUGCAGCCCACUACCAAAACCAGCACAAUCACUUUUGUGACUUUUGUGAUUUGUCCCCACAAAACACUUCAUCACAGUUUCUUCCUAUCUAUUCAAAGGGCCUUUGCUGCAUGAUACUAAAUGUAAGAAUUCACUGAUAAAUGUAUCUAUGUACUGGCUCACUGGGAAAACUUCAGAACUUCAUAUAGACAUGUGAGCUUAGCUACUCAGCAGCCCCUCUGCCUGAGGGAUAAUUCCUGGCAUCCUGAUACCUGAGUGCCAGACAGGUAGCCAUUCCAGAAAUAACAAACCCAGAUGAAGACAAAAGGGUGUGAUUAACUUGGCUGGGAAACAGGGAAAUGUAAAUAGAUUUUUUGUUACACUUGAUGGGUGUUUGGUGGAGGGCAAGGAGAACCAUGGGGCAGGGUCCAGGAUGCUCAGAUUACUGCCACCAGACCUCCCCUUUCAUGAUGCAACCGUGAUGUAUGAGUGAUGUAGUUUGGGGUGGCACUGUGGGUUAAACCACAGAGCCUAGGACUUGCUGAUCAGAAGGUUGGCGGUUCGAAUCCCCAUGAUGGGGUGAGCUCCUGUUGCUCGGUCCCAGCUCCUGCCAACCUAGCAGUUCGAAAGCACGUCAAAGUGCAAGUAGAUAAAUAGGUACCGCUCCGGCAGGAAGGUAAACAGCAUUUCCAUGCGUUGCUCUGGUUCGCCAGAAGCGGCUUAGUCAUGCUGGCCACAUGACCCGGAAGCUGUACGCCGGCUCCUUCGGCCAAUAAAGUGAGAUGAGCGCCACAACCCCAGAGUCGGUCACGACUGGACCUAAUGGUCAGGGGUCCCUUUACCUUUACUUUAACAUGGGGAUUAGCAGCUAAUAAAAGUUUGGGAACUCUUUUGUUUGGGACUUCCAUCUUGUUCCACCUUGUGGCAGGUGGGAGUCCUGUCGCGACAGUCUUCAAUAAAGACCAAGCCUACUGGCUGCUGUUUUGCUCUGGUAUUCCUGGCUGGUGUCCUUGUUUUUUGUCCAAGGGAGCCCACAUAUUUCUCCGUUAACAGAUGGAACAAUUGUGUGUGUGCGUGUGUUCAGUUUUAUUACUCUAGACAAAUAACAUGCCAUAUUUCAGAUUUCAUUUUGGCAAAGUCAUUGAGCACACACACCCCCGGCCCUUUUUUCUUUUUGGCCAAAGUAGUUGAGCGUUUUUUGUUUUUCAGCUAUUUUUAAGGAAAUUUGCCCAAAUCUACACUUCCGAUAUGGGUUGCCAUAAGUCCACAUGUUCCAGGGCAUUAAAGCGGCAAUGUCCAGGAAAUUCCGGACGUAUGGCAACCCUACAUGCAUGGGUCAGCAUGGUCAGGGUUAAUGGAUGAUGGGAAUAGUAGUCCAAAACAUGUACAGCAUUGGUUUUCAAGUGGUGGGUCACAGCCUGAUCGAAAGGUGGGUCACAGCAGCAACACAGCCAUCGUACAAAUGUAUGGUUAAAACAAAUAGGCCCCCAACUGCCUAUGUAGGCUAAUAGUCUGACCUCAGUGGGGAAAUAUUGAGGAUAACUGAUUUAGAGGGCAGGAAGUUUUUUCUGUUAAAAGAUGCCUGCUUCUUGGGAGAAAAGCAAUGACAAACCUAGACAGCAUCUUAAAAAGCAGAGACAUCACCUUGCCAACAAAGGUCAGUAUAGUUAAAGCCAUGGUUUUCCCAGUAGCGAUGUAUGGAAGUGAGAGCUGGACCAUAAAGAAGGCUGAUCGCCAAAGAAUUGAUGCUUUUGAAUUAUGGUGCUGGAGGAGACUCUUGAGAGUCCCAUGGACUGCAAGAAGAUCAAACCUCUCCAUUCUUAAGGAAAUCAGCCCUGAGUGCUUACUGGAAGGACAGAUCCUGAAGCUGAGGCUCCAAUACUUUGGCCACCUCAUGAGAAGAGAAGACUCCCUGGAAAAGACCCUGAUGUUGGGAAAGAUUGAGGGCACAAGGAGAAGGGGACGACAGAGGACAAGGUGGUUGGACAGUGUUCUCGAAGCUCCCAACAUGAAUUUGACCAAACUGCAGGAGGCAGUGGAAGAGAGGAGUGCUAAAAAGCACAUCACCCUUCCUUUUAGGGCAAGCAGCGGCUAAUGUCGCUGACCAAGGCCUGCGCCUUAGGCAAGGAGGUUUCCAUCGUAUGCCGCCGCUGUCAACGUGGGACCGAAAAGGGGGGGAAACCCUAGAUGAAGGCGAAUGUCUGAGGGGAGAGGGUGGCGGGAGGGAAUAAAUAAGCCUUUUGUUUUGAAGGUUAAAUAGCCAAAAAUGCAGCUCAGAAUGUUCCAUAAAGGUUUAGCUUUCAGCAACACACAGCAGAGACAAAGCUGAUUCCACCUCUUUCGCUGGCCCCGUGACCUCGGAGUUUUAUAUGGCAUUGCCUGGGAAGUCAGGGAACUCUAUGGCUUUCCCAGGACAUUCAGAGCUUUCCUGCUCUGGGCCUGCCUGAGUGGGGAGCAGCGGGGAGGGAGAGUUUUCGCCUCCAAUUUAAAAAUACCAGGGGGAGUUUACCGAUUAAUAUUCAUGAACAAGGAACAGUCUGCUUUUUGUUACCACGGCCUUUUCCCAUGCAAGGUGGGUUCGGAGGGAGGAAUACAUUAACACGCACACACACAUCCUUACUGACACAAAACUAACCACCUCUAGGAUUACCAAAAGGCAAGAGCCAGCGCUCAACACAAGUGGUAAAUAUUUAACAGGGAAAGAGCUUGCUUCCUUUGCCCUCCCCUCGCCCCGAUCUCCUUGCUUCCUUCUAAUUUGCCGUAUAUAUUAAUCUCAUUACUUCGUCUUUAAACAACGGGGCUGUGUUUUCCAAAAUACCCGGGCUUCACAGAAAGUCUGGAUAUAGGAAGGGUGGUGUGUACACGUACACACACACACAACCUUAGCACUAGUAGCACAAUGGAUUGCGGUUCUUUGUAUUGUUUUGGGGGUGGUUGUUUUUUAAAUCAUGACGGUACAUUCCCCGUUGUAGCUAGGGAACAAGGAUACCUCCAUUUGCCCCAAGACAAAACUUGAGGCGGUGAUCUUUAACCGUGGUGUAAAUCAGGACUUUCUGUCUUUAGCUGGGGGGGGGGGGCGAGGGAAUCCUAAAUCAGGAUAAAAUACGGGUGGCAGCUGAAUGAAUAAAAGUGACAACUUUGGGGACACGCAGCUCCAAGAGGCUUCUUGCAUCUGAUUUUCAGAUACUGCCAAAAGAGCUUUCGGAUUUCCCUUUAACUCUGUGCAUAGUGCUUAGCACCUCUGAAGGGAAGUCAGAUCCGGAUUUCAAAACAGUGACAUUCAGAAAGCAGUAAAGACUAUUUGUUUUAACCUUUGAGGCUGUCUAGAAGUUUUUGAAUAAGACGCAUUGUGACGUUCAGUUUAACUGGAGGUGUACAUUUUGAUUAUUCGGGACACCUCAGUGCGCACUCUGUGUAUUCUCACGUUCACCCCAACUUCGGCAGAGAAUUCCCAAGAACAGAGGACCACACUACAAAUUUAGAAAUAACACACAGUGCACCCUUAUCUUUGCAGAUAUCACAGAAGCAUUUGCAAAUCUGAAUGUUCUCCUUGAUCCUCUGACCCAUGGGUAGGCAGACUAAGGCCCGGGGGCCGGAUCCGGCCCAAUCGCCUUCUAAAUCCAGCCCGCGGACGGUCCGGAAAUCAGUGUGUUUUUACAGGAGUAGAAUGUGUCCUUUUAUUUAAAAUGCAUCUCUGGGUUAUUUGUGGGGCCUGCCUGGUGUUUUGACACAAGUAGAAUGUGUGCUUUUAUUUAAAAAGCAUCUCUGGGUUAUUUGUGGGGCAUAGGAAUUUGUUCAUCCCACCCCCAAAUAUAAUCCGGCCCCCCACAUGGUCUGAGGGACAGUGGACCGGCCCCUGCUGAAAAAGUUUGCUGAUCCCUGAGUCCCAUCACAUGCAACAGAAAAGGAGCAUAUCAGGGAAUAGGACUCUGAUCUAGACUUCUCUGCUGCUUGUAUUCUGCAUGCAGGGAGCUUGGGGUGUAUAGCAGCAAUAUCUGCCACAAUCCAUUUCCCCUGCCGCAGUCUAAAUUGGCACUGUCUGGGAAGGUUUGUCUGCUACGGAUCGUUGCCAGAAACUGCUACCUCAAAAGGGCUAUGAGCAAAGUUCAGGCUUCCGACUGUUAUAGCCGACCCACCCAAAUGAAUUCUCCUCACUAUGAAGCAGAUUUGUUAAAUCGAGGGUAUAAGGCCUGGUCAGCAAUCCCCUCUCCAGAUAUUUGCUUCCUUCCAAUAUACCAGGUUGGGACUCGGGUGGCGCUGUGGGUUAAACCACAGAACCUAGGACUUGCCGAUCAGAAGGUCGGCGGUUCGAAUCCCCGCGACAGGGUGAGCUCCCAUUGCUCGGUCCUUGCUCCUGCCAACCUACCAGUUCGAAAGCAUGUCAAAGUGCAAGUAGAUAAAUAGGUACCUCUCCGGAGGGAAGGUAAACGGCGUUUCCGUGCGCUGCUCUGGUUCACCAGAAGCGGCUUAGUCAUGCUGGCCACAUGACCCGGAAGCUGUACGCCGGCUCCCUCAGCCAGUAAAGUGAGAUGAGCGCCGCAACCCCAGAGUCGGCCACGACUGGACCUAAUGGUCAGGGGUCCCUUUACGUUUAAUAUACCAGGUGUGGGGAACUUUAGGUCCCCCGGAUAUUGCUGAACUACAACUUCCAUCAGUCUCAGCAAGCUUGACCAAUGAUUAGGGAUGAUGAGAGUUGAAGUUCACCUGGAGGACCAAAAGUUCUCCACACCUCCUCUACACAACCACAAUUAUAUAGUGGGUAUCACUCUGAAACUCACCUACAGGCGGUAUCUAACACCAAGAAAACUAGCACUAAUACGCCCAGGAACCUCACCAAAAUGCUGGAGAGGAUGCACCUCCACAGGCACAUACAUCCACAUGUGGUGGGAGUGCCCCAAAAUCCAACUAUUCUGGAUAACAGCCAUACGAGAAAUAUGUAAAAUAACUAAGCAAGUAUUAGACAUCACCCCAGAAUUGGCCCUACUAAACAUCUUCCAAGACAACAAUGCCCAUUUACACCACAAAGAACUCAUAACCCACCUACAUUCAGCAGCCAGAAACACCAUAACCAGACACUGGAGAGACCUGUAAGCAUGGACCAAUGGUACCAAAUAGUAUGGGAAACAGCCCUACUGGAAAAAUUAACCAAUAAACUGACAUGGGGACAAACAGAAGAAGACACCUUUACCCCAGUAUGGCUCCCCUUUAUCACAUACACAGCCCAACAAGACAAUGACAAUAAGCCACCAACAGCAUACAAAUCAAUAUGGCUAACCUUAUCCAAAACACCCACCCACCCCACUCACACACGAAAACAAAGAUCACCACAGCCAAUCACAAACAAACAACCACACCCUAGGCCAACCCCAACCUCUCUCACCACCAAAGGAACACAAGUGAACAGCACAAGCAACGCUGACACCAAACCCUAUAUACAUUAAGCAUAAUAGAAACAUCGCCACCCGACCUCACCCUACCCUACGCCACCCUACCCAUCUUCCCUCCCUCCACCCCUCCCCUUAAUGUCUCAACAAAUGAAACGGAUUUGUAAAAAUGUUACAUGGAAAAAAUACGAGAGACAUUACACUUACUUCUGUAAAACAAGAAAAUCUUUAAUAUAGUGGGUAUCACUUAAAUCCAGCUUUGUUACAUAGGACGGACACCUUCCAUACUGGAAAAAACUAUCCUACAUUCCAUUUAGAAACUCAUUUAACAUUUUGGGGAUUUGUCUUAAGUCGGUUACAUUCACCCUGAUACUUGAUCAUCACCACUUCAGGGAGAAUGUUUUAAAGGUGGAGAAGUUCAGUUCCCCUUAAAGUCACGAAGAAUAUUGGACCUGCUCGUCUCAGAGGAUUGUUGUCAGGAAAAAAUGGGGGACUUAGAAAACGGUGCGAUACAAAUUAUUCAAGUCUAUAUUGAAAAAGUUAUUUCCCAUAUGCGAAGACCACAGCAGGGUUUGAAGUGUAAGAAAAUAGCAGGAGAUAUUAAGAAACAGGUUGGAGAGGAUAAAAUUAGGUAAGACAGAACCUUAAAAUGAAUUGCAAAUGUAAUUUGAGUUAUAAACAUCAAUACUGGGUGAGUGGAAAGUCAGUAGUUUUGUUGAACCGGAAUAUAAUAGUUGAGGAACAAAUGUAACUUUCUCUAUGGAAAAAAGAAUAAAAUAGUUUUAUUUAUUUUUAAAGAAAACAGUGUUAUACAAAUGUAAUUAAUGGAUAAAUAAAAACCAGUGUACAGUGGUACCUUGGUUCUCAAACGGCUUAGUUGUUGAACAAAUCGUCUCCCGAACGCCACAAACCCGGAAGCAAGUGUUCCGAUUUGCGAACAUUUUUUGGAAGCCAAACCUCCAACGCGGCUUCUGCCUGAGUCCAGGAAGGUCCUGCAGCCAAUCAGAAGCCGCGCCUUGGUUUCCGAACGGUUUCAGGAGUCGAAUGGACUCCCGGAAUGGAUUAAGUUCGAGAACCAAAGUACAACUGUAUAACUGAAAGCAACUUACUUUGUUUCAUAAGCUUCCAGAGAAGUGAGUUGCAUGAUCCAGAAUACAGGUGAAACUCGGAAAAUUAGAAUAUAGUGGAAAAGUUCAUUUAUUUCAGUAAUUCAACUUAAAAGGUGAAACUAAUAUAUGAGAUAGAAUCAUGACAUGCAAAGCGAGAUAUAUCAAGCCUUUAUUUGUUAUAAUUGUGAUGAUCAUAGCAUACAGCUGAUGAAAACCGCAAAUUAACAAUCUCAGAAAAUUAGACUAUUAAAUGAAAUCAGCAAAAAAAGGAUUGCAAAUAGACCAAUAUUGGACCUCUGAGAAGUAGAAGCAUGCAAAUGUACUCAAUGCUUGGUUUGGGCCCCUUUUGCAUCAAUUACUGCCUCAAUGCGGCGUGGCAUGGAUGCUAUCAGCCUGUGGCACUGCUGAGGUGUUAUGGAAGACCAGGAAGCUUCAAUAGCAGCCUUCAGCUCUUCUGCAUUGCUCGGUCUCAUGUCUCUCAUCUGUCUCUUGGCAAUGCCCCAUAGAUUCUUUAUGGGGUUCAGGUCAGGCGAGUUUGCUGGCCAAUCAAGCGCAGUAAUCCCAUGGGCAUUGAACCAGGUUUUGGUACUUUUGGCAGUGUGGGCAGGUGCCAGAGUCCUGCUGAAAAAUGAAGUCAGCAUCCCCAUAAAGCUCGUCUGCGGAAGGAAGCAUGAAGUGCUCCAAAAUCUCCUGGUAGAUGGCUGCGUUGACCCUGGACUUAAUGAAGCACAGUGAACCAACACCAGCUGAUGACAUGGCUCCCCAAAUCUCUUUUCUGAUCAGAGCAGCUUUUGCAUCUCAUUUGGAAGCCAAGGACCCAGAGUCUGGAGGAAGAAUCAGGAGGCACACAAUGCCAGAUGCUUGAAGUCCAGUGUGAAGUUUCCACAGUCUGUGUUGAUUUGGGGAGCCAUGUUGUGUGUAGUUAACCAUUUCCCUAUCAUUUCUGUUCCAUAUUUCAAAAGACCAGCCCCCACCCUGACCAGUUAAAAGAACUAGGAGGGGCAGCAGUUCUGCAAAUUGGCACAGGUCAACGGGAGCUGUAAGAAGGCUCAGCAGCCUGUGUCCCGGUGCUUUUGGCAGGCCACCAAUCUCGGACAAAUGUCCCAUGUAUCCAAUGGUCAGCUCCAUCUCUCCCAACUGCCCAUCUUCUUGAGAAGACUGUGGCCAAUCCAGCCUUUUUUCAAGAUGCAUUUUCAUGAGCUAUGCAUGAACUUGAUCCUAUUGUGAAUGCAGACCAUAACCUUUCUUGAAACAGGUAGGCCAAGAAAGUUAUAUCUUUCUGCCUUUAGGGACCAGUUUCCGAGUACAGAGGGCUUACCUUGAAAAUGUUUUCCAUACUGUUUGAUGUUGUGGAGCCAUCGGUGGGAAUACUGAGAGCAUUAGAUUCCUGGGUGGUUCAUUGAUUUGUUCUAGUUUUACUAAAUUGACUAACAUCAAUUCACUCAGACAUUUCACUUUCCAUACUGAAAUGCUUAUUCUGAAUACCCUUUUGAGGGACAGGGUGGGAAAAGAAGACUUGAAAGUUGAAAUAUAUAUCUGAGCUAUGUGAUGUGGACAUGGACUUUAUAUUUUCAUAUAUAAAUGAAUCACUAACAUGUUUUGAGUAGCAGAGGGUGCAAUUCCUUCUAGCUAUUUAAGUUCUGUAAAAAUGGAUUUUUAUGUGCAAAGGAUUUUUAAUGAUUGAGCAUCUAUGCAUACAUAUUAAUAAGUCCACACUGAAACAUGGAGGGAAUAAAAACUGCCAAGAGAUUUCAAGAGUAAGAAGAUCCAUUGGUACCACCAUUUGAUCCAAUGAACUCACAAUGAGUCAUCUGUAUCUAAUUACUCAAAUAACAACAAUGGAAUAAUUAAAUGCCCAUGGUCACAUGCUGGCCAGAUAAAGUUUUCUCUCUCCAUCCAGUUCCUACAAAUACUAUUAGGAUCAGUUAAAGGUAAAGGUAAAGGGACCCGUGACCAUUAGGUCCAGUUGCGGACGACUCUGGGGUUGUGGUGCUCAUCGCGCUUUAUUGGCUGAGGGAGCCAGCGUACAGCUUCUGGGUCAUGUGGCCAGCAUGACUAAGCUGCUUCUGGCAGCGCACGGAAACGCCGUUUACCUUCCCGCCAGAGCGGUACCUAUUUAUCUACUUGCACUUGGAUGUGCUUUCGAACUGCUAGGUUGGCAGGAGCAACAAACUUUAAGAACUGGUGCUUGAGGUUGCUUGUUUUUCCUCUCCCCUCCUCACCCCCUUGUCUUUUUGUGUUGUGUCUCUUAGAUUGCAACCUUUGUUUCUGUUGACCUUAUACAGUAUAAGUUAUUCUGGGAGCCGUGUUGACUACAAAGCUGGGUUUAAAUGCCCUGAAAUAGAUUUUAAAAAUAGGUUUGUAUGCUAUACUCCCCAACAUGAAUGUGUUGCCUUGGGGUUUUUCAGAGUGCAUUGUGAAGAGUCCUUCUGUAGAGUGUGAAUUGAACUGAGUGAUAUCCCUCAUAGAAAGGAUCAGUCAGACAUUUUAGACUUCAAGUACCAGGCUUGGGGUGGGAAGAGAAAGACAGAAAUUGCUGACGCCAGAAAAUACAGAAAUCCCAAUGAAGCUGUAGGCACCAUCUCAUGUUAUAGUUUUACAGGCACUUUCACAAAUUAUCAGAAUUGUGUUUAAUGUAGCAUGUAAUGUGGGGAACAGCGACAUCAGUUCAGAAAAUAGUGACUAUUUAAUUCAAAUGAUCUGGUGGAUGCACUCAUAUGUCCCUGUGAACUGACAGGGCAUGAAAGAAAUUUGCCUAGCUGCUCUCUUGCAUGUUUUGCCUCUCUCCUUCCCUAGAAAAUAGAGAAGAUACAUCCAAGAGUGCAAAAAUUUAAAUCUUUGCAUUCAUGAAGUGGAUUAGUAGGAUAUUACACAGAUGGAAGAAAUGCAAUUGAUGAAAUUGUCUCUCGCGACUACGGGCACACAGUUGGCCAUACAAUAUUAGCACUUUCAAACUCGGAUUUAUAACAGUGAUUAAUUUUCAUCUCAUUUCCCAGAAACAAAAUGCUGCAAUCUGAGUAUGGGGAGAUUGCAACUUAUCUGCACAGCUUUGAAAAGUUGGGUAGAUCGUCUGCUGCAACUGAGGACCUAACUAAAUUAGAUUGAUGUUUGCCUCACUUUAUUUAUUAAAAAGCAAUCCAUGUGGUAUGUGGGCAUGUGUGAAUAAAUUGCAUCAAGACUGAAGUUGUUUCUUUUUAACCCUCUUGGAGCCAUUUCCCCCAAUGUAAACAAUUCUUUAAGCAUCUGCUUGCCCCAUUAGGGACAAUUUACAAGUAACUUGAAAAACAGCUAUACAACUUCUGCUCAAAGAAAGGCUGCGGGACAGGUUUCCCCAGCUCAGAGCUCUCCAGAUUGUUUCAAAGGAUGACUCCAAGCCAGGAGUAGGCAACCUAAGGUUCGUGGGCUGGAUGCGGCCCAGUUGCCUUCUCAAUCUGGCCCGCGGACGGUCCAGGAAUCAGCAUGUUUUUACAUGAGCAGAAUGUGUGCUUUUAUUUAAAAUGCAUCUCUGGGUUAUUUGUGGGGCGUAGGAAUUCGUUCAUUUUUCUCUCCAAAAUAUAGUCCGGCCCACCACAUGGUCUGAGGGACAGUGGACCGGCCCACGGCUGAAAAAGGUUGCUGACCCCUGCUCCAAGCAGUCCCUGUCAGUGCUGCCCAGGUCUGCUGGGAAUUUAUUUAUUUAAUAAAAUUUAUAUAGCGCUUACCGUGAAAACACACAUCUCAAAAGCAGUUUGCAAAAAGAAUUGUUGUCCAAAACAUCUGGAGGGCUCCAGGUUGGGAGGAAAUGCCUUAGGGCCCUAGAUAAUAAUAUUUUGAAGAAUAAUUUUAGUUUCCUCUGAGGAAGCACCUUUUGCUGGGGCUGUGUACACAUUACAGUGUACAGUGGUCUUUGGGUUGCAUACGCUUCAGGUUACAGACGCUUCAGGUUACAGACUCCGCUAACCCAGAAAUAGUACCUCAGGUUAAGAACUUUGCUUCAGGAUAAGAACAGAAAUUGCGUGGCGGCAACAGCGGGAGGCCCCAUUAGCUAAAGUGGUGCUUCAGGUUAAGAACAGUUUCAGGUGAAGAACGGACCUCCGGAACGAAUUAAGUACUUAACCCGAGGUACCACUGUACUUUGGUUCCAGUGUGUUCCCACCGCUGGUGGCCGAUGUAGAGUACACAUGACCUUAGCCACGAUCCACAUCUAUCCUAUAGUUUCUUGAGAAAUGCCACUCUCUGAUCCGUUUCCGCUCAAACCAGCUUCCAUCUGAUUUGAAAACGUAAGCCGCAUUCACUUCUCAGUUAAACUGAGGUAUGUGCAUUUGAAAGUCCCAUGGACUGCAAGAAGAUCAAACCUAUCCAUUCUGAAGGAAAUCAGCCCUGAGUGCUCACUGGAAGGACAGAUCCUGAAGCUGAGGCUCCAAUACUUUGGCCACCUCAUGAGAAGAGAAGACUCCCUGGAAAAGACCCUGAUGUUGGGUGGGAAAGAUGGAGGGCACAAGGAGAAGAAGGGGAUGACAGAGGACGAGGUGGUUCGAUAGUGUUCUCGAAGCUACCAGCAUGAGUUGGACCAAACUGCAGGAGGCAGUGGAAGACAGGAGUGCCUGGCGUGCUCUGGUCCAUGGGGUCACAAAGAGUCGGACACGACUAAACGACUAAACAACAACAUGUGCAUUUGAGACAGCCAUUGUGCAUGCACAGAUGACAGUGUGUGAACAGCUUUGCCAACAGGGUGUGUGUGUGUGUUUUUUGGCACAGUGAAACAAAUCUGGUUGUGUGUAUCGGAUUAAAGCACGCACACACACACACACACACCCCUCCGAGCCUGGUGUGUACAGUAAUGAGAGUCGAUUCACAGAACCUGUGAAGACCUGCUGAGCCAAUUGUUUUCACCCCAGUUGCAGAUUGCUUGUGGUGAGCUAUAAACUGAAAUUGCAUUGGGCAUGCUUCUAAAACCUUCCUCAAGUGGAACAAUCAGUGGUUUGUUUAACUCUGAUGUGGCGAACUGUGACCUCGAGAUUCCAUGUGUGGAACUUCUCCUUGCCAUAAGCAGAACUUUUGCCUCAUUCAUUGUUUGUCUCGAACUAUGAAUGGUGUAUUGAUAGCCAUAUCUCCAAAAAUGCAUUCCUUACUUCUAUAAUAUCAGCUCCAGGACAUAUAAUUUUCCGUUUUUUUAUUCUGGAAGCAGACAGGGAUUUUGCUUUUGAUUUCUUUUUCUUUUACCAUCGAAACUCUAUCUGCUUUCUUUUCUACUUGGUGAAUUGGGAAAUUGUAAGGCAAGAAUCUAGCUAAACAAGUUCCCAGUGCAAAUGCCAUUUUGUAAACAAAGAACUCUUUGAAAAAUGGUUGCAGGCCUCUGGAUCCUUGUGAUGGCCAGGAAAACUGUUUGUUUUUUUGGGGGGUGUUUUUUUGCUGUUCCUGGAAUUCAUCUAAGCCUCUCAGAUAGUGUCAAAUGUAGCAAGAGUGUUUGCGGUGCAGAAGGAAAGAAGGAACUUUUCUCCGCUGAAGAAGUCAAGCUCUUUCCUGCCAACUUACUAUCAACUAUGAUUACUGAGAGCGUUGCUCUUAAGAAGGGAUCUCUAGAUAUGCAGGAAUUUCAUACCCCAUAUAUUGCAAGAUUAUUUGGCAGACCAAAAUAUUAGCAGGGGGAAUCAUCUGAGUCUUUAUCAAAGCAGUUUAACUCAUAAACCAACCCAUCAGCAGAGAGUUCUGUUUUUUAAAAAUCAUUUUAUGAGGAACUUUUAAAAACUGCACUCUUAAAUCCGCUCAACAAACUCAGCUUUGGUACAAACCUGAUGUUUCCACAUGGCAUCAAAUUGACUACAUCUUGGGUGCAUUUUGAAAGGCUGGCUUUAUUAACAUUUAUCAAGUCAAUUGCAUACCUCUCGUCGAAAGCAUUCUCCUCACUGGGUUCUAAAACAGCUUCCCAUUCCAGUCCCUCCUCUCCCCGGUUUUGAGGGUUUUUCUUCUUCUUUUAAAAACCCAUAUAUAAUGUCUUCUAGUGACCAUAUAGCAAACACAAUUUGUGGCCUUUUUCAAAGCUCCUGAAAGAAACAUAGAGCUUGGGAAUCGGAAUAAUCACCACUUUUGUCAAGACAAGUGUGCUCAACAUUUUGUAUCCUGACAGUAUUCUGUUUUCCUCAUUUGAACCUUGUAGCUUCUUUUAAGAGGCUGGUGGGAAGAGGUUAAAGGUCGCCCUUGAGCUGCCAGCAAACCGAGUGAAAAAUUGUGGACAGUUCCCCUUUGCUUGGAUUAAGAGUUCUAUUCUUUCCCUUUGUGAUGGCAAUACCUUCUCUGGGAGGACUUGUGUGUAGCAAAUUAGUGUUCUGACCUCCCUUUCUAAUUACUUCUUCAGGUGUAACAGCAAGCCAGCUGUUGGGGAAAGACAGAAGAUGCUGCUUAGCGGUGUUCGGUUCACAUAAUGACAUCUGUCACUAAUAGCCCCAGAAUUACAAAAGGCUCCUUUUGUUUCUCCCCUUUUAUUCAAAGAAGUGGAACGUCUUCUUUCCCUGAGGAAAUAAAAAGUGGAACUCUGUGAGUUGUAUGAAAGUGACGGUGCGAUAUUCCGUGUGGUCCAUGCUUAAUGUUGUCUGCCAAAUCUAUACCGGCGGCUCUCAAACUUCCCCUGCCACAGACCACUUGGAAAAAAUGCUAAUAGUUUUGUAACAAUUUUUCUGCUCUAUGAUUUUUAAUUGUAUUCUUAUAGCUGCUUAGAUUUCUUGCAUAUUGCGUUUCUUGCAAGUUGAAUUCCAGAGAAUUCAGAUGGCAGGAAGGUGAAAUACAGAAUAAAAUAAUAAAAGAAACCAUUUAAAUACAAUUAAAAAUCCACACGAAUAUUUGACACAGGCAUGCCACUGACCACCAAAAUGAAGCUUUGAGAACCUCUGAUCUCUCAAAGCCCUUCACGGCCUAGGACCCUCGUACCUACGGGACCACCUCUCCCGGUAUGCCCCAUGGAGAGCCUCAAGGUCCAUUAACAGCAAGACCCUAGUGGUCCCGGGCCCUAAGGAAGUUAGAUUAGCUUCAACCAGAGCCAGGGCCUUUUCAACUCUGGCUCUGGUCUGGUGGAACGCUCUGCCUCAUGAGACCAGGGCCCUGCAGGAUCUGAUUUCUUUCCGCAGGGCCUGUAAGACAGAGUUGUUCCACCUGGCCUUUGGCUUGGAGCCAAUUUGAUUCCCUCCCUCUCUUUCAUUUUUCUUUUUCCUUUCUCCUCCUGUGAUGAGGCUGCAUUUUAAUACUUUAAUGUUUCAAUAUUUUAAUGUUGUAUUUUAAUCUUGUUUUUAAGUUGUAAUCAUUCAACUUGUUUUUAUUAUUGCUUGUUAGCCGCCCUGAGCCUGGCCUUGGCUGGAGAGGGCGGGGUAUAAAUAAAAAUUAUUAUUAUUAUUAUUAUUAUUAUUAUUUAUUUAAAUGAAACAACAAUAGUCGUGUAAUCAAAGUGGCAUGUUUUCUGGUAGCUGGAAUAUCCUAACAACCGAAUGUGCUAGAAACUAUGAACAUAUCCAGUAAGUUUCUGUUGUGUAAUUCUGAAGCCAGUUAGAUGAGCAUCUGGAAAAUUUUGGAAAGCUUAGUAAUGAAAGCAUGUCACACAGAGCUCUGGCUGCAAUGCACUAUAUCUGAGAAGACGACUAGAUGCAGAAGUCAGGGCUCUUGCACCUUUAAUAAUUGUAAUUAUUGAAUGACAAGUUACACCUGUUGAAAUUCCCUGUUUAAGGUAUGGGAGUCCUGCUCCCUCUUGCACCCCCACCAUGCAUUCUUGUUACAAUAAGGGCAGGUCACACACUGCAAAACUUUUGCCAGAGUUUGGCACCGGUUUGGAGUGAAUCGGACGGCGCUGGGUUUUGGGUGACCCUGUGACCUCUGGGUUUGAGUGUCAAUGGCUCUGUUUGUGGGGCUCCGCAAAACGCAGGGUUUUCGCUGCAAAACUUUGGCACAGGUUUGGAGGGGAUGCCACAUUUUGGGGUUCCUAGUUAAUGGGACAUCACCUUGCCGACAAAGGUCCAUAUAGUAAAAGCUAUGGUUUUCCCAGUAGUGAUGUAUGGAAGUGAGAGCUGGACCAUAAAGAAGGCUGAUCGCCAAAGAAUUGAUGCUUUUGACUUCUGGUGCUGGAGGAGACUCUUGAGAGUUCCAUGGACUGCAAGAAGAUCAAACCUCUCCAUUCUGAAGGAAAUCAGCCCUGAGUGCUCACUGGAAGGACAGAUCGAUCCUGAAGCUGAGGCUCCAAUACUUUGGCCACCUCAUGAGAAGACAAGACUCCCUGGAAAAGACCCUGAUGCUGGGAAAGAUGGAGGGCACAAGGAAAAGGGGACGACAGAGGACGCGAUGGUUGGACAGUGUUUUCGAAGCUACCAGCAUGAGUUGGAACAAACUGCGGGAGGCAGUGGAAGACAGGAGUGCCUGGCAUGCUCUGGUCCAUGGGGUCAUGAAGAGUCGGACACAACUAAAUGACUAAACAACAACAACAAGUUAAUGGGACGGUACUGCUGCCCCCCAGAGAAGCGCUAUGUGUAUGUCAAAAAUAACCAUGCCAGCAGUCUGUUUCAUGAAAUCUCUUCAUUAAAAUGGUUACCAUGGUGAAUGGACAGUAGACCAUAGAUAUGCAGCAGCCACAUAGCAGAGGUAAGAACUGGCCCUAAGAAACUGCCACACCCCCACCCCCAAGCUCAUAAAAUUGCAGGGGAAGGAAUAUGCUGUGAAACUCAGAAUGCUGGAUGCUAGUAUAACUACUAGCAAAGCUAUUUCAUGAUUUAUUUCCUGCACACAUGUUCUAGGUCCUGAGAGUUGAAGUUUUACUCCUGAUGAUGCCCUACAUUUAUUUAAGUAUAGAACACAUUUUGAAAUAUACUCGGAGUCGAGAGUGGAUUUCAUGCUCUUUAUUCAGCUCAUAGUGGUGAGGAGGAAUGGAAGUCCCCUCAAAAUAUCUGCUUUAUAUACAUUAUUUACACAAUGGGUUGCACGUGACUGGCUAAUUCCGGAAUUCUCCUGUAGGCCAAUCAGGUUGUGGAUUCACUUCCAUCUGAAGCUGGAUUGGGUGGCUCCUGCAGACCAAUCAUACUGCUGCAUUGUUCUAGGACCAAUCAGACUGCUGCAUUCUGAAUCCUAUUGUUCUAGGACCAAUAAGACUGUUGCAUUUUGGAUCCUAUUCAACUCAGUACAUAACACGUUUACACCAGUUUAACUGUCAUUCUGUCCCCAGGGAACAGAAGUUUAGUGAGGGAUCUCCCUAGCGGGAAAUUUCCAGGGCCGGAUUUAGGUUUGAUGAGGCCCUAAGCUACUGAAGGUAAUGAGGCCCUUUAGAUGCCCAACUGUCCUUUGUCAACAACAAAUUGUCUCUGUUUUUUGUGUUGAAUAUAUGCUAUAUGGUAAUUUAUGGACCUAAUAGGUAUCUCAAGAUGAAUAUUUUCCUAAAGUAAUUUUAUAAUGGGAUCAAAAUAAAUAAAUAAUGUGUUACAUGAAGUCAAUCAGAAGGCAAAAGACUCAUACCCUUAGCCUAUGCAGCCUGAAUCAUCAGUUGACAAGCACUCUUUAAGAUUAGAGAACAGGUACAACACCUUGACUUACAUUCAACAGUUGACCUACAUUCAACUGUGCUGCACUGCAGUCUGCAGCUACAUGCUACAUGUUGCCAUACAACCAGUCCAUGCAGAAUGUAGGCACCCUAUAUAUAGAAAUGAGCAAACCAGGGAUAUUUUAGGGAGCAGGCUAGCAGGCGGAGCCCAUGACUUACAUCAUAGGAGCCUACACAACACAAAACACUGUUGCUGUAUGUAGGUUUUAUUUUAUUUGUUUUUUAUCUUAUAUUUUGGAAAUGUACAUCCAGUGUUUUUUUCCCUUUAAUUUUUUUGGGGGCCCCCAAGAGAGUGGGGCCCUAAGCUAUAGCUUGUUUAGCUUAUAUGUAAAUCUGGCACUGAAUGCUCUCACCAAGCAACAACCCCCAGGUACCAGUAAACCAGUGUGAAACUGAGUUGUAGAUAUGCCAAUGGUGCGUCUAUCCUGUGAAGCAGUUCAGGGGCAGUGGGGACAGAUGGUGUUUUACUGAUUACAGAUGAGACUAUACAGUACUGGUUUAUAUUAGAUUCCAGCUGGAAUAGGUAAGGCAAUAAGGUACAAUUUUAUAUUAGACUUCAGUCAAGUCUACUAAUUCCAGCAACACGUUUUCUGUAAAGUGCGUGUGCAAAGUUUUGCACCAGACUUAUCCUUCAGAUGUAAGGGGAUAUGUGCAAACGAGCAUAUUAGCAGGCACAUUAAGUUUUUAAAAAUAUGGCUACAUGAGAAAUAUGAAUAGCAUGCUUGCUACGACGUCAGUCUUCCUAGCUGAUACUUUGCCCUUUCUUGCUAGCAGAAAUGGUAAUGGCGAAUGAUGCACAAUAGCAUUUGUGAGUCAAGGACUGUUGCAACUGAACCCACCCACCCCCCUGUCACAUGCAGAGAAGAAUAAGCCUGACAAAGGAUAUGUUUGCUUUAGGAUUUUACCCAGGCAAAUCCAGCAGCCUCCAAGCUAGAGCUGGGAUGAUUAAGAUACAGCUGUGAAAUUUGUCAGCUAGCAGCACAGGUUUUAAGAGACUGCCGCACAGCCGUAACCCCUGCAGUCCUCUUCCCCACAGAAUUUAAUUAUGAUAACUGUAAUCAAAUUUGUAAAUCAAUUUUACAUUGGGAUGGGGGAAAACCAGGACUUGGCUAUGCCCACUUGCUGUCUAGAAUAUAUAGUUUAUUGCUGGAAUGGUAUACAAAAGAUGAAGAAGUAAAGGAAUCAAUGAUAAAAUAGGCGAUCGAUAUUGGGCAUAACAUCGAAUUGGAAGCGUGGAAAAGACUAUGGAAGGAGGGUUUGAGAUUUACAGGAUGUAUGGUUCUAAAGGAAAACUUGUUAAAAAUGAUGUAUAGAUGGCACUUGACGCCAGUAAAGUUAGCUAAAAUGUAUAGAAAAAGAGAAAGAAAAUGUUGGAAAUGUAAAAUAGUAGAUGGGGAUUAUUUUCAUAUGUGGUGGACCUGUGAUAAGGUUAAAAAUUUUGGGAAUCAAUUUAUAAUGAACUCAAAAAAAUAUUUAGGCUGGAAGCGUGUCUACUAGGUUUAAUAGGAAUGGAAAUCAAAAUGGGAGAAAUCUGUUUAUGUAUGCUACGGCCGCCGCAAGAACCUUCCUGGCCCAAAGAUGGAAAACACAAGACAUACCAACCAGGUGAAGUUGACAGAAUACGUAGAACUUGCCAAAUUGUCAGGGAGGAUCCGGGACCAGGAAGAUCAAAGAUACCAAAAUAAUUGGAGUAAAUUUAUUGAAUAUUUAAAGGAGAGUUGUAAAGAGGUCAAGACACUAGCAGGAUUGACAUAAUACCUUCAGUGUAUAAUAGUACUAUUGUGAGAAUGAGGUGAGCGAUAGAAAGGGGUUAAAUAUACCAAUUGCAGGGAGGGAGGGGAGUCGCGACUCGGCAGAGUCAAAGGGAAUGUAUGGCAUUAAUAUGGUUUGUUGGAAAAGAAUAUGUAAGGAAAACAAUAAAAUUUUACUUGGAAAAAAAAAAUAUAGUUGCCUGCUUUGGAUUUCCAGUUGGUAAAGAAUGGUUCUAGUAGCAGUGACAUCCCGCAUCUCCCCAAUUACAGGUCCAUCAGCUUCCGCAGAGAACAAUUUGGUAAGCAAAAGGCCUCGAUUUCCAUAACCAUUACCCCUAACAGCAGUUCCUAGGAAGGAGCUGAAAAGCCCGCCUGAUCACAGGAGGAGGAAAUGUUUGGAGGAGAGAUUUAAAUGAAUAACCGAUGAUAGUGCAACAUUAACCUCCGGCUAGCAGUAGCUCAACAUAAAAAAAAAAAAGAAGAUCAUGGCCACUGGUCCCAUCACCUCCUGGCAAAUAGAAGGGGAAGAAAUGGAGGCAGUGAGAGAUUUUACUUUCUUGGGCUCCAUGAUCACUGCAGAUGACAGCAGCCACGAAAUUAAAAGACGCCUGCUUCUUGGGAGAAAAGCAAUGACAAACCUAGACAGCAUCUUAAAAAGCAGAGACAUCACCUUGCCAAUAAAGGUCCGUAUAGUUAAAGCUAUGGUUUUCCAAGUAGUGAUGUAUGGAAGUGAGAGCUGGACCAUAAAGGCGGCUGAUCGCUGAAGAAUUGAUGCUUUUGAAUUCUGGUGCUGGAGAAGACCCUUGAGAGUCCCAUGGACUGCAAGAAGAUCAAUCCUAUCCAUUCUGAAGGAAAUCAGCCCUGCGUGCUCACUGGAAGGACAAAUCCUGAAGCUGAGGCUCCAAUACUUUGGCCACCUCAUGAGAAGAGAAGACUCCCUGGAAAAGACCCUGAUGCUGGGAAAGAUGGAGGGCACAAGGAGAAGGGGACGACAGACGGCGAGAUGGUUGGACAGUGUUCUUGAAGCUACCAGCAUGAGUUUGACCAAACUGCAGGAGGCAAUGGAAGACAGGAGUGCCUGGCAUGCUCUGGUCCAUGCGGUCACGAAGAGUCGGACACGACUAAACAACAACAAAAGCAAGCAGGGACUGUCCUGGUUCUUUUGGGGUAGUUAUGCCCUACUUUUGAACCUUUGCACACACACAAAAAUAGACAAAAUAAUACCAAGGUUCCCCAUCUGUUCCCCAUCUUGAUUCAAAGUGGUGUCCAGUGUCCAAACAGCAACAGUGUCUCUUCUGCCCCUGUUCUUCUGUUCCAUUCUUUAUAUAUGACUGAUAUAUAUUAGUGCACAUACAGGUAGGGGCUUUCGCAACCUUUUGCCCCCAAACCUCCAAGCCAGCCUUAGACAGACUUUUCGUAGGUGGCUGGCCCCAUUAGCUCAGCUCAAGUUAGUUAAUCAAUACCUUGAGAUGCCCGAUUUCCCAAGAUGCUCUACAAACUACCUGCCACCACAGACGAAUUAUUCGUGCAAAUAUCAGAUAAUGUUGGUUAGCCGCAUUUACACACACACACACACACACACACACACACACACACACAGCGUCCAUCUCUCCAAGGAGCUCAAUAUUAUUAUUAUCAUCACAACAACUUUGUAAAUUAGGUUAGGCAGUGCUUUUGUGUCUUUAAUAACUGCAUUACAGAUAGAAUACUUUCCCUGCACAGAGACAUCACGAGGGAAAGCUUCAGUUGUUGAAUUUCUUCCCAUUGCACAGUCAUGGCCAGCAUUCUGGUGAACCAGAGCAACACAUGGAAACGCCGUUUACCUUCCCGCCAGAGUGGUACCUAUUUAUCUACUUGCACUUUGACGUGCUUUAGAACUGCUAGGUGGGCAGGAGCAGGGGCUGAGCAACAGGAGCUCACCCCGUCGCGGGGAUUCGAACCACAACCUUCUGAUUGGCAAGCCCAAGAGGCUCAGUGGUUUAACCCACAGCGCCACCCGCAUCCCUAUUCUUUGUGGUGUAAGUCGGCAUUAUUGUCUUGGAAAAUGUUUAGUAAGGCCAAUUCUGGGGUGGUUUCUAAUAGUUGCUUGGUUAUUUUACUUAUUUCUCGUAUGCGCUAUCUUCUAUUAAAGACAUCUAAGCUGGCUCCUGUGGAAUCAAGUUCCACAAAUUAACAAUCUGCUACAUGAAGUACUUCCUUUUAUCUCUCCUGAUGCAGGUGGCGCUGUGGGUUAAACCACAGAGCCUAGGACUUGCCGAUCAGAAGGUUGGCGGUUCGAAUCCCCGCGACGGGGUGAGCUCCCAUUGCUCGGUCCCCGCUCCUGCCAACCUAGCAGUUCGAAAGCACGUCAAAGUGCAAGCAGAUAAAUAGGUACCGCUCUGGCGGGAAGAUAAACGGCGUUUCCGUGCGCUGCUCUGGUUCACCAGAAGCGGCUUAGUCAUGCUGGUCACAUGACCCGGAAGCUGUACGCCGGCUCCCU
rnacentral:lncRNA from 1 species